rnacentral:lncRNA from 1 species
GCGACUUGGGGGACUCCUACUACAUGGUUUGUAUCGCGCUUGACCAAGCCUGAGACUACAAGUAAGCUUCAAGUGAAAUUGAUACAUUACCUUGUGCAUCUCCACCAGUUAAAGAUACCACCCCCUGGAUGGAGGAAGAGUACUUUCAGAGAAGAUGCCACAUCUACCUAUGAGACAGAUAAGGCAAGUCAAGACGACACCACACUCCGAUACUUAGAAGUUUCGUGAUUACGAGAUCAUUCUCCCACAAUAUUUCCUAAUGUCAUUUGUACAAAAUCAUUCACUUGUACUCACUAAAGGAGAGCUUGAACCUAUGUACUUGUGUAAACCCUUCACAAUUAAUGAGAACUCUUCUAUUCUGUAGACGUAGCCAAUCUGGGUGAACCACGUACAUCUUGUGUUUGCUUUUCCUAUCUCUAUCCAUUUAUAUACUUAUCCACACUAAUGACCGGAGCAAUCUAGCGAAGAUCACAAAAAAGCGACCGUUUUCGCUACCUAGGAUCUAUCUUGCAAGAGAACGGAGAAUUAGAUGGAGAUCUCAACCAUAGAAUACGAGCUGGAUGGAUGAAGUGUAAGAGUGCAUCCGGCGUGUUGUGUGACCGUCGUAGGCCACUGAAGCUCAAGGGAAAAUUUUAUAGGACGGCAAUAAGGCCAGCGAUGUUGUAUGGCACAGAAUGUUGGGCGGUGAAGCAUCACAACACGUACACAAAAUGGGUGUAGCGGAGAUGAGGAUGCUUCAUGGGAUGUGUGGGCACACGAGAAAGGAUAAGAUUGGGAAUGAGGAUAUCCGAGGUAAAGUAGGAGUAGCCGAAAUUGUAGGAAAGAUGAGAGAAAAUCGGCUCCGAUGAUUUGGACAUGUGCAAAGAAGGCCGACUGACGCUCCGGUUCGAAGAUGUGACUACGGGACAGAGGUUCAGGGCCAAAGGGGUAGAGGAAGACCUAGGAAAACUUUGGAAGAGACUCUAAGAAAAGACUUAGAGUACUUGGAUCUAACGGAGGACAUGACACAAAACCGAGCGCAAUGGCGUUCUAGGAUUCAUAUAGCCGACCCCACUUAGUGGGAAAAGGCUUUGUUGUUGUUGUUGUUGUUGUUGUACGUGGACCCUGACUCAUUUUCUGAGCACCCAGGAAUUCUCCUUGUUUGCUUCUCCCCCUGGGGUCUGGGGAAAGGAACCUUCAAAACAGCCAUAGGGAGGCCAUUGAGCCAGCCUCGUCCUGUGUGCCUGGAUUCGCCUCGUUCUGCAUGUGAGCUGUUCACAUCGUUUUGCAUGCCAAAAGCUCACCAUUUUUGCGUCCACAGAGCCCGUGUUGUUUUAGCGUGCACCGAACCAACCUCGUUUUCUGUGCGCAAGGUUAGCCUCGAUUUGUGCGACGUAUCCCUCCUCAUUUUUUGUGCACAAGGCUUGCCUUGUUUUGCAUGCUAGAAGCCUACAUCGUUUUGCAUGCCAUGGUUGGCCUCGUUUUGCGUGAGUGGCAUCUUCCUUGUUUUGAGUGCGUCGAGCCCGCCGAUCACCCAUGUUUUUUUUUGACAAAAAUAUAAAAUUUUCAUUUUCACUAAAUAUUUUUCUUGAGCAUUAAGUUAAACUUUUGAAGGAAUUUGGAAGCAAUUUUACGGUUUAUUGAGCAAUGAAUUUAUAUUUAGUAGAAUAUUUAAGCCGAAAACAAAAAAAAUAAGUGAAAAAUAUAGUGGUGAGGACCAGAACAUUGUCAAAUGGGGCUCUACAAUCAAGAAUCUCAACGGAAAGUCUUCUCUUAAUUUCAAAACUCAACAGUCAAGCGAAGGUUAAAAAAAAUUGAUUGAACAAUGAUUAAUGUAUGAAUUUGCAAAACCGAUUGAAAACCGUGAGUGUUAAUCCACGUUUUUUUGUGAAAAAUGCAAAUUUUUUAUUUUCUUGAAAUAUUUCCCGUGCACAUUAAGGAAAUCUUUAUAAUAUAUUUGGAAGCAAAUUUACGACUUAUAGAGCAAUAACUAUAUAUUUAGUUGAAUAUUUAAGCUGAAAAGUAAAAAUAAAAAAAAUUGAAAACUAUAGAGAUGCCAAAAUGUAUAGUUAGUGUAUAUUUUUUAAAUUAGAGAUGUUAAAAUCACUUGUAGUUGAGGCUUAAAUAAAAAAUAGCAAAAUUUUGUUUUGUUAAAUAGUCUUUCACCUUCUUUUGGCUGACAAAAAAAGUUAUAUUAAUAUGUAGUUUAGGUUUAGAUAAAAUAAAAACAAAAAAAAGUCGUUGAUUACAAGUGUUGAAAUAUGAAUUAUAAUGAAUUUUUCCCGGAAAAAUAAUCAUUUUUGAACAUGAAUAUGAUAGUUUGUUGUAGUGGUAAGAGAAAUAUAAGAAAAUUAACAAAAAUGUGGAAAAAAAGAUUUAAAUUCUUGCACCCUCAAGAAUUUCACUCAUUUUUGCACAUUUUUUUGUUAAUGUUUCCUUUUAUUUCUCUUGCCACUACAACAAACUACUACUCAUGUUCUUCAAAAUUUAAUUUUCCAUUCGUGGACCCCGACUCAUUUUCUAAGCACCCGGGAAUUCGCCUCACUCUGUGUCUGCGAAGUCGGCUUUGUCCUGUGUGCUUUGGUUCACCUCGUUCUGCAUGUGAGGUGCCUUCAUCAUUUUGCAUGCCAAAAGCCCACCGUUUUUGCAUCCACGGAGCCCGCGUCGUUUUGGCGUGCAAGGAACCAGCCUCAUUUUUCUUGCGCAGGGCUAGCCUCGAUUUGUGCGACGUAACCCUCCUCAUUUCUUGUGCAUGGAGCUCGUCUUGUUUUACGUGCCAAAAGCCCUCAGUUUUUUGCAAAAGAAGUCCACAUCGUUUUGUGUGCCAUGGUUGGCCUAGUUAUGCGUGAGCAGUAUUCGUCUCGUUUUGCAUGUGUCAAGCCCGCCGAGCACCCAUGUUUUUUGACAAAAAUGCAAAUUUUUUAUUUUCACGAAAUAUUUCUUCAGAGCAUUAAGUUAAACUUUUGAAAGAAUUUGGAAGCAAUUUUACGGUUUAUUGAGCAACGAAUGUAUAUUUAGUAGAAUAUUUAAACCGAAAACUAAAAAAAUAAGUGAAAAAUAUAGUGGUGAGGUGAGGCCCAGAACAUUGUCAAAUGGGGCUCUACAAUCAAGAAUCUCAACUGAAAGUUUUCUCUUAAUUUUCAAAACUCAACAGUCGGGCGAAGUUGAAAAUAAAUUAAUUGAACGGUAAUUAAUGCACGAAUUUGCAAAACCGACCGAAAAUAGUGAGUGUUAAAUCCACGUCUUUUUUCUAAAAAAUGCAAAUCUUUUAUUUUCUCUAAAUAUUUUUGGUGAGCAUUAAGGAAAUCUUUAUAAUGUUUUUGGAAGUGUAUUUACGAUUUAUAGAGCAACAAGUAUAUAUUUAGUUGAAUAUUUAAGCUGAAAAGUAAAAAACAUAAUAAUAAUUGAAAACUAUAGAAAUGCGAAAAUGUAUAUUUAGUGUAUAUUUUUUAAAUUAGAGAUGUUAAAAUCACCUGUAGUUGAGGCUUAAACAAAAAAUAGCAAAAUUUUGUUUUGUUAAGUAGUCUUUCACUCUCUUUUGGUUGACAAAAAAAGUUCUAUUAAUAUGUAGUUUUGGUUUAGAUAAAAAGAAAAAUUAAUAGAAAAAGGUACAAAUAUCUUUAAACUUAGGUUUUAAGUCAUUGGUUACAAGUGUUGAAAUACGAAUUAUAAUAGAUUUUUCACGGAAAAAUAGAAGAACAUGAAUAUAAUAGUUUGUUGUAGUGGUAAGAGAAACAAAAGAAAAUUAAUAAAAAUGUGCAAAAAUGAUUUAAAUUCUAGGGGGUGCUAGAAAGUUAGGCUGGCCUCGAUUUGUGUGACGUAUCCCUCUUUGUUUUUCGUGCGCAAAGCUGACCAUGAUUUUCGCACAAUAUUUUCUGUGAGCAUUAAAGAAACAUUUACAAGGCAUUUGGAUGCAGUUUUAUGAUUUAUAGAGCAGCAAAUGUAUGUUUAGUAGUAUAUUUAAGCCGAAAAGUAAAAACAUAAAUGAGUGAGUUCCAAAAUAUUGUUAAAAUUGGGUUCAACCCUCAAGAAUAUCAACGGAAAGUUUGUCUUUAAUUUUCAAAAGACUUCAUGGUGAGGCGAAGGUGAAAAUAAAUAGAUUGAUCAAUGAGUUAUGUAAGAAUUUGCAAAACUGAGCAUUAAAAACAUUCAUCAAUGAGUGUUACCCACGUUUUUUGUUAAAAAAAACAUUUUUUUUUAAUUUUCGUGAAACAUUUUCAAUGAACAUUAAAGAAAAGUUUAUAAGGCAUUUAGAAGCGGUUUUAUGAUUUGUUGAACAACAAAUGUAUAUUUAGUACAAUAUUUAAGCCGAAAACUAAAAAAUUAAGUGAAAAUUAUACUAGUGAGGCACAAAACAUUGUUAAAAUGGGGUUACACCCUCUAGAAUAUCAACGGAAAGCCUUACUUGAUUUUCAAAAUUUCACGGUGAGGCAAAGGUGAAAAUAAAUAGAUUGAAUGAUGUUUUAUGUACGAAGUGGAAAAACUACUAAAAAUCGUGAGUGUUAACCCACAUUUUUUCUCAAAAAUGCAAAAAAAUAAAAAAUUUGCGAAAUAUUUUUCGUGAGCAUUAAGGAAAACUUUUUAAGUCAUUGGAAGUGGUUUUAUGAUUUAAUGAGAAAAAAAAAUGUAUAUUUAGUAGAAUAUUUAAGCUGAAAACUAAAAAAAAAUAAGUGAAAAAAUAGAAUAGUGAGGCCCAAACUAUAACAUCUCACAUCGCCCAGAGGAGUGAUCCUUAAAUGUAUAUUCCUAUCCCUACCUAGCACGAGGCCUUUUGGGAGCUCACUGGCUUCGGCUUUCGUAGGAACUCUGAAGUUAAGCGAGAAGGAAGCCAGAGCACUCUCAGGAUGGGUGACCCACUGGGAAGUUGCUCGUGAGUUCCCAAAAAUAAAAUCGUGAGGGAAUGGUAAGCCCAAAGAGGACAAUAUCGUGUUACGGUGGUGGAAUGGACCCGGAAUGUGGUGGACCCAGCUGGGAUGUGACAAAUGGUAUCAGAGCCAAUCCCUGGUUGGAAGUGUGCCGACGAGGACGUCGGGCCCCUAAGGGGGGUGGAUUGUAACAUCCCACAUCGCCCAGAGAGUGAUCCUUAAAUAUAUAUUCUCAUCUCUACCUAGCAGGAGGUAAGCCCAAAACGGACAAUAUCGUGCUACGGUGGUGGAACGGGCCUGGAAUGUGGUGGACCCGGCUGGGAUGUGACAAAUGGUAUCAGAGCCAAUCCCUGGUUGGAAGUGUGCCGACGAGGACGUCGGGCCCCUAAGGGGGGGUAGAUUGUAAUAUCCCACAUCGCCCAAAGAGUGAUCCUUAAAUGUAUAUUCUCAUCUCUACCUAGCACGAGACCUUUUGGGAGCUCACUAGCUUCGAGUUCCGUAGGAACUCUGAAGUAAAGCGCGAAGGAGGCCACUGGCUUCGGGUUUCGUAGGAACUCCGAAGUAAAGCGAGAAUGAGGCCAGAGCACUUCCAAGAUGGGUGACCCACUGGGAAGUUGCUCAUGAGUUCUCAAAAACAAAACCGUGAGAGAAUGGUAAGCCCAAAGCGGACAAUAUCGUGUUACGGUGGUGGAACAGGCCCGGGAUGUAACACAAACCAUUGUUAAAAUAGGGUUCCAUCCUCAAGAAUAUCAAUAAAAGGUCUUACAUGAAUUUUCUAAACCUCACGGUUCAAAGAAGGUGAAAGAAAAUAGAUUUAAUGAGAACUUUUGUACAAAUUUGGAAAACAACAACAAAUUGGUAAUGGUUAGCCCAUGUUUUUUUGACAAAAAUGAAAUUUUUUUAUUUUUGCGAAAUAUUUUUUGUCAUGAUUAAAAAAAUUUAUAAGGCAGUUGAGAGAGGUUUUACCCAUGGUCCGAAAUGCAGAUAAUAUCGGCGAUAUAUCGCCGAUAUUAUCGGUUUUGAGGAGUACCGAUUUUUUUUUCUAUAUCCAACUGGUUUUCGGGAUAAUAUCGCGAUGUUAUCGAUAUUAUCGAUAAUAUCGCGAUAUUAUCGAAUUUAUCGAUAAUAUCGGUGGCUGACUUCUCGGAGAAGAACGCCGGAGCUGUAGAAGCUCCGGCCGACUGUAAAACAGGACCCUAGACUCCGAUCUAGGUAUGAAAAUGAAAAACAAGACGAGAUGAACAUUUGUAUAUAUUCUUACUUUUUGGUUUUAGAUUCUAGCAAUACUUGCAAAAAAUUUAUGUGGCCCUUUGAUGUGGUUGGGUCAUCUCAUCUGAGAUGCCUGACUAAUUUUACAAUAUGUCCAUAACUUUUUGCAGUUUCAGACCAUGGACAUCAAAUAAUACUGCUUUUAUAAUGAAACCGUGUCCGUGUGCGUGAGUCCGUGAUAUUCUUUCACAUGCAGAACAGUGUGUCAUUGUCUAUUAUAUUCUUUCACGCGGCACGCCUUAUCAGAGGUGGAGUGAUAGUAUCAGAGGCAUUCAGCAUUUUCGUUUCUUCUUCUUCCCUUACCAUUUUCAAAGCUAUUCCAGAUCCAUUCCAAAGCUUGAAAACAAACGGUUCCAUAUUUAAGGUAAGUUUACAAACUUAAAUUUAUAUUAUUGUAAUUUAUACAACAACAAAUAAAUUUGUAUGGACUCGUAUGUUAAUUUUUUUAAGUAAUUAAUACUUGCAUGUUAAUUUUUGUAAGUAAUUAAGUAAUGUUAACAAUUACAUGUUAAUUUUUUUAAGUAAUUAAGUAAUGUUGUAUAAUUAUUCCCUAGGAUAAUUUUAAUAUGUUUAAUGUUAUUUAUUAUUUUAUUUCCCUUACCAUUUUCAAAGCUAUUCCAAAUCCAUUCCAAAGCUUGAACACAAACGGUUCCAUAUUUAAGGUAAGUUUACAAACUUAAAUUUAUAUUAUUGUAAUUUAUACAACAACAAAUAAAUUUGUGUGGACUCGUAUGUUAAUUUUUUUAAGUAAUUAAUACUUGCAUGUUAAUUUUUUUAAGUAAUUAAGUAAUGUUAACAAUUACAUGUUAAUUUUUUUUAAGUAAUUAAGUAAUGUUGUAUAAUUAUUCCCUAGGAUAAUUUUAAUAUGUUUAAUGUUAUUUAUUAUUUUAUUAAUAUUAGGUUUUAUUAUCAAAUUGGAUUAUUAUUCAUUAAUAAUAGGUUUUUUUUAUUAUCAAAUUGAAUUAUUAUUCAUUAAUAUUAGGUUUUAUUAUCAAAUUUGAUUAUUCUUCAUUAAAUUGGAUUAUUCAUUAAAUUGGAUUAUUAUCAAAUUGUAUUAUUAUUCAUCACCAUGUUUUAUAUUAGGAUUAUUUUUUUAUCAAAUUGGAUUAUUAUUCAUUAAUAUUAGGUUUUUUUUAAUUAUCAAAUUGGAUUAUUAUUCAUUAAUAUUAGGUUUUAUUAUCAAAUUUGAUUAUUCUUCAUUAAAUUGGAUUAUUAUCAAAUUGGAUUAUUAUUCAUCACCAUGUUUUAUAUUAGGAUUAUUUUUUUAUCAAAUUGGAUUAUUAUUCAUUAAUAUUAGGUUUUUUUAAUUAUCAAAUUGGAUUAUUAUUCAUUAAUAUUGGGUUUUAUUAUCAAAUUGGAUUAUUCUUCAUUAAAUUGGAUUAUUCAUUAAAUUGGAUUAUUAUCAAAUUGGAUUAUUAUUCAGUAAUAUUAGGUUUUAUUAUUCCAUAUUAUUUGUAUAAUUACUUAAAUUUUUACAAUCAUUUUCAUUACUUCAUAUUUAAUUCUUCUGUAGAAUAACUUUAUUAUUUAGGUUCUCUUAUUUUAUCAAAAAAUAAUUGUCUAAUUUUCAUGAAAAAUAAAUAUAGGUACAUUUAAGAUGUCAAGUGGAGUUACUAAACGUGAUCCAGCUUGGAAACAUGGAGACCCAAUAGACGGAAACAAACAUGGCACAAUUUGCAAAUAUUGUGGUCGGGUAAUGAAGAGUGGCGGAGUGACACGACUAAAGUACCAUCUUAGUGGAUUAGAUCCAGCAAAAAAUGUCCAACGAUGCGAUAAUGUCCCCCCAGAAGUGAAGGCAUUCAUCAGCAUAUUAUUAAAAAAUAAAAAACAGCAGAAGGAAAAGAUAACACAUGGAAUGGAAAAUAUUCGAGCUGGGCUACGAGGAGAAGUCAUUGGGCAAGCGGUUGACAGUGAUGAUGAUGACGAUGAGGACGAAUGUGAUGAUGACAUGGGACCUGAAGAACGACGCAGUUUGAAACAAGCAUUACGUGCCUCCAAACAGUCAGCAUGGGAAAGAGAACACCUUCAUAAAAUUCCUAAUAGGGGACAAGGUUCCGGGACAAGUGGUGGUGCACAAAUGAGACGGGGAGGCAGUCUUAGAGAAUCACAACCAACACCACCAAUAGCCCCAAGUUUAUAUAAGUCAUCCAACGCACGUCAAAAGAGUGUUUGGAGUUAUUUCAAGGGAGGUAAUGUGAAGGAGGGAAUGGGGCGUCUAAUUAGCAAGUUCUUUAUCUAUGAAAAUGUCCCUGCUGAGAAAGCAUCAUCACAUCAUUUCAAAAAUAUGGUAGUGGGAUGUCAACAGGCCGGUGUUGGAGUACAACCUCCCACUCCUUAUGAGAUAAGAAACAAAUAUUUGGAUAUGGAGUAUAAAGACAUUGGCGAGUAUGUUAACAAGUUGAGGUCAAAGUGGGAAACUAAUGGUUGCACAAUCAUGUGUGACGGAUAGACUGGGCCGACCAGAUUGUCUAUCAUAAACUUCAUGGUAUACUCCAAGGGAAAGACAAUUUUUUUGAAGUCUGUUGAUGCUUCAGACCAUAUAAAGAACUACAAGUAUAUUUACAAAUUAUUGAAGGAUGUAAUCAUGGAGGUGGGAGAGCAUAAUGUUGCCCAAGUCGUGACCGACAACGGUUCUGCAUUUGUCAAAGCUGGAAAAAAGUUAAUGAAGCAUCAUAAUGUGUUUUGGACAUCAUGUGCAGCACAUUGUAUUAAUCUCAUGUUUGAGGCAAUGGGGAAGAAAGAGAAUGUUGCUACUGUGGUCAAAAGAGCUAGAACAAUCACAAAUUAUAUUUACAAUCACGGUUGGUUAUUGGCAGAUGCGUGAAUUUUGCAAAGGAGAAAUCAUUCGUCCAGCUACCACUCGAUUUGCCACCAACUAUAUUGCAUUAGACAGCCUACUGAAGAAGAAAGCAGGGUUGAAGCAACUAUUCACUAGUGACGAUUGGGCCAACCACAAUUUCAGCCGCUCAAAUACAGGUCGUAUGGUGGAAAGUAUAGUGCUUGAUCAUGCUUUCUGGACUCAAUCAGAACAUGUGUGCCAACUGUUUGAACCUCUUUACAAAGUUUUACGGAUCGUUGACACAGAAGUGUAUCCUACUAUGGGGGCAGUAUAUGAGUUGAUGCGUGUAGUGAAGGAUGAAUUGGAAAGAAAACAUGGUGCAAGGUGGGUCAUAAAGAUAAUUGAAGAUCGAUGGUAUAAAACAUUAUACCACGAUUUGAAUGCAGCAGGUAUAAAUUAUGUCAUAAUUUGCAAUUCAUUUCUUUAGUUGCAUAAGUUUUAUUUCUCUUAUUAGAGUAUGUGUUUCUUUGAACAGCAUAUUAUUUGAAUCCUCGAUACCAAUACAGACCCGGUGUUGGAGAUGAUGGUACCCUUAUACGUGCUGUACAUAAUGUAUACUUUAAAUUAAAACCUGCAUCACCAAUAGUUGGCCAAUUUGGAAAUGAGGUACACAAUUACUUAAAUUAUAAUAAUUACUUAAAUUAUAAUAUUAAUAAUUACUUUGUUGGAUUAAACUAACACGAUUUAUUGAAUUCAGCUAACAUGGUUUAAAAGAUGCAAGAAGAACUUUUGGAGAACCAACAUCAAUUGCUGCUCGAACAACAAUGUCUCCUAGUGAGUGUAAACAUAUUUCACUAUAAGUUUAUAAUAGAAUUUGUUCGAGUUAUUAGGCUUAUCAACAUUGUUUUUCAUUGUAGCUGAAUGGUGGAUCAUGUAUGGGACCGAUGCACCAACUGUGAGAAAGUUAGCAAUCAAAGUAUUAUCACAAACAGCUUCCUCAUCUGCUUGUGAAAGAAAUUGGAGCACAUUUGCACUGAUACACACAAAGCAAAGAAAUAGGUUGGCGCAUAGUAGGUUGGAAAAAUUAGUUUAUUGCUACUACAACAUGAAGCUUCAAAUUCGAGAUAAGGAAGCAGAAAUAUAUCAUGUCGACCGUGGUGACCCACUAGAUGUGUUUGAUAUUGUUGGUGAAGAUGAUGAUAUGGAGGGUAACCAACUUUUUCAAUGGAUUAGACCUCUUCAUUUAGAUGAUGAUGAAGGCAACCCAGCUCCCAGAGUUGCUGAAGAAGCACGUAAUAAAGGGAUAAAUGUAGAAAGAGUAUUAGAGGAGGAGGUGGGAUCUAGCAGCGCUGACUCUUUGGAUGAACUUUUCCGCCCAAGACCAAGAAACACUGGAAUUCCACCUUCUUCCAAUCCUACACAACCACAACAUCGUGCUGAUACUAAUGAUAGCUCUAGUACAAGAUCAGGAGACUCACCUACCACCGGAGGUGGGAAUGAUGAAGGACAUAGUGGAGCUGGAGGUAGUGAAGCUGGAGGUAGUGGUGGUGGAUAUGGAAACUAUUAUGGACCACCACCUCCCGGAUAUAUGAGCCCCUUCACUGGUGAGGCAAACUUCACGCAUGCAACACAGGAUGAUGACCAUGGCAGUAGGCGGGCAGGACCAGGAAUUGGGUGCCAUAGGAAGGACUAUACUCGCAGAGAAAGAGGCAAGGGGAUUUUGUCAAGUCAAAAAGAUGACUCGUUAUCUAGAACUUCAGACUCUGUUGGAUUGGGAAGUAGUAACUAUGGUUAUACUCAUAACCAACCAUUUCCCUACCCUUCAUAUCCCAUUCCUGUUGGGAUGGAAUCGAGCGACUCAUGGAAACAAUUACAGCCUCAAUCUUCAAAUGAUUUUUCUUAUAGACAACCUCAACCAAUCUCGGAUCCAUAUGGGUGGCAUGUUUAACAAUUACAUGCAAAAACUAUUUUGGGGAUUUAUCAUUUGAUAACUACUCUUCACAAUACACUCAUUCUACACAUAGAGAUGAUGAAGAUAGUGAAAAAUUUGAACCUCAUAGGAACUCUAUGUGGUACUAAAGUGUAAAAUAUUGUACUAAUUCAUUAUAUAUAAAUGAUUAUGGUGUGUUUAGACUUCUUUCAUUAAUUACUACAUAUUUUCUACACUCAGAAUGUUUGUCAGAUCGCUAUAUAAUCAACUUGAUAAUGUUAAAUCAUCAUGCAAUGCAUUUCCUUCCAAUUUUUUGUGAUAAACUAAUAGAUAAUUGACUAAAUAAACAUCCUGCAAAGUUUCAAUAAAAAUUUCCAAGUUUUUCUUACAAUUUCCGUGGUUUCCAUGUAAUUUUUAUCGAUAUCGAUAUUAUCCCGAUAUUUCCAUCGAUAUUUCCGUGUUUUCGGAUUACCGAUAUUUCCGAUAUUACCGAUAUUUAAUACCUUGGUUUUACCAUUUAUUGAGCGACAAAUAUGCUUUAAAUAGAAUAUUGAAGCCGAAAACCAAAAAAAAAAAACUGAAAAAACGGUGAUGGGAUUCAAAACAUUGCUGAAACGAUACAUCAUCCUCAAGAUUAUGAACGAAAAGUGCUGAAUGAAUUUUCAAGACCUCACUGUGCAUUGAAGGUGAAAGCUUAUAUAGACCUUAUGAUGAUUUUUGUAUUGUUUUGCAAAACCGCCUAAAAACCGUGAUGGUUAGUCCAAGUUUUUUUGACAAAAAUUCAAAUUUUUGUAUUUUGCCAAAUAUUAUCCCUCAUAAUUAAAAAAACAAAAUCUUUAUAAGACAUUUGGAACCGGUGUUACUAUUUAUACGAGCCACAAAUGAAUUUUAAAUAGAAUAUAUUUACGCCGAAAACCGAAAAAUAAAUGGAAAAAGAAGUAGUGGGACCCAAAACAUUGCCGCAACAAGACUUCUUCCUUGAGAUUAUUAACGAAAAGUCUUAGAUGAAUUUUCAAGACCUCAUGGUGCAUUGAAAGUGAAAGCAUAUAGACUUUAUGACGAUUUAUUUUGCAAAACGACCAAAAAACCGUGGUGGUUAGCACUUGUUUUUUUUUUGUUGAGAAAAAUGCAAUUUGUUUUUGUGAAAUUUUUUUGUCAUGAUUAAGAAAAGCUUUAUAAGGAAUUUGGAAGCGGUUUUACUAUUUAUUAACCUACAAAUAAAUUUUAAAAGAGUUUUUAAGUUGAAAACUGAAAAAUAAUGGAAAAAAAAUAGUAGUGGGGUGAAAACUUUGCCAAAAUAGAAUUUCCAAACUCAGGAAUAUUAACGAAAGGUCCUACAUGAAUUUUCUAAACCUUACGGUGCAGUGAAGGUGAAAGAAAAUAGAUUUUAUAACAGCUUUUGUAAAAAUUUGCAAAAUCGCCUAAAAACCACGAUGGUUAGACCCCUUUUUGAGAAAAAAAAUGCAAUUUUUUAAUUUUGCGAUAUAUUUGCGUCAUGAUUAAGAAAAACUUUAUUGAGCCACAAAUAUUUCUAAUAUAAUAUUUAAACCGAAAACUGAAAAAAUAAAUGGAAAAAAAAAAACAGUGCGCACUCCAAAACAUUGCUGAAACAAGACUUCAUCCUUAAGAUUAUGAAUGAAAAGUGUUAGAUGAUUUUCAAGACCUCACGGUCUAUUAAGGUGAAAACAUAUGGACUUUAUGACGAUUUUUGUAAUAUUUUGCAAAAAACCGCCUAAAAAUCAUGAUGGUUAGUACACGGUUUUGGAGACCAAUUAAAAAAAAAUUUACCAAAUUUUUGCCGUCAUGAUUAAGAAAGACUUAAUAAAAACUUUGGAAGCGAUUUUUCCAUUUAUUGAGCUACAAAUGAAAUUUUAAAAGAAUUUUUAAGCCACAAACUGAAAAAUAAAUGGAAAAAAAAGUUGUGGGGCGAAAACAUUGCCGAAAUGAAAUUCCAAACUCAAAAAUAUCAAAGAAGGGUCUUACAUGAAUUUUCUAAACAUCACGAUGCGGUGAAGGUGAAGGCAAAUAGAUUUUAUGACAACUUUGUACAAAUUUGCAAAAUCGCCUAAAAACAGUGACAGCCCCAUGUUUUUUUUGAAAAAAAUGCAAACUUUUAUUUUUAAGAAAUAUUUUUCUCUAUUAUUAAAAAAAACUUUAUAAGGCAAUUGAAAGAUGUUUUACCAAUUAUUGAGCCGCAAAUAUAUUUUAAUAAAAUAUUUAAUCCGAAAAAUGGAAAAAUUAAUUGAAAAGAAUAGUAGUGGGGCAUAAACAUUGUGAAAACGCAAUUCCAAACUCAAAUAAUAUCAAUGGAAAGUCUUAUAUGAAUUUUCUAAACCUCACGAUGCGGUGAAGGUGAAAGCCAAAAGAUUUUAUAACUUUUAUAUAAAUUUGCAUAAUUGCCUUAAAACCGUGUAGGUUAGCAGUGAUAGCCCGUCCUGAAAUAUAUUGUCGAUGGUGUGAAAUGUCCAUUUUACCCUUGAGCGUUAUGUGGUGUUGUGUGGUUUAAGUUUUGGAUGUGGACAAAAUAUGUUAAGUUCUAAUUGUUUGGACCCAAUUAGAACUAAGCUUUUCUUUGUUUUUGGUUGGUAGCCCAAGCUGGACCACACACACACACAAACCCGUUGACUUCUCUCUCUCUCGGAUUUUUUUUCCAUUUCCGUACAAUUGUACGGACAAGCUUUCAACCAACUUCAUCACUCACGGAUCGAAGUUGUGGAAGUCGUAUUUGUGCUCCUUUCAACCUCAGGAGUCGAGUAGUGAUUUUGGUUGGACGUGAGGCCCUCAAAAACCUAAGAACCAAAAACCCCCGAAGAGGUGCACAGUGACUCGACGUGAUCGCGAAGGUUUCAGGUAGAUUUGAGACUUAAGAAGGUAUUAUUCUUGCUUUCCUAGCACGCUGGAUCAAUUUUGGAGUGGUUUUGACGUUAUAACUCUCGGGUUUAGUGAGUUGCAGGGGUGGCCGGAUUAUCGAGAUUUUUUCGGCGAGAUUACGUUGGAUUUUGGACGUAAAAUUGGUAAGGAUAUGUUCCUCUAGUCCUAAGCUUCAAUUUGGUAUAAAUUUCGUGAAUUUUGGUUGAGAAAUGAAGAAGAUAUUGAAGUUUAAAGUUUUUCCCAGUUUCCGACGACGGCGACGGAAUCCGAUGACUCACCGGAGAAAAAGACGAAUAUUCUGUCAAUUUUGACGGAAUAUUCCUAACGGCGACUAACGGCGUCAAGUAUCUUUAAUGGCAUAUUCUAUAUUUUUAAACGGCGUUAAGGAAUUCGUCAGUGUGCCAGGCACGUGCUUGCGUGUGGGCCUAGCGUCUGGCCAUGCCUUGGCCGGCGCGUGAGGGCGCGUGCGUGCUUAGAAAAUUUUUCUAAAAAUAUGGGGAUGUUCCCGAGGUUGUGUAGGUCUCAAUGGUAUAUUCAAAUACCCCAAUUGAGCAAUGUAUGAGAAGUUAUUACCUAGUUUUGUGUAUGUGCUUUAAAAUAACGUUUAUAUAGUUGUUUCGCAUAUAGGUGAGACCUAUCCUGAGGACGAGCGCAAUCAAUUGAGACUCGGGGGCUACGACCCUUCCACAUAUCAGUGAGUGGCCUUUUAGUUUUCAGUAUAUACUUAUAUACUUGGUAUUUUUCCCAGAAAAUCUAUUUAAAUGAAAUUAUGUUUUGAAAUGUCAUGCCUAUUGAUUUAUGCUUAGACUAUGAAUUAGUAUAGAAAUUGCAUAUAUCUAUGUUCAACGCUGUGGACGCUCAGGUAAGUACCAAGUGAGUUGUAGAUUGUUUAUAUGAUGGAUGAUUAUGUGAGAUGUGUUGAGAGCUCAUAAACCUGCACCCCGGCGUUCGUGCUCCCGCCCGUGGUUAGGGCACAGCCCUUCACGUGAUGUUCACCUCCCGCACCACACGCUUACCUUAGAUCCAAGUUAGGUGCACAGUCCUGUCAUACAGACCAUUUUAGGUGGUUCUGACUCGUAGGUGACCUACGAUUAUUCGAACAAUCUUCACAUGAUCGUAGCACUAGAGCUUAUUUAUUUACACCUAGUCUUGUCGUACAGACCACUAUAGGUGAUUCCGACUUGUGUGCUGGCAUACUUGUUGAGCUAUAGAUUCAGCCGUACAUGCCACUUUAGGUGGAUCCGGCUGAUAUGUUAUUUCUCAUGAGUUAUUUUACCUAAGUUACUUAUUAUGUUAUUUUGAGAUAUUUGGCACGACAUAUUUAUGAAUAUCAUUUUCUGAGCAUGGUUUUGAGAUAUGUAUAUAUAUUCUAUUUUCUGGGAAAUUAUAAAGGUUUUACGGCGAAGGGUUAGAACUUUCGAGAAAUGAAAUGGUUUUGAAAAGCUUUGUUUUUGCCCACUCACACUUUAUGUUUUGCGUCCCUCCAGCUUUUAGGUAGGAGUGCUUAUUGGUGGCUCUCGAGGAACUCACGGCAUAUCUGACAGAUUAUCACCAAUGUAGGAUCAUCUUUGGGGAUUGUAUAAUUAGUAUUCGUUAUGCUGGACUGCACUUAGGCUACUUAUGCUCUGGUUGUGCAAUCACACUUAAUAUCGCACUUGCACCUUAUCUUAUUUAGUGCUCUAGUUGGUUUUGUUUUUUUUAUUUGCAUUUCCUUAUAUUAAUAUUUCUUCCGCAUUGUGCAUAUGACUACGUUACCCUCAUGUGACGACCAGCAUGCCUCGAUCUAGGUCGGGGUGUGUCAUUAGCCCAUAUUUUUCAAAAAAAAAACAUUUUUGCGAAAUAAUAUUCGUCAUGAUAAGAAAAAAAAUUAAUAAGGAAUUUGGACGGUUUUACUAUUUAAUGAGCCACAAAAAAAAUUUUGAUAGAAUAUUUAAGCCGACAACUGAAAAAUAAAUUGAAAAGAAAAGUAGUGGGGUGAAACAUUGUCGAAACGCAAUUCCAAACUCAAGAAGUUCACCAUUCCAAACUCAAGAAUAUCAACAUAAAGUCUUACAUUAAUUUUUGUAAAACUCACGGCAUUGUGAAGGUGAAAGCAAAUAGAUUUUAUGACAUUUUUUUUACAAAUUUGCUAAACUGUCUAAAAACAGUGAUAACGACCACAUUUUUUUAGAACAAUACAAAUUUUUUAUUUUUGCGAAAUAUUUUUUGUCAUGAUUAAGGAAAACUUUAUAAGGCAGUUGAAAGGUGUUUUAAUAUUUAUUGAGCCACAAAUAUAUUUUCAAUAGAAUAUUUAAAUUGAAGACUGAAAUUCAAAAAUGCCAAAACACUGCCAAAAAGAAAUUCAAAACUCAAGAAUAUCAACGGAAGGUCUUACAUGAUUUUUUUAAACUUCAUAGUGCGUGAAGGUGAAAGCAAAUAGAUUUUAUUACAACUUUUGUGCAAAUUUGCAAAACCAUCUAAAAACCGUGAUGGUUAGCCACCAUUUUUUAAGAAAAAUACAAAUUUAGGCCCAUUAUGCAUACUAUCCUCAGUUUGUACAUAUUAUUCAUUGCUUAAUGAAUAUCGUACUUUUCUUGAAAAAAAAAAUGCAAAUUCUUGAGGGUGGAACCCCAUUUUAACAAUAUUUUGAGCCUUAAUAGUAUAUUUUUCACUUAUUUUUUUAGUUUUCGGUUUCAAAUAUUGUACUAAAUAUACAUUUGUUACUCAAUAAAUCAUAAAACCGCUUCCAAAUGCCUUAUAAAUUUUUUCUUAAUGCACACAAAAAAUAUUUCUAGAGAACAAAAAUUUGCAUUUUUCACAAAAAACGUGGACAGUUUUUAGUUGGUUUUGCAAAUUCGUACAUAAAUCAUCGUUCAAACUGUUUAUUUUCACCUUCACUACACCGUGAAGUUUUGAAAAUUAAGAUAAGACUUUCCUUGAGAUUCUUGAGGGUAAAACUCCAUUUGACAAUGUUUUGAACCUCACUGGUAUAUUUUUCACUUAUUUUUUUAGUUUUCAACUUAAAUAUUCUAUUAAAUAUACAUUUAUUGCUCAAUAAAUCAUACAUCCGCUUCGAAAUGCCUUAUAAAGUUUUCCUGAAUGCUUAGGGACAAUAUUUCCCAAAAAAAAAAAUUUGCAUUUUUGGCAAAAAAACGUGGGUUAACACUCACGAUUUUUAGUCGGUUUUACAAAUUCGUAUGUAAAUCAUCAUUCAAUCUAUUUAUUUUCUCCAUCGCCUCACCUCGAAGUUUUGAAAAUUAAGGUAAGACUUUCCAUUGAUAUUCGUGUGGGUGGAACCCCAUUUUAACAAUGUUUGGGCGUCACUUGUAUAUUUUUCACUUAUUUUUUUAGUUUUCGGCUUAAAAUAUUGUACUAAAUAUGCAUUUGUUGCUCAAUAAAUCAUAAAACUACUUCCACAUGCCUUAUAAAGUUCUCCUUAAUGCUCACGGAAAAUAUUUCGUGAAAAUAAAAAAUUUGCAUUUUGACAAAAACUGUGGGUUAACACUCAUGGUUUUUAGUCGAAUUUUGCAAAUUCUUGCAUAAAUCAUCGUUCGAUCUAUUUACUUUAACCUUAGCCUCACCGUAAAAUUUUGAAAAUUAAGGUAAAACUUUCCUUUGAAAUUCUUGUGGGUGGAACCCCAUUAUAACAAUUUGGGCCUCACUUGUAUAUUUUUCACUUUUUUUUUAGUUUUCGGCUUAAAUAUUCUACUAAAUAUACAUUUGUUGCUCAAUAAAUCAAAAAUUCAUUUCCAAAUGCCUUAUAAGGUUUUCCUUAAUGGUCACGGAAAUAUUUCAUGAAAAUAAAAAUCUGCAUAUUUGACAAAAAACGUGGGUUAAUCUCACGGUUUUUAGUCAGAUUUGCAAAUUCGUACAUAAAUCACCGUUCAAUCUAUUUAUUUUCACAAUCGCUGCACUGUGAAGUUUUGAAAAUUAAGGUAAGACUUUCUAUUGAUAUUCUUGAGGGUGGAACUGCAUUUGACAAUGUUUUCGGCCAUACUGGUAUAUUUUUCACUUAUUUUUUUAGUUUUCGACUUAAAUAUUCUACUAAAAAAAUAUUUGUUGCUCAUUAGAUUGUAAUCCGCUUCCAAAUACCUUAUAAAGUUUUUCUUAAUUCUCACGGAAAAUAUUUCGCGAAAAUAAAAAAUCUGCAUUUCUAACAAAAAAACAUAGGUUUACACUAAUGGUUUUUAGUUUGUUUUGCAAAUUCAUACAUAAAUCAUCGUUCAAUCUAUUUAUUUUCACCUUCACCUCACCAUGACAUUUUGAAAAUUAAGGUAGAAACUUUCUAGUUAUAUUCUUGAGGGUGGAACCCCAUUUGACAAUGUUUUGGGCCUCACUGGUAUAUUUUUCACUUAUUUUUUUAGUUUUUAGCUUAAAUAUUUUACUAAAUAUACAUUUGUUGUUCAAUAAAUCAUAAAUCCACUUCCUUAUAAUGUUUUCCUUAAUGCUCACGGGUUUACGAAUAAAAAAUUUGCAUUUUUUGACAAAACAACGUAUACCUACUGCGUUUAGGCAGUUUUGCAAAAUGGUACAAAAAUCGUCUAGUCUAUAUGUUUUCACCUCCAACAUGCCGUGACAAUUUGAGAGUUAAUGUUGGACAUUUUGUUUAUAUUCUUGUGGAUGGAGUUCUUUUUCUGUAAUGUUUUGGUGCCAACAAACUAUUUCUUUUACAUUUAUUUUUCAACUUUUGGCUUAAAUAUUAUAUUAAAUUUUAUUUGUGGCUCAAUAAAUGGUAACACCCUUCCAAAUGCCUUAGAAAGAUUUUUUAAAUUAUGAGGGAAAAUAUAUGGCAAAAAUUAAAAAAAUUUGAAUUUUUCUCAAAAAAUGUGGACGUUAUCACAAUUUUUGGGCGGUUUUGCAAAAUAGUAUAAAAAUAAUCGGCAUGGAGUCUAUAUGCGUUCACCUUCAAUGCAUUGUGACGAUUUGAGAAUCAAUGUUAGACUUUUUGUUUCUUGUGGAUGGAGUUCUUUUUUGGCAAUGUUUUAGGUAGACCGGCAGUUUUGACACGACACGAAAAUAACAGGUUUCGGGUCAACACGAUAACUUAUUGGAUCAUUAUCAGGUGACCUGUUAAGAACCCGUUAAUAACGGGUAUACACGCGGGUAACAUGAGGAUAACCCGUUUCGACCCGUUAAGAAAAAAAAAUAUUUUGAUAAUUUUAAAGUUUAAUUACUAAAAGAUUUAUUAUAAAAUACAAUAGCCAUAUUAAUAUAUACAAUAUAUUCUAUAUUAAAUAUAUUUUUUUCUAUUAUUAUUCUAUAUAAGUUAAAAAAAAAAGUUUUAGUCAUUAUUUAUUUUUAUUAUGAGAGUUCCUUAUUAUCAUUACUAGGAUAAAUUUUCCUUAACAUGUUGUCCAAAAUUAAAAUAAACUAAUAUAGUAUUUGUAUAGGCAAGAACUAAGAAGACUUCCCUCCCAGUCAGUUUGUACAUCAAGGGAGGCUGCAAGGUUGUAAGCAGUUUUAACAGAGAAGGUUCCAUUAGUCGAACCCUGCCAGAUGUAUCUAUCAUCAUCAGAAUCAAUAAGUCCAGCAGGGAUCCCAAUAAUCUCUUCCACAAUAUCAUUAGGUAGCACCUCUCUCAGCUUGUUACAUACAAGUAUGAAAAAUGUGAAAGAAUAUAUAAACACUCAUGAUUCAUCAUUAUUCCUCCAUGAGUAGAUAAUGGUUACACUUACAUUAUCGUUUAGAUUUUUAAAAUCCUCCAAACCUUCAUGAAUAAUUUUUUUUAUUUGAGGGCAAAAUAAAUAAAAUUAAUAAUAAUUAUUGUAGAAGUGUAAAAAAUGUAAAAAAAUAUACAAUCACUCAUAGUGACAAACUUUACAACUUUCAUGAAGGGGUCAGCUUCGAAAUCCAACACUAUAAUUCAUAAACCUUAAAUUUAUAUUUAACCGUCGAUUGUUAUUUACGCUUUAUUCUUCUUAUUGAAUUUCAUUUUUAAAAUUUUCUUUUUUGAAAACAUGAUCAUCUGGCGGAUGUAAGAAGAUGAACUGUUCAGAUCUUUGAUAUCACAUUUCGAUAUUUACGGUUAACUGAAAUAUGAGUCGAUGUCAUAUAGUUUGUAGAAACUUUAUAAACAUCAAGCAAUAUUUUCACUAACCGUAAAACUCUGAAUAUAAUAUAAAUGAUCCAAACCAUUCAUCUUCAUGCAUCCUCUAAUAGAUCAAGUUUUCAAAAAGGAAAAUCUAAAAAAACAAAAUUUGAUGAGAAUAAUGAAGCAUAAAUGUAAACAACAAUCAACGGUUAACUUUUGAUGUAUGAUUUAUAUGAUUAUAGUGGCGAAUUUCGAAGUUAAGCUCUUCAUGAAAGUUGUAAAGAUUGUCAUUACGAGCGUUUAUAUAUAUUUUUCUAUAUUUUUUUACACUUCUUCUACAUUAAUUAAAAAACUAUUAAAGACUUUAGGUAAGUGAAAAUAUAUUUAAAAGAAAAAUGCGUUUUAUGUUUUGGAUGUGACAAUAUGGUAUGUAUAUACUUAUUUAGUAUUAUGUUUUUCAUUUGAUUAUUUAUUAGUUUAAAAUAUAUUUUCCUUAACGGGUAACGGGUCGGGUCAUAUUACCUGUUAAUAUUAUCAGGUCGAUUUCGGGUCGGGUCAUUUUACCCAUUUAUUUUAACAGGUGUUACACGACACGACCCGUUAAGAUAUUGGGUAUGACACGAAUACGGAAAACACGACACGAAUGCCAUUUCUAGUUUUAGGGCCAAUAACUAUUUUUUGCAUUUAUUUUUCAACUUUUGGCAUAAAUAUUUUAUUAAAAAUUCAUCUAUGGCCCAUAAAUGGUAACACGCUUCCAAAUAUCUUAUAAAGAUUUUGUUAAUUAUGAGGGACAAUAUUUGGCAAAAAAACAAAGAAAAAAAUUUUUACUCAAAAAACAUGCACUAACCAUAACGGUGUUUAGGUGGUUUUUCGAAAUAGUACAAAAAAAAGUCAUAUCUAUAUGCUUUCACCUUCAACGCACCGUGACGAUUUGAGAAUUAAUGUUAGACUAUUUGUUUAUAUUCUUGUGGAUGGUUGUGGAUGGAGUUCCAUUUCGACAAUGUUUCAGGGCCAUCAACUAUUUUUUUACAUUUAUUUCUAAACUUUCAGCUUAAAUAUUAUAUUAAAAAUUCAUUUGUGGCUCGAUAAAUGGUAACACCAUUUUCAAAUGCCUUAUAAAGAAUUUUUUAAUUAUGAGGGAUCGGCAAAAACAAAACAAAAAAAUUUAAUUUUCUCAAAAAACGUGAACUAACCAACAUGAUUUUUAGGCGGUUUUGCAAAAUAGAACCAAAAGUGUUGUAAAGUCUGUAUGCUUUCAUCUUCAACACACUGUGAUGUCUUUAAAAGUCAUCUAAGACUUUUCGUUAAUAAUCUUGAGGGUGAAGUCCCAUUUCGGAAAUUUUUUGGGCCCUUAUUAUUAUUUUUAUUUAUAUUUUCAGUUUUCGGCUCAAAUAUUGUAUUAAAAAUAUAUUUUUGGCUUAAUAUAUGGUAAAACUUCUUUCAACUGCCUUAUAAAGUUUUUCUUAAUCAUGACAAAAAAUCACAGAAAAAUAAAAAAAUUUGCAUUUUUCUAUAAGACGUGGGCUAACCAUCACUGUUUUUAGGCGGUUUUGUAAAUUUGUACAAAAGUUGUUAUAAAAAAUCUGCUUUCAUCUUCACUGCACAAUGAGUUCUUGAAAAUUCAUCUAAGACUUUUCAUUAAUACCCAUUUCAGCAAUGUUUUGAGCACUACUAUUUUUUUCAAUUAUCGGCUUAAAUGUUCUAUUCAAAAAUAUAUUUGUGCUCAAUAUACAGGAAAACCACUUUCAAGUGCCUUAUAAAAUUUUUCUUAAUCAUGAGGAAAAAAAUUUCGCAAAAAUAAAAAAAUUUCAUUUUUUUUUUAAAAUAUGGGCUAACCAUCACGGUUUUUAGAUGGUUUUGCAAAUUUGUACAAAAGUUGUCAUAAAGUUUAUUUUAUUUCAUGUUUGUUGCACCGUAAGGUUUAGAAAAUUCAUGUAAGACCUUCCGUUGAUAUUCUUGAGUUUGGAACUCUAUUUCGGCAAUAUUUUCGCCCCCACUAUUUUCUUUUUCCUAAUUUUCUGCUUAAAUAUUCUAUAAGAAAUUCAUUUGUGGUUCAAUAAAUGAUAAACUACUUCCCUAUUCCUUAUAAAGUUUUUCAUGAUCAUGAUGAAAAAUAUUUCGCCAAAAAAAAAAUUGCAUUUUUCUCAACAAAAAAAAGGGGACAAUUGACAAUUUUUAGUCUGUUUUGCAAAUUUGGACAAAAGUUGUCAUAAAAUCGACUUACUUUCACCUUCAUAGCAGCGUGAGGUUUUGAGAAUUCAUGUAAUACUAUUCGUUGAUAUUCUUGAGGGUGAAAUAAUGUUUUGGCAAUGUUAUUUCUUUGUUUAUUUUUCAGUUUUCAGCUUAAAUAUAUUAUAAAAAUACAUUUAUGACUCAAUAAAUGCCUUAUAAAAAAAAAUUCUUAAUCAUUACAAAAAAUAUUUGGCAAAAAUAAAGUAUCAGUUUUGGUCCCAUGCGGAGAAAAAUAGAGUAAUCGAAGGGGAUGGUAUGGAUAAAGGACAGCUAAACCGAAAAUGGAGAGUAUCAUGUUGCAGUUGCAGUGCCCUUUUCCUAUGCUGCCGGCCUAUCCGAGUCUUAUGAACCAACGACAAGGCAUAUUUGACAUACAUGUGACAUAAUCAUUGUGCAAUAAACUGCCGUGGUUUGUGUUGGGGUCGUAGGUUCAAAAUCUCAUGUUCCAAAGUUUGCUGUGUUGUGGAAUAAAAAUAAACAAAUUGAAACUGUAAUCACGCCUUGAUUCAUUUAUUACAAACUAUUCAUGCAGAACAAGAGGAACACAUUGAUAAUCUCCUUCCAACCACCUUAAUCUUCAUAUUAAUCUAUCCUUCCAACUGUUGAUAUACAUCAUGAUAAUCUACACCUAUCAGAUCUAACUAUUUCUUCCCAAACCGCCUAUUUUCGUUUACAUCCAUCUGGAAAAAGAUGGCUAUGAAUUAGCAGGCUAAAAUUACAUCUAGGAUUCCCCAUCUUACAAAAAUCGUACUAAACUGUGCCACGGCCUUCGACAGUUCACUUGGGGAUUUCAUACCUAAACAUACAUAUAUAUUUACCAAUACAUGGCCAAGUGAUCACUUGAUUUUACCUUCUCUAAGCCUUCUCUUGAUGCCUGGAGAGCUCCUUGUCAGCAAAAUGCAAAAGCCUCCUCAAUCUCAAAACCAUAUCGCAAUGAAACGGCAGUGCACUUCGCCUCUCCAGGUACGCUGGACUCGCAGUCAUCCAUGAGAGCGCAUGAAGCUCGGUUGCCAGGGAUUCCAGAAUGACAUGAGUCUCAAACUCCAAUUCUCUAGCUUCCAAGCUUGGACUCCUUCCAGCUUGUUUGGUAUUACCCCUCAUGAGUUUGUCUUGGCUAAAGCUAUUACCUCCAUAAUGAUCAAUAAGACUGACCAAAAGAGAUGAAGGCCAUUCUUCUUUCAAGUUGCUCCUACGAUCUCUCCUCACAGUAGGUACAGCUUUGGAAACCACAAAACAAGUAGAAAGGGGGAUAGCAGAGCCUUUACUAUGAAGGAGAUGGGCUAGUGGAGGUGAUUCGGCAGUGAGGCACGUGGGCAGCUGAAGAGGUGUUGGCGGGAGGAAUCGCAUGCUCGGUGAUGGGAUCAGAAUGUGAGAAGCAGGUGUGGAACCAAGAGACUUCACAGGUGUGAAGCCUUCCAGAUAUGCUGACGAGCCCAUACCGACAGCACCUUGAGCACCUGCUUAGAAAUUGGAGUCAAUAUUAUAAUCAAAUUUCACAAUAACUUCUCUGAUCCGCUUGGCAUAUUAAUAAAAGAAAAAAGGUUUGAAGUGUCUCAGAAACAAACUCGCGUGAUUUAGCUAACGGAACUAUUUUCAUAAGAAAAUUUCUCUUGUUUGUGUGGAUCUAUAGAACCCUGGUUCAUAUCGCAUAAAAAAAAUGUCCCAAUUAAUGCUGUUAGCUUUUGUUCUCAAUACUUCUUUUCCCCUCUUUUUUAAGACACGCAAAAGAAAGAAAACAAAAGAAGAAAGAGCACUUCGCUAAGCAAACGGAAAAGAUGUGUACGGUGCUGUUCAGUUCAGUGUAAAACUAUCAUUCCAAAAAUACCAAGUUCAUGUAUUGGCCCCCUUAAAGAACAAAGCACAACAGAGGUGCUGGGUAUUAAAUUUUCCUUAUCAGUCAGAUAUAAAUUAACAGAAAAUACAAAGAGUGUAAAAAAAUGUACAAAUAAGGACUGGAAGAUAUAACUGACCCGGAGAUUGUGUAUCUGCUUGAAAAACAAGAUGCAAAGAGUGAUCAAUUGCAAUUGUAACAAAGCUGAUACUUUGCACCCACUGAAGCAAACUCCUUGAGCUGUCCAUUAACUGUGUGCCCAUGAGCUGCUUUCUGACAGAAGGUUGUCCUAAGCCACCUUUCAUAUAUCCAGACAUUUUUGAGUGAGAGCUGCCAUACAGAGGGCCAGGUGAAGAAGGUAGGGUUCUUUCUUGAAUCAUACUCAUUUCCUGCUGUUGCAUGGAAGGCCCAUUACUACUAGCAGACAUCCCAUCAGACACAGAUCGCCGCAGUUGCAAGUGCCAUUUUUUCACUUCUGAACCCCCAACUGAAUUAAUUGCUUUCUGCCACUCUGUUCACAAUUAGAUGGGAAAAUUUGAAAAUUCAACACCGAUGCCAAUUUGAGAAAAGAGAAUAAAAGCUGUGAAUUAAAAUUUACUGCAUCAGUGAAAGUGAUCUCAACAUAUAAGAUGUACAAAUAAUAACCAAAUUGAUUGCAAUUACCAACAGAAAAAGAGGUUAAUAAGAAUUCUAAAUGCAUGUGGAUGUGGGCACUUUAUCUCAUAAUUUAUUUCUCACCCAUUUGGGCACUGUAUCUCAUGAUACAAUUGUCACCCUAAAAUCCCUAAUGUAGAUUUCAUCUUCCAUCACAGUUCAUCUUCAAAAUUAUUAAUCUACUCAAUAUGUUGCAGCUUUGUAACCGCACCAACACACAACGUCAACUUUAAACGGAGAAGAUAAGAACUAUGAAACAUAAAAUGAUGGGAAUGAAACUCAGUAUACCUUGGUAUUCAAGUUCAUAGAAACUUCCAAUGCGUGCAAUCACAAAGUCCCUUGGCUUGGCAACACCAGUAUCAGAAGAGCAUGCCUGCAGUAUCUGACAGCCUUGCUGCAGAACUUGCACAAAAAGGCAUUCCAACCCCUUUGUGUCCUGUCUACUGCUGAUUCCACCAAAAGGGAAUAUGUGGCUAUCAAGUAAUUCUCCCCUUGAAUCUGUCCAGAUACAUAUUAGCCAACGCCAGUCCUCUGUCCAUCCGUAGCAACAAUGCAGGCUUGGAGUCUUAUCUAGCUCAGAUCCAUCUUGAGAGCCUGAUCCAGAAUCCGCACUUCCACCCAAACUUGCAUUCUGCAGAAAGCCUCCACUACUGUCAUCUGACAAUGGCUUUGAAGAUUCUAAUGACAAAUUACCAAAAGCUAAGGGUGACAAUGCACGCUCUAGAGAACCAGGUUCCGCAAGGAUAAAAAGUGGCUCAAACAUGUAGCGAGUCUCAUCUUGCGGAAAAAAAUCUCCAAUUCUGUUGGGAUCACAGCUUACUGCUCCACUUCUUGUUGUUUGCCAUGAACUAUCCCAGCCACCAGUCCUCAAACUAGCAUCAAUUUCACCCUCUCUUGGAAGGGAAUGCCCAGUAAUUCGAGAGCCAACACAAUCCUUCCACAUCCCCGGAGUAGGAGACGACAUUUGUGUGAGGACAGCAUGUGGUCUAUUAGACAGUGAUGAUGAUUGCACUGCAUCACUAGAUGCUCCUCGUGAUAUUCGGCGAGCCUUGUUGUAAACAGUAAAAGCAGUCUCCUUGAGAAUUACAAGCUCAUUCAGUGAUGGGCUUGUAACUUUAAAAAUGGCAUCCACUGUCACAAUCUGCAGUACCAAUUUAGGAAUACUAAAACCAGAAAGUACUAAAAUAUUUGAUAUUGAUGCCUCAUCCACUGUUGCCGAAUAGCUCAAUGCCUUGGAAACCUGACUGUGCAAUAGAGAUCUCCUUUCUCUGUCUGAUUGGAAAAUGACCGAUCCGAUAGAAACAGAAGACUCAAUGACAGUCUGUAAAACUGCAAUAGGCUCAGGGAAGGGGCACACAACAUAAAUCACCUGGAUACAAAGAACCAACAUAAUAUAGGAUGUCAAUCACAAGCAGUUAAAAUAGUUUCAUAAUUAUCUUGAGCAAUUAGCAGAAAAUACAUUUUUCAAGUAACUAUCAAAAUAAGGUUAAAUUGGCUUUCCAGCGUACUCAACAGAGUCCCAAAUGAAUUAAGUUAAGAAAGCUUUGCAACUUAGGAUAAUAAAAAAUUUAUCCAGAUAUAGGAACACCACUAAAUUUCCAUAAUCAGGAAAGAAAAAGGACAGGUCGAAAUACAACAGUAAUUGAAGGCCUACUUUACUCACCGUUGAAGGACCACUACUUCCUUCUUUUGCGUUUGUGGACAAGCAGUGACCAAGUUUCAAACCUCUGAGUGCCUUUGAGAGAGACUUAAGGUAGCUUGUCAGGUCCCAUCCAUUCGAAAGAGAGAGAAAAUAAUCACUUAUUGAGCUCACAAAAGAUGCAUUCCUGCUUUCCAUCUUCAUUGCUUGAGGGCAAUCAAGUAGGACAAACCCAGGAGAUGGCCUUCUCCCAGAGUCCACCUCCAUUUGGUUCCCAACAAUCUGGGGUAAAUGAGUUCCCAGUUUGCAUGUUUCAUAGACUGGAGAAAAGGAAGCAAAAGGUAGAAUUAAAACACACAGAAAAAGGGGAGGGGUAAGAGAUCAGGUGGAAGACAAAUAUUUCUCUUUCUAAACAGAGAACAUCUGAAAGCAUGCAGAUUCACCAAAGAUAACUGAAUUAUGCACAAACUUUUAUUUUCCAUUCAAGUAAUAACUCCUAAAUGUCUCUUUGAAAUUUGAAUUUACACAUUUUCAGGGGUUGACUAGUCAAUGUAUGACUUCAACAUAAUUUAUACUGUUUAAAAGCCUAUGUGGCAGAAUUAUUUCGUAACAUUAGGUAUUCCCUUGUGUGAUUGUGAGUUUGAGUUAAAAUGUUAGAGCUUCUUCAUCCUUAUCUAAUGAUGGGAUACUAUCACUAAGAUGAUGAUGCAGAACCAAGAGAAACUUAAAAGUAGGAUCUACAAUUCUACAUUUUUGUAUAGGCAGAUUGUUAGUUUCUUUGCUAUGAUACUUCAGGCAAUUGUGUAACAGACAACAAUAACAAUUCAAAUCUUGUAAACCCAAAAAGCGGAUGAUAAUAACCUCAAUUGAAGCAAAAUACCACUUACCAGUUCCUAGUUGUUGGAAAAAAUCAGCAGCAGCAGAUGCAAGGGGAUCAAUGUCUGGACAUACAACAGAAUAAGUAAUCUGCAACAAUAAAUAAACAGAAAGUGACGAAAUUAUUGGCAAUUACAAGCAUCUUAAAUAUUCUUCCAACAAUUGGUAUACAGAGAUAACAGCAUGAUCAUUUCUAUCUGGCAUUUGUUGCAAAUUCAGUUCGAUGAACUUACAGGUUUUUGUAGAGCAUAUGGCUCAAGCGGAGCCUUUUCCCAAUGUUUCAGAGAGCUUGCUGAUGUCUUAAGCCAGUCAUCCUGAUACCUAAUACACAAAUGAUCAUUUGCACAUUUCUCUGUAUGUGACUCACGCAAAAAGAGGUAGAAUAAUUAUUCCAAAUAUGGCAACAAAUUCAUAUCCUCUAGAAAAUCAGUACGAAGAUGCCACAACCAUUUCAACAAGCUAUUUUUCUAUCCUAACUAUCCUUUUCUUUUGACCAUCAAUAAGUUUAAUACAGAACUACUGACAGUUUCAUGAAUCCUGAGGUGGUUUCUCAUGGGCAUUCAAUGUCUAAUGACUUCAUACAAGGCUAGAACCAAAAUAAUUGCACAAGGGGGACAAUUGACAUAUUUCCUAGGCUGAACACUUUUCAAAAGGUCUGGUAUAUUGAAACUACGCAUAUACAUAUUACUGGUCAAUGAGGGCUUUACCACCCACCACGAAGCAAAGCCUAAGCCUUUUGGAUAGAAGUGCACACCUCACCAAAUCCUUUGAAAACACCAGUAAAUCAUAUAACAAGAACCUUUUGAGAUGUAUGGUUACAUUACCAAAAUGCAAGAUCUUUUUUUUAUCUGAGGUCCACCUAGAUGAAAGGAGAUUGCAUUGGUCGCAUUUGCACUUGAUAGAAAUAGCACUCAUGAGGGAUUUACUCUCGUGUAUUUAUAUAAUUUUGUCUGGUUGCAGGGAGCUAUGAGUUGAUUAAAAAAAAGGCAGCUAAAUGAUAAUUAUCUUUGGGGUUAGUAUGAUGUUACUCGGCUAUUUCAACUCUCAACCUUCUCUAUCCAGGAGGUCAUAGAAUCCUCCAUACUAUGUUGAAUAUGCCUCCUUAUUUAUGAAUCCUUGCUCUUAAACAAGUCAAAAUCAAUGCCUAAUCUCACUUCCAGAUGUUGUAAAAAAAAUUGUGGACACACAUACCCAACAAGUAUAGCAGGCAACGGAUUAACAAAAAGUGUAGGUCUUAGCCGGGAGCAUGUCUGCAGGUCAGACUCAGAAGUGCAGUUGUCUUGGUUUGAUCUUCUUUGGGAUGUCUCUUCCGCUUUUACUCCAUCCAUUGCACUGGAAACUGUUGAACUUCAAACUGUUAAAUAUAUUAAAAUCAACCACCUCAUCAAGGUACAUACAAGCAAACAAUACCUUUAAUGUAAGUUGAUCCAGCAGAACUAGAUGGAGACGGGCUCAAUGGUUCUCCAAUAGAAGGUGCAACAUCUCUACAUUCACUUAUAGCGGACUCAGCAGAAUAUCCAUCAAGCGUGCUUUCACCUGAUUGGUUGCGACCUCUACACCAAUCAGUGACUGACAUUGGCCCAUCCAGAAUACCAAAUGCAGACUUUAGUGCCGUCUUUAUGUCAGACUGCAGCAAACUAAUCACAGAUGAAGCAUGAACCUGAAAUGGAGUGAACAAGAGUCAUGCUCUAAUAUCUGUUUCAUCAAUAUAUUAAACAUAACCCGAAAGUAGGUCACAAAAAGAAUCUACAAGGUAAAAGAGUAACAUACAGAAUACAAUAAUUGGCAAACCUAAUAGACUGUCAUAUAAUAUCAUUGUCUCAGAAGGUACUUAAAACCCAACCACGAGGUUGCUUUUCUACAAAACAAGUAAGAACUGGAACUGGCAUAACAUGGUUUCUUUGAAAAUAACAUUAAUAUUGACUUGGAGGAGGACAUCUUUAAGAAAAGGACUUGCAAGAUUAAAGGGAACCAUUUAACACUGCUACUAAAAGCAUGACAGUAAGUAACUCAACUUAAAUCCUAGUAUAGAUGCCAAAGCACUGCAUGUCCAUUGAUUCAAUCAGUCUGUUAGGAAUCUAGCUCCAUUAUCCAAGAAAGUUCUGACAUAUCUAGUUAGACUUUAAUAAAUCUUCACCUCCAUAGCAGUCUGUACCCGUAAUUUGUAAGGCAUAAGUAAAUUUAAUUUAGUGCAGUUCCUAUAAUAACUAUUACCUAAUAAUAAUAUACUAAUCCAAGGUUCAUAUAUAAUCAAUCUCAAAGUCUCUAUACUAAAGAUCAGCAUGAGCAUGCUACUGGAACAAGAACAUCAAUUUUCGGCGUAGAAGAACACCAUAUAUAAGUUUAUAACAAAAGCUUACAUCUGCAGAGAGUGGAUCAACUAACUCCACACCAGCAAUGUCCAGGGAGUGACAAGAAGCCAGUGUGCCCCCACAACCUGCAUGGACCAUAGAAGGCCCACAAGAAAAUCCCUUCCUCCAUUGCUCUUGUAAUGCCAGCCAACCAUAAGGACCAUCACCACAAUCUGAGUCUAGGGCCAAAUCAACAAAGGAUGUAGCUUGCUGUACGAGUAAUGUAAAUCCAUCCAGAAGUUCCUGAAGUGGUUGUCUUUGCCCAUAGGAUAGUAAACUUUCUUCAUUGAAGGAAGAAUGAGGCAAAGACGGGCUAAUUUCUUUACUAGAUGAACUUGUGGGUUUAGGGGCUCUAGGAGCUCCUACAGUGCGCCAGACACCCACAGGUGCAUUAGGAUGCCCAUCUGUCAUUCCUCUAUCAAUAUCACCAGCAAUUCUAACGGGUAUCGAUUCUUUCCUCUUAGCCUCAUACUUUCCAGACAUGUUUUCUGGCAUGACACUUUGGUCACCUGGCAGACUACUGAAACCAGUAGAUGAGAGACUGCUUGAAGACAAUAGGGUGUGCCGUAUUCUACACAUUGAAGUUUGAAAUAGAAUGCACUCAACUUCAGUCGCAAGAAUGGUCCUCAUAGACAGAAAGGGAUUUUCUGACUCAAAUCUGCCUUCAGUGAUUUUCCUCUGGGCCACUUUAACAGCAUUUGUAGAAUUGAGAAUUGGGAAAGGAGAUGAUGCUGCACCAUCAUGGGCGAGCACAAUUCCAUUACUACCUGUAAGCAAUCUUCCAUCUUGUUGAUCUUUUCCACUCUCCACAUGAGUGUAAUAAUUCUUCGACCGGAUAAUAUCGCUUGCAUCCUUCUUUCCAGGACAUGAUUUUGAAUUUAUUGGCAUGCCAGUCUUCUCAUCAGAUCCAUCAAAGCAAGAAGAAGGUGGUGUUGGACCAUAUGUGUAAAUGCUUGAGUUUGAAUUUGAACUCUCCGCUUUUCGAGAUUUUGGCAAGUAUGGGCUUCUAAAAACGGACGAUGAAACUUCACUUGUAGGUGUUUCAACAGCUCCAUAUUCAGGAGCAAAUGUCAUCAGUGCCUCAGCUUUUAUUAUAUGAUCAAAUUCACUUAUAUUAGAUGCUGAAGAGCAGUUGACUGGAGCUGAGGACAUCACACUAUUGAUGACUUCUUGAUUUUUAAUGAGCGGCUCUUCCAUGGCUGCUGGAGGGGGUGGAAUAAAGCUUUCAAAGGAUGCAAAGCCGUCAGACAAAAGCAACUGAUCAGAAACAUCCAUCAUCCCAACUGGAUUGUCAACUACAUCGCCAGGGUCUGGUGCAGAAAACAUGAGAGACUGAGAUUCGGCAGUUCCUGGGGGCUUCACAAAACAAAGAAACGGGAUCAGAUCAAAAGAACCACAAUCAUGUCAAUACAAGGAAAGGCAGGGACAACACAAUGCAGGUCUAAGAACACCUCCCCCACACCCAGGGGUGUAAGAAAAGGCGAGAAAAAAAUUUAUUACUCAAUUCAAGUAAUAUACAAGGCUUGAGUCGCAUAUAUCAAUCCAUAUGAAUGUCAUCCUUAAAGUCCAUAUAUCUGGUCUCGGAUCUUAAUAUCAACUUACUGAUAAAUAACACUAUCCUCCACCGUCAAAUAAAGCUUGACCUCAUCAUUGUCAAAGACAAUAAAUUAACAUAUACAUCAAGCAAAAACAUAUUGCAACACCAACUGCAAACAAGAAGCCUUGUAAAUGAAAAUCCUGGAAAUAUGCACUGCUUUAUGAUGUCAGACAGGAUAAGAAAAUACCUCCCCAAAAGGCAAAACAUCAUCUUCAAAGAGGUCACCGAAAUCUCCAAAUUCAUUAAUCAAAGCAUGGAUAUCAGUGCCAUCUCUGUCAUCAACAUCCCAAUCCCAAUGAGAUCCAAUCUGCUCAUUUGCAAGUCCAGGGAUUGCUGAGUUGCUAACUUCCAUGGAACUAAAAUCAGAGUUGUAUGCAUCCUGCAGAGAAGCACUUGUAGCUGUACCUACUUCAGCAAAUGAAUCUGCCAUUCCAGCUCGCGGACGCUUAAAACCCUGUAGAUAAAUAAUAAUCAUUUAUCCCAUAAACUCACCUCACAUAAACAAGCAAUAAUAUUAGGGAAUCUGUAAUAAGAACUUUGAAGCAAAUACAUUCUGAUACAAAGUCAUAUUCCCAUUCACUAUUUAUCAACAUGAAGUACUACGUCUUGAUACAGUCAAGUUCACAUUAACUAUUGAUAUACAUUUGAGUACACAUUUUUUUAAGGCUUCUUAUCCAAAAUGGUCUCUGAGAUUGGUAUAACUCCUCAUUUUGGUCCCUAAGAUUUAAAAUCGAAAGAAGUGGUCCCUGAGAUUGUCCACCUCAAUCAUUUUUGUCCUUCUAUGAGAAAUCUCCGUUAAAUUGAGGGUAUUUUUGUCAAAUCAGCCCCUCCCCCUGAACUAGUGGUUUCUUCAAUUUAACGGAGAUCCUUCAAAGGAGAACCAAAAUGAUUGAUGGUGGAAAAUCUCAGGGACCACUUCUAUCGAUUUUAAAUCUCAGGGACCAAAGUGAGAAGUUUUGACAAUCUCAGGGACCAUUUUGGCUAAAAAUCCUUUGUUUUUUUAAUUCCUAAACGAGUGUGCAAAUGCCGUGAUUUUUUUACAUUUGAUUUUUUUUUUCUUUAACAGACAAUAAAAAUUGCUAAUAAAAAGCCUGAUUAAUGGAUAGAUGUGAUACCGAUUUGGAGAUAUCAUUUCCCAACCGAUCAUUAAAAGAUAACCCAGACUGUCUACAGGUUAAAGAAUCGGCAUCUGCCUCUAGUUCGCUGGCUCCUGUAGCCAUCGUGUAAUCACUAUCGCUGGAGCUGCUGCUUAUGCUACUAAUGCUGCUACUAUUACUGUUGCUGCUACUAUUAUACCAACGUUGAGUGCGAAUCCCAUCGGUUUCAUUCCAGUCCUCCACAGGUUCUAUGUUUUCAGAACUGCAGAGACCAACAGCCAGAAGUAAGAGAAAAUACAAUUCAGCCACCGUAUUUUGACUCUAUCUAUAGUGAUUGUCAUAAUGAACAUCAGUAAUACAGAAGUUUAGGAAAGACUUAAAUUAUAGGCAAAGGUAGAACAUAUAGUUUAGAAAAUCAAACCAGAUUAUGUGACAAAAGAAUGACAAGCAAUAUUCUUGAUCUAACUUGUGUGUUGAUGGAAAUGGAAACAACCACUAUAAUCUCCCAAGAAAGUUGCAAAUUUAGGUGUACAUGUGAGUGUGUAUUGUGUAUUGAAGCAGUAGAGCGAACCUCAAAAUAAACUAAAUAAAUAUACUAAAAGAGUCGCAAUGUGAAAAUAAAAUUAUCUUGGCUCGAGAAACACUUAAAUAUAAACAAUAAAUCACUAACCAAAGCAUAAAGAAAGAUGAGCCAGCCAUGGAGGGUCCAAUCCAAUUUUGUAGCCAUAAUCUACAUGUUUACAUCAACAGUUUUAGGUCAAGUAACAUGCUAACAUAUAAGGAGCUAAAUAAGAAUGAGCAGUGCAAUAAUUGGACCACAUAUUAUAGUUUUAAACAGUUUUGAACCUCGCAUAAUAUAGUAAUAAAAUCAUAUUUCAUAUCGGUGCUUGCGAAGCAUCCAAGUUAUUCUUCUUGCAUAAGUUCCUAAGCUCCUAAAAUAUCUUAGCACAUACAUAUGUACACAAAACACCCCGCGGGGUUAGACAAUUGCCUCCAAUUUGAGCCAAGCUCUAUAUCAUGUUAAGAAAUUUAACUCAUCAAUUGCAGCAACACCAGGCACAGAAAAACUAAAGGUACCUCUUCAGAGAUGAUCUGGCCACUUGCAGGGCCGGGACAAGCACUGCCUCAGCCGGAUAUACAAAUGUUUUUUCAUAAACAGAUGAAUUAUCCAAUGCCAACUUCUGAUCACCUCUUCCCAAAGCAGGAGAUUCAGAAAGGUUAUGCUUUCCUGUAUUUCUUAAGGAGUUUGAGUUUGCUUGCAAGGACCUGUCACUUCCAGGUCUAGGACAACCAAGGGUAACUUCAACAUAGCAAUUUUGACCCCUUAGUUGGCAACCAGAACCUUGUGAGGCAUGGUUUGCCAAACCAAUAAAACCGUUUCCAGUCUUAAACUUGCUAGAACUGCUUGAACAAAACAUAAUCAUUAAUAUAAUAAUAUUUUGUUUCUUAUAAAGGAAGAAAAUAGUAAGAAUAGUUGCGCAGGAUGAUAAAGGAGUAAAUUCAACCUAAAAUACACUUGUUUGACAAGAUCACUUGGACAGCAUCCAGUUAGCCUACCACACAUUCCAUGAGGAGAAACAAUCACUGCGACCGCCGAUUCAAUACACAAUCAAUGAUGAUUAGAUUGUCAGUUGAUAACAUAAAGAACAACAGCCUUUUCAGGUCAAAUUUGGUAUACUAAUCUGAUUUUGUACUCCAUUUAACAAAAUGCAAACUGGAUUAGAAAAUCUGAGUAGAUCCAUCUCCCUAUAUUCAAACUCAAAUCGCAAUUUAAAGGACAACAUUAAAGAGUUCUAGCACACACCUCAAAGUAAAUUGGGAAUCAGAAGCAUAGUAUAGAAAGUAGACCAACCUGGAAGCCCACAACCACUAUUUUUGGAAGAAUGCUUUAGUCUUCUCUCUAGAUCUCCAUUGGAAAGUGCUCGGACAUGCCUAUAAACAUAAAGCACAAAAGAAUCUGCUUGAACAAGUAUCACACAAAAUUUGCGAGUAUAAAGUAUGGUGUAGUUUUACAUACUUUGCAGAUACUAAAGCAUGCACAAAGAUUCCCUCGUCAGUGGCAGCAAAGAUAAAUUCAACUGUAGGCUGCCCUUUCCUGAAAAACAUAAAUCAAUCAUUAGGCAACUCAACAAGCAUCAUGAAAGUACCAAUUUAUUUGGCAACUAAUUAUUGUAGAAUCGCCCAUACAUGCAUGCACAAACCAAGAAUGGAAUAAAAAAGAUCAUUUACUUGGGAAGAUUGUUACUUGUGAACAAGUUGAUGUUAAAUAUAAUAAAACCUUUUAACAGUAGCACCCGCACCCCCCCAACCACCAACAAAAAGAUGUAGGCAGUCAGAUGAUUUAUCUGAAAAUAACUUAUAUAUAAUUAAGUUAAGGAACCAAGGCUAUGAUGAUUUGAGAUGAAAUAAUAAAGCAUUGAAUACCAGACUAAAUAUUUAUCAUUGUCAUUAAAUGCUGGUUAUCACUGCCAUCGUUCUUAUUGAAAAAUACAACUUUAUAAAGCCUUUCUACCACAGGAAUUAAAAUUGAAUGCAUAAAUUACCUGAGAAGCUCUUCACUUUCUGAUGGGUGGAACUUUGAAAAUACAUCUCCAAAUCUCAUGUAGGCAAGUCCAGAUAGUGCUCUGUAAAUACCAAAAAAUCAUUGUCAAGAUACUAGUGAGAGGACUUUACUGCUUGGGUUUUCGCUGAUUGAUAAGCACUGACCUUUCUAUACGAUUCCUUAAAGCCUGAGAAAGGGCGGCUGCAACCUCUUCUGAGUCCCCAGGGGACAUCCAAAGUCCAGAUGCAACAACUUCUCACCAAAAAUUUAUAAAAUUAACAUAUAACUUAGCAGAUACAAUUUUAUACCAUAAUAAAUCUACUAUUUGGCUAUUGUACAAAACCUUGAUAACAAAAACCAAACACAUAGUACCUCUUAAUUUAGAGACUGCAGCUUGAGCAGAGUCAGCAACAGUUGAAUGCCGCCCAGGAAGAAAAAGCCAGAGUUUAAUUUUCUCAUCUGUGCAUGUUGUAUAAAGCAGCAGUUAAGUAACCAAAUUUUUGUCACCCAUAGCACACGGAAUUUAUGGCAUCUUUCUCCCUAUUCUGUUAAACAAGUAUCAAAUGAGCAUCCACCCCAAGUCCCAACAACUAAGCCAUUAGGUAUACAAGACCAUUUCAUAUUUGUACUUAUAUUAUAUUAUAUCUACAACCAGUAUGGGAUUUAUUUCUUCAACAUUGCCAACCAAAAAGUUAUGUGUACUAAGGAACUAAAGGAUCCAUUUCUCACCUGGAUUGUGCACACCUUGAGAUGGAUCCCAAGGCCCAACAAAGGAAUUGGUCCAUGUGCUGAGAAAUCCAUCCUUCUGCAACUGUACAUGUGAUGAAAGUACCAGCCGUGUGGCAGCAUCUUUCGCACUGCUCAACAGUGCGAAUGAGAGUUAGCUUUGAUAAUGUUUAGAGAGCAUGACAAGGAGAGUAAGCUUUGCUAAUGCUUAGAGAUCAUGACAGAGAGCCUUUUGCCUAACUAUUAGGAAACUAGGAAGAAAGAUACGGGGUGGAUUUUUACCUUUUAUCUGGUAGUGGGAUCAACUCAGACUCAUGGGGAAGAAACUGAAACCAUGAUACUUGAUGAAAACCACCCUGUUGAAGCAAUCAAUACUGGUUAAAAAUUCUAUUAACUAGCAUAGCCAUCAUGCAAAUAUUUUUGGAGGAUUAUAUUCUUUUCAAAUAAGAACUAAAGAAAUAUAGCUCUCUCUCUCUCUCUCUCUCUCUCUCUCUCUCUCUCUCUCUCUCUCUCUCUCUGACACCCACUGAAAAAGGAAAUCUCCUUCAAACCCGACUGUCUACUCUCUCUCCCUGUACAAAGAUAAACGGCUUUCUUGACGAUGACACAUUAUUUUCUUCAGCGGUAAAAACAGGGUAAAUUUAAUGGGGAUUUAUUUUGUAUGUUAAUAUCACAAUCAUACAUAUUCUGCAUGUAUAUGUUUUACUUCCUCACACAGAUUUUUUAUUAAGAUCCAUUUUGAAUUAUAAUGUAAGAAAGCAAUGAAUCAAACAAAAGAAGUAUUCAUACCUAUCAUCAUGAUUGAAUUUACCAUAUGACAACAACAAUAUAAUAAAGAAGGAUUUGCAACAAAACAGCCAAAUGCUUGUCUUUUGUAGCCUCAGAUAUCACAAUAAAUGUAACCUUUUCUCUAGGGGUGUCCAAGUACAAAAUUAAUCAACAAGAAUUAAUAAUAGAUUGACAAAAUACAUGGUUGCAAAUGAUCAAUCAUGGUUCCAUUUAUCAUCAAAGUGGGUUUUGUUGUACCUUUAUGCACAAGCGGAAACAGUUCUAACAAAUUACGGCGUAAGUGAAGAAACAAACAAUAUCAAAAUAAGAACUCAAGAGAUUAACGUGGUUCGGCGUAAAAGCCUACGUACGUCCACGGGUAAAGUACGACGAGGAAUUUCACUAAACAAACGGAGAUUGCAAAAGAGUGUUUUACUCUCACAACCCAAAUCCCACACAUUACAAACCCUAAACCAAACAAGUAGAGAAUCCAAACAAACGGAAGAGAUUCUCCCAAAUUGUUCUCGAACUCUCAAACUCACAAAUUGACUCUCACCAAAUUGCCACGCAAAUAAGCCACACUCUCAUAACUCCAAACGGUGACCUCCACCCAAAACACAAUUACAGAAAACUCCCUAGAACAAUGGUGCCAACACACAAAAUAAAACUACCCCCAAGGUCCUAUUUAUAGUGCAUAGGACUUAGGUUUCAAUAAGAAUCCUAAUCCUAAUUGGAAGUAAAUCCAAAUCCUAAUCAAAUAGUUAAUCAACAAAAUCUCUCCACCAAGCAAGGAAAUCCAACCAAGAAGUCAAAAUAAAAAACAGAUAGGACACCAAAACGAAAUAGGUAACACAAACCUAAUUUAUGCAUCAUCCUAAUUUUGAGCCGUAAAUCACAACAGGGUUACCUCCCUAACUCCCAAUAUAAUGGUGUCAGGUUAUUAUUAGCUUUCCUUAUCCAGCAGGUUAGAUUGAUGAACAGAGGGAAGCGAUUGAACUUGAUUGGUUAAGGUGAGAAAAUGCACAGCGUCCAUUUUUCCUCUCUCCAUGAUCAUUUAAAAAGGUAAUUGGUUCCUCUCAUAGUCUCGAAAAAUUAUUACAACCCUAGGAUCUAAUAACGAUAUCGAUUAAAAGAGGAAAUAAAAAAAGUUAGUAAGGAAGCUACAACUAACAUAGAGAGUAAUUAAAGACAUACAGUGUAUGUUAUGCAAUAUAAAGCAAUUGUUUCUCUAGUUAUGUCAGAUGCAUUUCAGCCGUUAGAUGGUAAAACAAUUUAAGGAUUACACAUCUGUGUUCAAUUAUGUGGUUGUACUUGUAUUUGUGGCUCCUGAACAGAAUCCAUAUGCUAACAGUAAUAAAGGGUUUUUCUCUCUUUUAUUUAGUUAGCAUUUAGGAUUAUAUUAGGCGAUAUUUUCUUUGUAUUAAUCGUUUCUUUUUCUCUUGAAAAGUUAUAAAAUGUAACUGCAUUCAAGCCAUGAUGCAAUGCAAGUAUGCCAUAUUAAGAAUGAACUCAAUAAACGAAACUUUAAGAAUUCAAAGCUAACAAAACGAAUGAAGAGAAGAGAACGGGGGUAAAUGAACAUACGAUUUUGAAAACAUUCGUCCACAUUCCUUGUGAAUAUGAUGGUAAAGCUGCAAAGCUCCUUGCCCCUCAGCUAUUCACUACUCAGGACCCUUCUUUUAUGAUACUAAACUCAUAUCAAAUCCAAUCCCCAAGCAUCUCUCACCUCUGCAAAUAAUACCACAAUUAAAAUUCAUACACGUUUCCAACGCAGAGAGAAAUAUAGCAAAUUCAGAAAAUUGUUUCCAUAAUGAAACUUCAUACACGUUUCUAAACCCUAUCUCUGUGUAAAGAGCUACAAACCCUAACAACCCGUUUGGUGGCAACAAAUGGAGAGGGAAAACAAAUUGAAAAUUUGAAAUUUCAGAUACAAGCUGCUCGAUUUCGUAUGCAUCUCUUUCCCAAUUCCGAAGAUUUUCUUGGCAACGGAAAGACGGAGAGAAAAAGGAAGAAAAUUUGCAAUAGAACAUAAGCGUACCUUGUGUGCUGUUUGGUUACCGGGAAAAUUCAAUCGGGGAUUUUCUAACAGAGGGGUUUUCUUCUUCACUCAAGUCUCAACAGUCCAAGUGGAAUGAAUUUUGGAUCGAAUCAAGUAAGAAGUGUAGAGCGUCGGAUCUCGUCCGGAUCCUAUUACACACUCAUUCGGAUCCUUUAUGUCACUCUUAUCUUACGGGAGCUGCGGUAGAAAUAAAAUAUGAAUGUUUGUUGUUAUUUGUCCGCGACCCGAUGGGUUGACGUUGCGGAUCCUGGUUCGUUCCUUACCCUUUGUCCAAUUACAAGAUCCAAUUAAGGCUCUUCCAUACCAUUAAAACUGCACAAGGCCCAAAUGAAACUUCAAAUUUCUUUGGACCACACAGACACUUUUGCCCCAUACAAUAACCACAAGCUCGAGAGUUACCACAAAUGGCAUUGGGAAAAGGAUGGAUGAAAUUUUAGGUUUUUUAAACUACGAGAUGAUGAUUCAAACUUCGGUUCAGGAUCCUUUUCCCGCAUCAACUUAUUAAGUUCAAGUUAAUUAUGUAAAAUCCAACAAGUCAAUUACAAACCAGAUGUUACGUUGUAGUUAUCUCAAGUCAAUUUUGUUUUCAUAUGUUUUCUUCAACUAUUAUGUAUCAUUUCUUCAAAAAAUACUAUUAUGUAUCAGAGCUGCUUUGAUUAAAAGUGUUUGAUAAAGUUAAAAUACCGUCCUCGUGACAUCUUGUUACACCAAACUUCUCCAUAUCUACCAUCAUUAGGGCUGAUGAUAUGCAGUAUCAAAUUUAUUACAAACCCUUUCUUGCACAUCACAAAGUUACUUCAAAUACAAAUUUUUGCGUAGCCUCCAAGUAAUUUAAGCACAUAUCAAUAACCCUUCACUUUAAGCGCGGCUCUUAUGCUGUGAACCAUAAUCUCUCACUCUCUCAAAGUCUCAAAUUUCUCCAGCACGGUAGCAAAAAAUCAAAAAACCAUGCAAGCAGUGGCAAAACUGAGCAAGAAUCUCCCCCGCCCUCUCUUCCUCCUCCUCGCUCCCAGAACCUUAACCACCCUCACUUCUUCUUCUUCUUUAUCACACUCGCUAUCCUCACCGGGCUGUGACUCCGCCAUCAUGCAGACCACAAACACGUGUCUCACCGGAAGAACUCUGCUUCGUUUUCCCUGGUCCGCCAUUCAACACCGUGGAGCCGUUGUCCAGGGCGCUGAUGUAAGUUCCUGAAUCCGUUUUGGUUUUUCAUACUAUGUAUACGAAUUUUUUGAGUUGUAACUGUUGUUUGUAAGUUCCUGAUUCUGCAGGUAAAACCUGGAAAUAUCAUUGAAAGGAAUGGUGGGUUUGGAAUUUCUUUGCGUUCAGUUUGAUUUUUCGUUCAAAGUUUAAAUUUUUACUAACCAAGUUUGUGAAUAUUGAAAAAUAUUGCUGUCGCGGUCGGGGUUAUGGUUUGCAAUACCUUGUUCAGAUCGUAUUUAUCAGGUGAGUUUGCUUAUUAUCUCUUUUAAUGGUGAUUGGUGUUGUUAAUUAAUAUAAUGGGGUUUAUUGUUGCAUAAUUUGUUGUUAUUUAGGUGUUAAAGGCGGAGCAUUCACAUGAAGGAAGGGGAAAAGCGGUUGUUAAGGUGUGUUUCUGACCUUAUCGUUAUUAGAAUAUUGCUCACAAGCUGUGAUUGUAAUUUACCAAGCUGAUAUCUUAAGCUGUGUUUUCGUUGCAGGUGGAGGUUCGUGAUCUUGACUCGGGGAACAAGACAUCCCUACGAUUGUCGACGGAUGAGCAACUCGAUAGUACGAAACUUUAACUUUGUAAAUUCCUAUUACUAGUUGCUUAAUUGUCUACAAUGUUCAUAAAUGGACGGUCAAUUUUACCAUUAUUUGGUUGUCGUAUCAUCUUAGUUUCUUGGAUAUGUAUUUAUGCAUUGCCCGUCAAUAUUCUUUUUUUGUUUCACGCCGUUUUUAAUGUCCGUUUUGAUAAUACUGACGAACUCCAGUUGGCCGAGUUCCUUUAAUCCUAGUCAUGUGCCAUUGUUUGAGCUAUUAAGCAUGUGGUGCGUAAGAUGAUAAAUCUCACAUAAAUUUGCUGCAGAGGUGUUUGUUGAAUCAAAAACUUACGUUUACAUGUGCACAGAUCGUGAUGGCAUAGUAUGUUUGAUAGAGUGAGUAUUAUAUGUUAUCAAAACUUCCUUCUAGCAUCACCUUCCUUUUCACUUUCUGCUGCUAAUUUCCCUUCAAUAAUGUGUUCUAUUUGUAAUUCUUAUGAGCCCUGAUACACUUGAUCAACUCGAUGUGCCGGAGGACUUGUUUGCAAAGAAGGCUAAAUACCUACAAGGUCGACACUUAUUAUAGUACAUGUUCCUUUUUGUUCAGCUAUUUUCCAUGAUAUUACUUUGAAUAGAGGAAAUGAAAGUGACUAAAAUAUGUUAUUCACUGUGAAUAGAGGAAAUGAAAGUGACAGUGGAGCUGUACAACGAUAAACCUUUAUCUGUUAAAGUUCCAAAACACGUUACGUGCGUUGUCAAGGAAGCACAAACUCCUGUGAGGGGGACUGCACAAGCACCUAAGUAUGUUUUCAUUAUGAAAUAUUAUUGCUUGUUCAGACUUCAUAUCACUACUUCUUGUUUUCUCUUCCAGUAUCUGUAUUUAUGGAAGUUGGUACAUUGUGAGUAUGCGAUUGAACAAAAAAACCCUGCAAUUCCUAAACCAUUGAUUUCUCAAUUAACCUGUGAAACUAAAGCUUGCUAACAUAAGACCUUUUAAUCAUCAUGGACUUGCCUCCAUCAAGGCAUCAAGUGAUACCUUUAUGUGUGCUGGUUUGAGGACUUUGCUACAGUUGAUCACAGUCGGGUUGUUGAUUAUCUGGUGUACUUUGCAUUCCUUUUUUCUCCUACGAAUCUUGUAGCUAAAUUCUGAAGCAGUUUUCGGUUCCCAUGUUGACACUAGUGUACACUGUAAUAUUAUUAUAUCAUUUGUGCGCUUGUGCUAUCCCUUGAUAACUCUCUCAAAUGCAGGGAAAUAUUAGCCGUGAUGGAACAGGGCUUCACUGUCAAAGUAAGAUUAAUUUUUCUGAAUACAUUUGAUAUUUAAAUUUACUCAGCUUCGUAGCUAAUGCUUAUGUUUAAUGUUUUUUGUAAAUUUUAUUUUCGAACUUUUCCUAGGUACCACCUCACAUCGUAGAAGGUGAAGCUGUGGUGGUUGACACCGGUGACGACUCUUAUGUUAAAAGGUAAUUUUAUAAUUAUCUCUGCGGGCUUGUUUCACAUCCUUGUAAGUUUCUAUUUACUUGCACAGUUAAAUAUAAGAUCGGCAUUUCAUUUCACAUCUUCUUGAAGUGAGAGCAGGAUUUCUCGUCUUCAUACUCAACCGCCAGCGGCUAGCUUUGACGGGCUCCCAGUUUCCUGGGCUCUGCUCGCUCGGAAAUGUGGUGGUUGGGCAACAAUAUCAUCCAAGAUAGUUAGUUUUGCUUUGUAACUAGAAUGAUGCUGAUGAUUGAUAUGUUGAAGUUAAUGCCUGUAUAAUUGUAACUCUCCUCGCGCACUGUGAAGCGUUUCUGGAUUUUAAAGCAAGUCCGUUCCCUUAUUUCGUUUCUUUUUUCGUUUUGGUAUCAGGGCCAAGCCAUAAUGCUUAAUAUCAUUGCUUCAAUUGGAUGGAGAGGUGGAGAUUCAAUUGCUCAACUCCACGAUGACUGAUUUCUUACCAUCUUGACGUAGCUGAUUCAAAGUGAUGUACAUUUACUCGUACAACAUAGUUUGGCAGCGGAAAUGAUUCCGCUCUUUAGGCAGGAUGAUAGUUUUGCUAUUUGACUUGCUGAACAAUUGUUUUCUUGGUGCAGUUUAGUUUAUCAGUAAGAAAAAAGUUUCACAUUUUUAUUAAACUACUGUUUUAGCUUAAUCUUUGGCGGAAAGUGUUGAAAUCUAAGGGUCUUCGCCUAAGUAGGUUAAAGACUGAGUAUGUCGAGCGCAAGUUCAGUGGAAUAGGUGUCCGACCCCAAAUGGGAUUGGGGUUAGGAAUGGAAAUCAUAAAGUAACGAGUGAAAUUGGUAAGACUAAACCAGAAAACUCCAUAAGGAGCUUCAUAAGACAGUAAUUUUAUGACUAAUGAAUGCAUAGCUCUCUCCUCAUUUGAUGUGCAACGUGAGAAGAGGGAUGAGCUCAGAUUGGGUAUACACCACGUUGCACCAAAGUUCUCUCCAACACAAGGGAUCGAAGAUGUCGAUAUAAUUUUGGUUACCCAAGUGGUUUAAGCUUUAGAAUUCAUUCCAACAAACAAAUUCACUGGGGAUUUACGCCCUCAAUCAAAAACAUAAUUAUUUAACAUGAUCAUGCACUACAAGGAACACAAACUAUAAACUUGCAGAGUAUGCUUCAAAAUGCCAAACCCCGCUUUCUAAUGUGGUGUACAAAACUCAUUAUUUCGCUUCGACAUUCAUUUCUUGUCCAAUUGUUCCUAACGAGAGGAUCCCUCUCAAGUACUCAACUUCAGAAUCAAUAAGACGGGGUGUAAUCCUCCUACAAUUCCAGUCACACCCGAAAAAUUACUAGUACAAAUAUCAUAAAUUCCAGUAAAUCCUACUCCCAACUCCGAUAUUAGAAUUCCCAAUAAUUAGUUCGACUUUGUAGGCGUGUUUUCGCAGAACAAGACUACAACACAACUAGAAAAAUUAUUGUUUGAAGUUUGAACUGAACUCCAGCAGAAAUAUCCGUCCACGAAGAAAACUACAACCCAAAGUUCUUUUCCAACUUCUGGAUCUGGUUGAGGAAAAUCCAUGUCAUCUGCACAAUCAAAAACCAAACAAUUAGAAUAUCAUCGAGAAAAAUGUCUGAUGCAUUCAAAAGUAAAUGAAAGGCCACUUGCAAUGUGAGAAAGAGAGAGUACCAUGACAUGGGGGGCAAUUCUAACACAAUACAGGAAACCCAGUGUAAAAUUUCAAUGGUCCUCCUGCUUUCAAGGUUUUCAUGGCACAAUCAAAAGAGCCAGUGUAUGGAUACUUUCCCUCAGCAUCAGGCUGCAUUUUCUGAAUUUGGGUUUUCACAUAGUCAAAGGGCAAACUGCAAGCGGCAGCGAAAAACCCUGAAACGGUACUGGCACCUACAAGAUAAAGGAAGCACAUGUCAAUUCAACGAUAAUCAUACGACUAAUAUUAACCACGGAAUAGAGAGAAUAAGAGUUAACAUUCCAUUACUAUGUUGAUGGCCAAAACUAGAGUUUAUUUACUGCUGUUUGCAGGACAGGGUUGGAUGAAAUACCAUGUAAAUUAUUUAAUGGCAUGCCACCAACUCAUUAAAAGGAAACAACAAUAUAGUUUCACUUUUUGGUCAUAAAAUAUAAUUUCAAUUUGAUAAUGUAGAUACAAAUGAAAGAGAGAGAGAGAGAGAGAGAGAGAGAGAGAGUGAGAGAGAGAGAGAGAUCAACAUUCAAAUAGAAUAACUGGAAAAGAAAAUAUCAUCGAUAUCCCUCAACUAUCAAAAUUCACAAUCUUAAACAAGAUGAACUCAAAAUCUGACGUGGACCGGCCUAGGGUCAUAAUAAGACUCAGGAAAAUCUGUCCAACUUCUCUACAGAUCAACCAUCACCAUUCAUAGUUGCCGAUGACAAUGUUGUUCAAUAAUAAAUUCUGGACUAAAAAGAGAGAUGUUUUGGCUAUAUAGGUUUAACUCUACAAUGUUCAUUGUUCAUUCCAAAUCUUUCCUCACAUAAAGCAAAACCUGCCUUAAUAUAUGAAGUCCAUUACUCUUCAUUCCAUGUUAACAAUACUGGAUAUUUUCAUUACUCACAAAAAGGAUCGGUCGUAUAAAGAGUAGAUUGAACAAAGUCAAGCCUAAUUUUAAUCACAUCCAAAAUAAUUUAAAACAGAAGAGAAUCACAUUUUUAUACUACUUGCAAAGAACCUUACCCAAGACAGUAGCACCUUCACCAAAUCCAAGGGAAUCCUUGAAAAAUUCAACACUUUGAUCAUAAGAGGCAAGCAUUCCCAUGUUCAACGCCAUUGCUCUAACUACAGUAGGGCCUGCACCUUUCCAAAGUGCCAAAACCCCUUCAUCUGCAGUAAUACGAUAUAGAGCAUGGAAAGCAUUUGUGUAGUUACGGCGCUGAGCAGCAGGCAAAGUAGCAUCAGCUUGCAUACGAAUGAGUGCUAAAUCUGCUGGACUUCCAACAGAUGCUCCAAUGGCACCAGCAGUUAGCCCACACAAGGCUUUCUGGUAUAGAGGUAGAGGCUUCCCAUCAUUGGCCUCAAUUGCUUUGUUUGUCAGAAUCCUGAACAAGUUUAUCAGAUUCAGAUUAACAAGAUGAUCUAAAAAACAAUGUACAUAUAAAAUCACAAUAUCACAUGACAAAAGUACUUAAAAAGAUCUAGAAAAUAAAACUAAACAAAGGCAAAUCUUUCACUAAAAAAUUUAAAAGCUUUCAAAAGCUGACUUAAGUCUGGAUUUUGCAAAAGACUCACCUAAAUGAUCCAAGACGAGCUGUGGUAUAUGUAGCUUGUCUUAGUAGCCCAGCAGAGAGUCCCUGCUCAUAGAAUUUAAGUUUAGAUAAACUAUCAUUGUAACACAUUAACUUAAGUCAAUCAAUCAGCACACGUAACAUCAAGAACUUUAAAUCAAUAAAAAAACGUUCUUCCACAUUUCGAACCUCAAAUCUGACAAUAAAAUGACCUUAGAUUGCACUAGGAUCCAGGAAUCAGAGAGACAGGAUUUGGAAUACAAUUUUAAGUUUAAAUUGGUUGGAUGUAGUAUGAAAGACAACACUUUUUAGUCAAAAAUACAUGGAUGAACUAAAACUUAAGUGAUGAUGAAUUUGAUAACGGCUUGGUAAAAUGUGUUAUUCGAAAGCCUAUAUCAAGUGAUACUUCUGAAAGAACUUACAUUUUUUGGUCGAAACUGAAAGAACUUAUCUUAGAAACAUCUUUACCAAUACAAAUUCAAAUCUAAACACCCUACAAGCAUCACUUAAUUUGAAAUGUCAUUCAACACUGGAUCAAUACCUUAUACAAAGCACCAAAGCCUUCCUCUUUAAUCAUGGUCCUGGUGACCUGGGCAGCUGAUCCCUGACCCAAUUGAAUUCUCACCUGUUCCAGCCAAGUUAACAAGAACCCAGAAAGUGUGAGUCCCAAUGAACCAGAAAGUGUGAGUCCCAAUGAACCACAUUACAGCACAAAUCAAAACAAAAACUUUCAGGAAAAAAAAAAUCCCAGAUCUAUAAAUCAUCAAGGAAACGCGAUUUCAGCUCAAAAAUGGAAGUGAGAAUCAAUAAAAAACGAAAAACAAACAUGGGUUCAAUCCAAAUCUCAAAAUUGUAAAGAAAGAUUCAAACUUUAUAGUCUAAAAACUCACCUUGAUCAUAUCAAUCGGUUGGAUGACACAGGUAGCAAGCAUACCAGAGGCUCCGCCAUUGACGAAGGGCUUAACGGUGGGCCAAACACCAGAUUUGGGCGUACCUUUGUCUCCCAUUAUUUGGAUUGGAAAUGAACAAAUGAGGUGCUCGAAGAAGGGAGAGAAAGUGCGGGGGCUGGUUCUGCUUUGAAGUUGCAGAAGAGGAGAAAACAAAGAGGCAACUUAACAGGCUAGACUGAUUGUCUUGCACUCCCAACAAACCCUCCUCUGCCUCCUUGCUUUCCUCACGACCUGAAAAAUUUUCCUUUAAUAAAAAGAGGAAAAUGAAAAUGGAGUUUGUUCUAUGACCUCAGAUGUCUACCAAAUUACAAUGGUAGGACUACUUCAGGCCUACUGUGAUUUAAGCCCACUCUAUUCUUUAUUUUUAAAUUUAAAUAAAAAUUAAUUUUCCAUUUGUACAAAAUAACUAAAAGAAAUGGUAUUUGUCUUUUGAGAUGAUCAAUAUUUAAAAAGAUAGAGAAAACAGAAAAGUGCGUCUCUUAGUGUAAGAUUGAACACUCUUAGAGCAAGUCCACCGUUGGUGGUUGCUCGAGGGACAGGCUUCAGGAAAGGGCCCGAGGGCUGGUGGGAGAAAGUCCAGCGUUGGUUGGCGAGGGAGCCCGAGCAUGCCGGUGGAUUCGUGCCAGCCCGAGCGCCUGAGGUGGAUCUGACGUCAGCUGACGUCAGACGCCUUUUUUAAUAUUUUUUUCUGUCAGGUUCUGCAGGUGCGUCCAGGACGGCGGUGAGGCGAGUGAGGGCGGUGAGGCGGGUGAAGGCGUGAGGUGGGUGGGAUGGGGAGUACGGAGGUGUGUCCAGGACAGCGGGCGGGAUGGGGAGUACGGAGGUGGGGGUGAGGGAGGAGGCGGGGAGGGUUUGGGGGAUGGUGAUGCUGAUGAGGUGAGGGUGAAUGCGAGGGUGAAGAAGGUGAAGAAGAAGAGGAGCCACGGCGAAGAGAAGAGAGAGAGAGAGAGAGAGAGAGAGAGAGAAAUCAAUAAAAUAAGAGAAAUAAAUAAAAUAAUAAUAUUUUAUGGAUUGGGUGAGAAAAAAAAAUAUUAAUAUUUUAUUACUAAUUGCCAGGGGAGAGAGUUCCAAUGGUGGAGAUGCAAAUGACAAUUACUGUUUAUUAAGGGCAAUUACUGUUUACUAGGUGGAUUGAAUAGUGGAUUGCCAGGGGGAGGGCUCCAAGGGUGGAGUUGCUCUUAUGCAAAAUGUUAAUAUCUAACUCGCGAUUUAUGGAUAUCGAACUUAAAAUCUUCUAUUAGGGGUAUAUUCAACUAAACUUUUAUUACUUUUUGAAUUCAAAAUAAAACCAUAUCAGUGUGGUUUUUUGUUUUGUUAACUAAAAGAAAACGUGCUUGUAAUAAAAUAAUUAGUGCUAAUGUGUUGGCCAAAGAGAGUAGCUAGGGAGUCAAAUUUGACUGGCCAAACCGAGGAGAAUUGGGAUCAUGAUCAACUCGCUUUUUCUCCCUUCCCACAUUUUAAUAAAUGUUCUCCCUAAACCUUUGGAGAUGUUAUGAGAUGAUAGAAGAAAAUUGAUCAAGUCAAAAUAGUUGCAAGGAUCUAUUUGGACAUAAAGAUAUGUGCAAAAUAAUUGAUUUAGGUUAUGAAACUCUUAUAUUGAUUCCAGAGGCGAAGAUAAAGAUUUGUAUGAAUGAGGGCAUUCUCAAACAAUAAAGUCAAAAACUAAAAAGCUUAAGAAUCUAAUAAACAAAACACGUACAUAUAUUAAUCCAUAAAGUUUUUCAUACUAACAUACAGUAUCCCUCAACGAAUUUUCAUGUUUUGAAAGCGUUAUAUAACAACUUCAUUACCAAUCCCAUCAAAUAUAUCUCUAUAAAAAUUACAUGUUAUCAUUCAUCCAUUGAUCUCCCAUCGGAAUUCUUAAUCCAUUCCUCAUAAAUUUUAUGGCUGAAAAUAUUUGUUCAACAAUGAUAGCAACUGAAAAAGUACAUUUGUUUCCAACAAAAAAAAAAACUAAGUGGGGGCAUCCGCUCAGCAUGUGCCUAAAGCGAUUCCGUCCUUGACUGAUUUACUCGUGAGCUUUAAGUGACGUAAGUGCAUGUUUGACAAUGAGAUCAUACAUUGGCAAAUGUCAAACUAUAAUAUGACCUUGAGAUCUAGGUCUAGCUCACAUGUUAAGCAUGGAUAGAGCAGUCAGUUCCCUAGUUGUGGUUGUUUGCUGUUGUUGCUGCCUUUCUUUGUCUUCAAAGAAACCUCAGUGAGUCGUGAGUUUGAGUUGAGUGUGGCAACAUUGACUUUCUGGCAAGAGUUUGAUGAGGAGGGAAACUCGAUGCAUAUUUGCUUGUCUUAGACUGCAUGCACUCCCACUUUAAUAUAGAUAUAAAUACAAGCAAUUCCAAGGGCAAAUAAGUAAUUAACUUAAGCAUGUCUAUUGGCAUGGACGUUAAGAAUAUUUUUUUCAUGCACAGAUGCACUCGUAUUACUAAAGGAUCGAUAUUUUCAGGGGAAUUCGAUGUCUCCAAACGACGUAGUGUUGGUAGGCUAUUUCGGUAAAUUCAAAAUCAAGAUUGGUGUUGCCCAUUAUCCGCCUCACGAGGACCUCAGCUUAUCCAACCAGCCAAAGGAUUAUUCACAAACAUAAAAUUACAAAACUGUCCAGGUCAGGAUCUUGGAGCUGUUUCUCUCAUUUUAUGGGUGAAAUAUUAGAGGAUUUAGUAACCAGUCAUCGCCAACGUGAGGAGUUUGAUUUUUGUGGGAAUAACAUUUGAUACCAACCUUGUGAAAAUCGUUCAUGUCACUUUCAGUUAUAUCCUCAUAAACUUUCGUCCUUGUUCUUCUUUUUAUUUUUUUUAUUUUUUUUUAUUUUAUAAUAAACGUUAGGAUCUAAUAUCAAUGUUUUUAUAAAUGUAAAUUAAGUCGGUUAGUCUAUAACGGUACCUUCUCUUUUUUAUAUAAAAAUGUUUUAAGUUCGAAUCUUUUAUUGUUGACUGAUUAAGAAUUAAAAAUCUACACAUUGUUUAGAACAUCAAUCACAUAUUUAUUAUAUAAAACAGAUUUAGAUGGUAUUGGUGUUGUUGAUAGUGUGAGGAUGUAAAAAGUUAAUAACACUAUAUGUGCUUAUAACAAGUGGGAACACUUCGUAGUUGGUUUUAUAAUGAAGACUCAACUUUUUCGUGAUAUCAGAAUAAUUUAGUUAAAUCACGUAUUGAGUUCAAAGCAAUCCACAUGUUCAAAUGUCAUAUAAUAUACAUGUUGUGCACAUAUUAUACGUAAAGAGCGUGUUGGAAAUGUAAAUCCAACCUCAAAAAAUUAAGAAAUCUUAUAAAGUUUGACGACUUUUUAUAUUACUAUUUAGUUAGUGAAACCUCAACGUACUAAGAAGCAAAUACGAAUUUACUAGAAUAAAAUAAUUAGAAUCGAAGUUUUCAGUCUAUGCUAAUCACAAGUGACCAUCAACCACUUGGAUCUGUAGUGAUGCGUGAUAUCGCGAUGGAGAUUAAUUAUAUGUUUAUACAGGCCCCUUAUGUAAAGGGGUCUUCAUUUAAGAAAAAAAAAAAGAUUAGGUGUGAGGCUCACUCUACAUCUAAUUUCAACGAUCUGAACUGUCUAUUUUGUAAGUCUUCAUUUAUAAAUCAUCCUUGCAAAAAUUCAAUUCAAUCCGAAACCAUUUGCUUAUUUAAUUAUCAAAAUAAAAUUUAUUGUUUAUUAUAUAACAAAAUAUUCGUUAAUUUCUUUAAACUCAAUUAGAUGUUUUAAACAUUUCCGAUUUGGCUAAUAAUUUGCAAUAAUUAUCUAUGAGGUGCAACUUGAAAAAUAGAAGGUUCGGAUCAUUAAAGUUCUAUAUAAUAUAGACUGCACAACUAAUCCUUAUUUUUAUAAAAAAUGAAGAUCAUUUCCUUUAAAGAUAUCCUAAGUACGUUUCAUUUACGUGUUCGUUAUCAUAUGGCCUGCAGCAAGGCAUCUCAUCAUAUAUAGUCAGAGUUUAUAUAUUAAAAUUAAUUAAAAAAAGUUAUUAAUAUCUCCCUUUUAAAAUAUUGCAAAUUCGCAUCAACCUACCCCGCAGCACACCCCAUAUCCACCCACCCACCCCGAUCGGUAAAUUUUUAGUUGUGAUGGGAACACAAGUGAUACACCACAUGUUUUAGUAGGAGUUGUGGAAAAUUUUAUCUUUUACACAUAUCCCACCAUUUUUAUAGUAACACAUGGUGUACCACCCCGUGUACCGGUUACACUGAAAAAUCUCUCCCCCAACCCAACUACACCCACCCCGUGGCCCACUUUGGUGUUUUAUCUCACUUGUGGAAAUCAGUCAUGCAUAUGCACUCUGGUGUAUAUUUGAUCUCCAUUGAUCUCUUCCCUAACAAAAAAGUUUAAUGAAAACAUGCUUACUAACUUAAACAAAUUUGAAUGCAAAUGAAACUCUUAAGUAGAAAAUAGUUGAAAAUGACUUGAAUACAUGAAGGAAAAUGCAUUAAACUACAUAUCUACUACAUAUAAGUAUAAACAAAAGAGACUCGGGCAAUAUUUUAACCUUGUCAGGCAAGGUUGAACUUCUUACAACCACUUCUCUUUCAAGUUUACAAGGUUUUGUAUGCAGUGAAGGAUGAAAAGUAAAUAGUUUUUACUAGAGGGAAUUGAUACUACAACACUAAGAAAAAGUAGUAGAGCUUCUAAAUUUGACAAAAUAUAGCUUUCUAUGGAGAUUCUAGGACUGAAAAGGGGAAGUUUGGACAAACUAAGGCUUUCUAGUUUAUAGCUUUGUCUGAUAGCAAAGUGAGAUGUCUUUUGAUUGAUUGGUUGAGUGUCCUUGUCUUUGGUGUCCAAUUUGGCCCGACUGUCCCAGCUUUACCUUUAGUUGAUAGCUUUCGGAGGGCAGUGAGUCAUCAUCUAUUUACUCAUUCAUGCCAUUGAAAAGUGAUUUUUGGCUGGUGGUGAGUUGUUAUAUGUUGCCCAUCACUUUAAACAUAGGCAUGUGGCCUAUGCAUUUGCUGAAAUAACUUCCAAUUUAUCUUGGGCCUAUCGACUGGGCUCGGGCAAGUCUUCAUUGGCUUUUGCAUCUCUUAACCUUUAUUAUCACAAAUACCAAUAUUAAAUAUAAACCCAAACAAGAAUAAUGCAUGGAACCCUGGCUAUACUAUACAAUUAAUAUAUAAAAGAAAAAUCUCUCUCAAAACUCCUCCAACUUGAAUUAUAUAUCCAUUUCGCAUACUUAAGCAGAAUAGACAGCCUCUAGCAUUCAACCUUCAUAAUAUUAUGUCAUGCAAUAAUAUGCAUAUAUAGACACAUGCUCUACUUGUCCCAUUUGUUGUGGUUGCAGACCAACCAAUAUUUUACUAGUAAUAAUUCAAAAGGUGCACUCAUUUCUGCUCUAAUUAUUAUGCUUUGUUUCUGCCUUUUCAUUGAUGUUACUCUUUCAAAUACACACUCAUUAUUCCACCAAAUUAUUGGAAAAUAAAAGUGAGAAAAUAAAAUAAAUCUAGUCGAAAAGAAAAAUUACAAAGAAACGUCCCCAAGACAAUAAUAACUAGUAAAGUCCCACAACCAAAACGAAGCAGAAAUGUCAGACUCGUCCUUUGGUCGAGAUUGCUUGGCUUUUGAGCGAAGAAUACGGUAUUGAGAUUUUUUUCUCCAAUUGCAAUUGGUUUCUAAAAUCGCUUCCAAAUUACCUUAUACCUCCACUACACUCCACUGCAGGAACGAUAUGGAGCACCUACCUGCUCUAUUUGUCCACGAAACCAAAAAUCUUUCGAUCCCAUGCAAUCAACGCCAAAUGGGCCGGUGCGGAGAAAAUAAUUGUAAACAGACAAAUUGAUUUUUAGAAGGAAAAGAAAAAAAAAGAGUACAGUUUAGAAGGAAGAAAACCGGAUCAAGGGACGCAUCUGGACCAUUAAAAUUUUAUUUAACAAUUAUAAAUAGGAAAUUUUUUUAAAAGUUAUAAUAAUUGUAGUCGUUUGAUCAAUUUCAAUGAUCUAAAUGCAUUGAUUAGUGGGUUCAGAUCUUUUUGAAUUCGGAGGGAAUCCAAUUCCAAAGAAAGCGGAGAAGCGACGAAGCAUAAAAUAUCAAAAUCGGCCCAAAAAUAAGAAACAAUUAAAUGAUAAAUUAAAAUUAGAGAGGAGAAGUUGGUGGAUUGUAACAUCCAGCAUUAACAACAGCUAAUCAGACGCGAAGGACGCUUGGCUUGCUGCACAUGGACAACCACAGGCUGGCAGGUGGAGGGUGAGGAUGAGAGAUGAGCUGUCUCAUUUUCCCCCCUUUUUAGCAGCGGACUUCAAAUCUUUGUCCAUUCCCAUUUUAUCGAAAAAGGGCAACACACCACACAAAGCCCUCACGUAUACCAAAACAGGGAGAGAGACUUCUGCAGUUCAUAAAGUUUCAAUUUUUAUCAGAGAAAAGAGAGAGAGAUGAGAGAAAUCAUAAGCAUUCAUAUUGGGCAGGCUGGAAUUCAGGUGGGCAAUUCAUGCUGGGAGCUCUACUGCCUCGAGCAUGGAAUUCAACCUGAUGGCCAGAUGCCCAGGUAGGUUUUUUUCAUAUCUCCGUCGAUAUUUCUAUUUAUAUAUGCACUUUUUGUGGGUUUUUUGUUUAUUUUGGUGGGUGUUUGUCUCAAAUGGUGGUGUGGAUCAAUGUGUUCUGAUUUUAUCAUUAUUGGUUAUUAAAGGGUUUCUUGGAAAUUUGGAAUAGUUGUUUUUAACAUAUUGGUGUUUGAGAUCUUCUUUUGUAUGAAUUUCAGAUCUCUGAUUGUUGUUAUCUAUUUAUUUGGGGGUGUGUCUGUUGAUUACAUGAGUAUUUUGCUGGAGUUUUUGGUUCUUUUGAGUGGACUCUCAUAGGGUUCAGAAAUAUUUUCAACUCAAGAACAUAUUUUCUGAAAGUAGUCGAUGGCGAAACUAAAAGUUACCAUAAAAGAAAAAGAAUUGAUUUCGCUUGAAUCCGACUGGAUCGGAUGCAUUUGCAUUCUUUGCAAGGCUGUUGUAAUCGAUACGUCCCAAGUCUGGUGAGAUUAGAGAUAGUAUCAAGGAACUAAAUAUGAUGUUCUUUGGUUUCUGGACAUGGUUAUAACAAUAAAACUUUGUUGAUCUUUUAAUAAUAGUGAUGAUAAAGAUUUAUUGACAAAUGCGAAUUCAAGCUUGUAUGUGUUUUAUUUUGUCCAUGUAUGCAAUUUUAUGUUUGAAUUUGUAGAUGAUUUGAGUGCCUAAUGGACAGUUAUGGUUUUGUGUCUUCAAAGUGAUACCACAGUGGGCGGUGGCCACGAUGCUUUCAACACCUUCUUCAGCGAGACUGGAUCAGGCAAGCAUGUCCCAAGAGCCAUAUUUGUUGAUCUCGAACCAACUGUUAUUGAUGAAGUUAGGACUGGGUCUUACCGCCAACUCUUCCACCCUGAGCAGCUCAUUUCUGGAAAGGAAGAUGCUGCUAAUAAUUUCGCAAGAGGACACUAUACAGGUAACGGAUGCUGCUUCUAUCUUGCAGUAAUUAACUCUUUUAUUAUGUUAAUUUUGUUGAGUUAACCUUUCUGGUUCUGUUCUGCAGUUGGAAAGGAAAUUGUAGAUCUCUGUCUUGAUCGAGUUAGGAAAUUGGCCGAUAAUUGCACUGGUUUACAAGGAUUUCUGGUGUUCAAUGCUGUUGGUGGUGGUACUGGUUCUGGUUUGGGGUCCUUGCUCUUAGAACGCUUGUCGGUGGAUUAUGGAAAGAAGUCAAAGCUUGGGUUCACCAUCUAUCCUUCUCCGCAGGUACUUACGUUUACAAAUACUAUGACUAUCCUGCAUAAGUUCCAGCAGUUUCUUAUUCUGGCAUAGCAAUAAAACAUGGAAUUAGAAAUGGAUAUACUUGAGCAUUAAUAAAUUGUUCUGGUGAAAAAGACGUUUCUGUUUUAUCUAGCUUCUAUCAGAAUAUAAAAUCAACUGCACUUGUUAUUUCAUAAUGUAUAAUGUGACUAAUAGGACUUGCUGAUAAGAAGCUCAUGUGUGCCUUAAUUCUCUUGCAUUGCAGGUUUCAACAGCAGUUGUUGAGCCUUAUAAUAGUGUUCUCUCUACUCAUGCCCUCCUUGAACACACAGAUGUAUCUGUGCUCUUGGACAAUGAAGCUAUCUAUGAUAUUUGCAGGAGAUCCCUAGACAUCGAGAGACCAACUUACACCAAUUUGAAUAGACUGAUAUCACAAGUCAUAUCCUCCUUGACAACAUCAUUGAGAUUUGAUGGAGCCAUUAAUGUUGAUGUGACAGAGUUCCAGACAAACCUUGUUCCAUAUCCCCGCAUCCAUUUCAUGCUUUCCUCAUAUGCCCCUGUUAUCUCAGCUGCUAAGGCAUACCAUGAGCAGAUCUCAAUCCCUGAGAUCACAAAUGCAGUUUUUGAACCCUCAAGCAUGAUGGCCAAGUGUGAUCCCCGGCAUGGAAAAUACAUGGCCUGCUGCCUAAUGUACAGGGGUGAUGUAGUUCCCAAGGAUGUCAAUGCUGCUGUUGCAACUAUCAAAACAAAAAGGACUGUGCAGUUUGUUGACUGGUAAGAACAAUGCCUAAAGGGGAAAAGAAAACGAUGAAAAAUACUCAUUUAUUUUUUAAAUCACAUCUAAUGUAUCUGAAGAAACUUACUUUGUUCAAAUGCCAUACUGUCUCGAACAUCAGUAUACACAGUAGGAAUGGAGAUUUAUACAUGAAGCUGAAGUUAUCUUGAUGCCAAGUUGUUUAGAUCUUUAAUAACCAGUUUUCUUUCAGAUAAACAGUUUGUGCAUCAUCCGUCUGAAUUCUGGUCCACGUAUAUGUUUUAUCUGACGAGUUCAGUGGUUCAAUUCUGCAGGUGCCCAACAGGUUUCAAAUGUGGUAUUAACUAUCAGCCUCCAACAGUUGUACCAGGGGGUGAUCUUGCCAAGGUUCAGCGAGCAGUGUGCAUGAUCAGCAACAACACGGCAGUGGCUGAGGUGUUCUCACGCAUUGACCACAAAUUUGACCUCAUGUAUUCCAAGAGGGCAUUUGUUCACUGGUAUGUCGGUGAGGGAAUGGAAGAAGGAGAGUUUUCAGAAGCUCGUGAAGAUCUGGCUGCUCUAGAGAAAGAUUACGAGGAAGUUGGUGCCGAAGGUGUUGAUGAUGAAGCGGGAAGUGAAGAUUACUAGUGUUCUAAUGCAAGAGAAACAGUGUUUUAUCAUUCAUCUUCGACUAUCUGUGCUCCUUUUGUUGUGUAGUACACUUUCCAUCUUCAUGCUGUGAAAUUGUCACAAUUGUCACUCCUUUUGUUGUGUAGUACACUUUCCAUAUUCAUGCUGUGAAUUUGUCACAAUCGUCACUAAGUUCUGAUUAUGUAUUUCUCGCUCUUUUUUGUGGUAUCAAUGAAGUGACAUUUCUGAGAACCUGAAUGUUUAUGGUUCUCUUUCAAAUAUAUUAUUACACUAUAUGUUUCCCAGAUGUUUCGAAGAGAAUUCGAUACACAUUAUAUGACGGUUUUUAUGUUGUUUCUCCAUUUUCCUACAAUAAGGUUUCAUGAACAAUACUUGGCUACUCAAAGAUAAGUAAGAAUUCUUACUCGAAACUUAUAGUGUUUUAAUAAUAGAGCUUUGUGUUUAUGAUUUGAACCGUUCAUACUAUGAAUCAUACUGUAAGGAUCAUCUCUGCUAAAAAUAAAUUAAAACUAAAGUCGUUUAGUCAAUUUAUUGUAGCAAAUACAUAGACGGUUUGUAAUACUUUUACCAAUACCAUUCAUUUGUUUUUAAAUAGUUUGAUGACUAAAUCCUUAUUUUAAUUGAUUUUUUUUUUUUUUUGCAGAAGCCAUCUUUAUAGGGUAAUUUAUAAUAUAAACGGUUCUGAUUAUAAAUACGAAGUUCUAUAAAUUGACAACGAACAAUUUUGAGAAUUUUUAAGUAAAGAGUUUUUACUCAUCCUUGAGUAGCUAAGUAUUGUUCAUAACUUAAUAUCACUCAUCGGUACCCCAAUCCACUGUCUUGAAAUGCAGUUACAUGUUAACUUGUUAAGGUGAACCGGAAAAGUCUUGACCUUUUUUUGUUUCGAUAGUUUUGGAAGAAGAGAUUCGAAUUUAGGAUAUCUUUCAACAUUGAGAGAUCAAGAGCUUGUAUGUGUUUUAAAAUGCGGUCCAUUGAUAAAUUUUCGCUUUCAUCAGUUGGCAGCAAUAUGAUGUUUUAACGACCGAUAAACCUGGUUGAUUAGUUCUGGUAUUUUUUUCCACCUUCCCUCAACACUGGAAAAUUGCACCAACUACUCUCAUUUCUGCUUCUUCGUAUUAAUUGAAUGCCUUGUAAUAUCUUGUUAGAAAUUGUGGAUCAAACAUGUAUAAUUGUUGUAUAUCGGGUAAGUGAUUCUCGAAUAUCAAUAUACUACGGCAUGUUACUUACUUAGAAUGAAAGAAGUCGCGAAUCGAGGAAGGGAAAGAAGGAAUGGGAGUGAUGCGAUCAACUAGCAACCCCCGUUGAUAUGAUUCCUGAUUCUUAAGGUAUCAAAUUACGGACUUCUUCUAUUCCAUACGUGUUAAUAAAUACACAGGGGAAGUAAGGAAUUAGAAUCAUUCAGAUAACCAUGUUUCAGUAAACGCCAUGAACUCAAGAAUUAUAAUCGUUACAAUACUCAUUCCUUCCAUGCAACUUUGAAGAUGAUGUUCAUUUUGCAUCUUUAAAUGGAAGUACAAGCUAUUGAUAUCGUACAGCUUCCUACGCUUCUCGUGCUUUCAAAAGCAUUGCACUAAACAUAAACUCUCAAGAUUCAAGAAUAACCCUUAAAUUCUCUCAUUUCAAAAGAAUCAAAACUAUAAGAUCACUCAGAAAAAGAGACGAAGAGUCGCCAUCAGCCGAGGCAGAACAACUGAGAGAGACUAGGAAGAUCCCAGAGAGCAUCACCGGAGUCGUACCCAUUGUCCAAGUACUCGUUCACUCCGUUCAUUGCAUAAAUCGAAGCUGAAAUCUGCCUCUCUACCUUCAAGCGCUCAAAUUCUGUCACUUCUGGCUCUGCUGCAACAUUAGGUGACGAUGUCAUACCAAUGUCUUUCGCUAGAUCGUUCCCUUCGUGGGUUACUGGAAGCUGAUCAAACCCAGUUAAGAGUGGCCACUGGCGACCGAAAUGGUUAUGAAACAACCCCGGUUGAAGAACACCGAUGCAGUUGCUGACGUCUGGUCUAUAUGCAUCAUCGAACACCUGAACAUUUUUCUGGCUUUUGCAAUUAGGCAGAAAAAUCUCACUAAAAGUAGCAAUGGAGUUGGAUGAACCGUCACUGAAAGUGGUAUAUUUGUUAGUAAUUCUAGCAGUCGUAGCUAUAGGGGUGAAAUUUAAGCUGUUGGGGUUGGAACUUGGAGGGCUUUGUUUCAAGCCCUUUUUCUGGUUGAGGAGGUUUCUGAUCUUCAAAGAAAGUGGAGAGUUGGAGGGGACAUGAGUGGAGAAGUUGGUUCUGGUAUUCGAACCCCGAAGAAGGUAAGCAGCCUCGUCGUAAGCUCGAGCAGCUUCCUCGGCAGUCUCAAAGGUUCCAAGCCACAUUCUUAUCUUCUUUGUUGUGUCCUUGAUCUCUGCAACCCACUUCCCGGAUGGCCUUUGUCUCACCCCAACAAACUUGCACUUGGAUUUGGUCCUCUCUUUGGACUUGCCUUGUUUGUUGGCAAAGACUCCCUUUUGCUGCUUCGGGGCUUGAUGUUCCAUGGCAGAUGCUGAAAGAGAGAACCUUAGCUUGUUUGAGAAUGCUUCUGUAAUGGCUAAAAGCACUUUCAGAAAAUCAAAGCGCUUUUAACAGCAUUUGACAUUAAAAAGGAAAGAAAAGAAAAUUCGAAGUGCUUUGGGGCUUCAUGUUCCGUAGGAAUGUUUGAAGAGAAGUUGUGAAUGAAUGAAAGAGAAAGAAUGGGGGAGUCUUGUAUAUAAAGUUGGGACAAGGCAAAGGUUUUGUUUGGUACUUGGUAGUAGUGGGAAGCUCGUUUUCUUUCCCUUGUCAGCCCUCUCGAUACCUUAUCAAUUUGUAUUUGUUCGUUAUUGAAGGAUGGCUGAUUUCUCAAUGCUCACUCGCGACCAAAUCAUACGUUAGUUUUUUUUUUUUUUUUGACGAUUCACAGCAAUAUUUAGCUUCUUUUGAUUUCUGAUCAUCAACGUGUGAUUUACCAGUAUCAUGAGUUGAAUCAAAACGUUUCAUUUAGAAUACAGACCUGAAAUAUGUUCCUAACUAUUGAGCCGCCACAUAAUAUUGUCAUACGUAAGUUAUUUUGUGAUAUUUUCAUCUUUAAGUGUUCCCUCUAUCUUAAACUUUGUCUUGUCUAGAGAAGAAUAAUUAUACGUCCUGCACCUAGAAUUUCUAAAUAUAAGAAGUUAAGAAGACGAAAAAUAUAAAAAUGAAACAAAUGGGUUAAGUCAAAGAACGGUUAGAAAGUAGGGUAGGGCCCGGGGGUGUGAGUAGUUGUCGUGGUCACUCCUCUGUCUUCACCACCACCAAAGUCGUUGGUCAACGGAGAUAGAAGCAAAAUUCGUGGGAGCACGAAGGCAUGACACAAGGAGCACAAAUUUGGUCCCCUCCAAAUGUAUUCUUAUAAAAAAGGGGGAAGGAAUCUCAUGCUGCACGCUCUCUUGUGUUUGGUGGAAUCUUUACGUAAAACAUGCCAAACACUUGGCUUGCAUUGCAUCAUAAAAAGAUACAAACCAAAAACCAAACAGAUAAAUAAGAUUCAAAGCUCUAAUGGCUAUGGAUCGAUAGGAUUGGAUUGUAACGGAUCGUUGCUUUGUCCGAGCCUCGUGCACCACGUUUUAGGUCCGAUUUCUGAAAGUCAAGCUUCCCAAGUCAUGUUUCUGUCUCAGGCUCUAGGGUCCUUGAGACAGGCCCAAUUAUGAUUAGCUCACUUUGGUUCCGGGAUUCUAGAAACUCCUACACAUCGUUGGCUCCUCUCAAGCUCUAGGGUUCUUGAGAUAUGCCCAAUUAUGAGACUAGCUCACUUUGGUUUCGGGAUUCUAGAAACUCCUACAUGUCGUUGGCCCCUCCUCUCAAGCUCUAGGGUCCUCGAGACGGGUCCAAUUAUGACUAGCUCACUUUGGUUCCGGGAUUCUAGAAACUCCCACAUGCCGUUGAGGAGCCAAGCUUUUGUUUUUUGGCAUUGUUUCUCAAAGAAAUGGAACCAGAAAUGUCAUCUUUGGGUGCUCUAAAACUCUCGCACUCCUCAAGGAUAUAUCGAUCCAACACAACAGCAUGUCAGCAUAUACCGUUGAAAUUAUACCAUAAAGCCAAUUUUAUUGCCUUUGGGGAUCAAAAUUGAAAACAUAAUGAAAGAAUCGCCAUCGAUAAUUUCAUCAACAGAUUCUUACAUCGCAGGUAUAGGAAAAUACAAAGACAGGAUGAGACCAAAACUCCCACGAGAAUUUUCUCACCAACAGCCCUCAUAACCUCGGGCACCAACAAAAACAAAAAAACAAAACAAAAAAAGAAACCCGCACCAACAGGAACAGCAAGUCUUCUUUUCUUUUAGACUCAAAAUCGUCACUAUAAAUUAACACUUUCAUAUACACCCUACAAAAAAUGAUUUGACCAAACCGCAACAAUGACUUCCACGCUUGAUCAGAUGCUGAGGGGUUGCUGUAGAACUUUUCGCAAAAAUGACUGAUGGGAAACAUAUUAUGGAAAAGAAUUGGUGACGUACAAUGAACACGCAGGCCAGGGAACAGUGUAUCUGAAAGCAGCAAUGUGCGCAAUGCAAGCCAAGGUACUUAUGAGGAGAGGAUAGAUUGCAGUGCAAGCUGUUGUUGGGGUUGCAAGGACGACCACGUUGAGGCCAAUGUAGCUGGUGGCAACGUCUGCUGAAGCUGCUUUAACAAAUUAAUCAUUCGGCUUGCAGUUUGUUCUGUUGCUAGAUCCUUACCGGCACAUAGAACCUGCAUGAAUAACCAUACCCCUCAAAGUAAAUACUCUGGAAAGCUUGAAUACAUGUUACUGUGCACACAUCUAUACCAUACCAUAAAUCAUUAAAUAAGAUACGUAUAAUCGAACUGAUGGAAUAGACGAAUGAGAAAUGUAUUAUUGAGGAAGCAUUGAUUUUGAUCAUGAUAUAAGAUAAAUGUUGUGCCUAUAAUUGCUUCACCUCAAUAACAAUCAUUAAAUAAGAUACACAUAUUCAAACAAACCGAUGGAAUAGAAUAAUAAGAAAUGUAUUGUUGAGGAAGCAUCGAUUUUGAUCAUGGUAUAUGACACUGAGAAAUAUAGCUUACAAGUGCUAAAUUAGAUUCUAGAUUACAAACCUCUGCAAACACUGCAACAAUUUUGGGAAGAUACUGAUUGUUGGGACCCAAAAGUUCCCGAUCAGACCUGUAGAUGGAUUACAAGGGUGUCACCUCUAUGAAUUUGCUUGGUAAUGAUAUUCCAAAAGUUAAAUAUAUGAAAAGGCAACAAGUAACAGAACAAGGCACAAGUAAAAGAAAAUUGAAACUCUACCUCUCUACCAUAGAACAAAGUUGUUCAUGAACAACUUUGGCUUCAACCAAGUCACCUUUAAUCGGUAAACAGUUCAACCAAGCAGGAAUGACCUGCAAAAUUCCAAAAGGUUGACAAUGAAAAAAAAUGAAAUAAAUAGUAACAAAUAAAUAAAACCAAUAAAAAAGAUAUAAUCUUAAUUCUUGAAAGAGAUAGUUGGCAAGAUAAGUUAUAGCGUUGCACUAAACUGAGGAGCAUGCGCACAAAAAAGGUAUUAGAGAGUACUGUAUAGCACAGUAGUCGGAUACUCACAGUCAAGACUCUAUCGUUACUUUUUUGUGCGUAUAUUCCAUAACAACACCAAUGAGAAAUUCUGAUCAAACCAUAUGACAACAGAGCAAAUAAAAGUUAGUACCUGAGCUGCAUCAAUACUGUCACGGUGGAAUUGGCUAAUUUUUCCUAAAGCAGAAAUAGCAUUAUCAUAUGCCAUUACAUUUUCAGAUUGUUGGGCGUUAGGAUGCUGGAUGACAGCGUUCAGCCUUGAUAGAGCCUCUGUACAAAGCCACAAGAAAAUGUUACUCAUAAACAUACACAAAUAUUUCAUCUAUUUAAUAUAUGCAAGCAGAAUUACCGCCAACGAGAGGUUUAAUUACUGCUCCACCAAACUCUGAACAAACACCAAGCCCAUAUACAGCUGCCUGAAAAACAAAAGUUAAACAAAAACCACUUAACACUAAUGAGGAAAAGCAACCUGAUACAUAUUGAAACAGCUCGUUGAGAUCAGACCUGUCGAACAUCAGGGUUUUCGUCAUUGCAAGCCUCCAACAGAAAAGGAAGAAAUGUGUCAUAAUAUCUGAUCCAACCAAAUCAGAACCAAAUAUGAGUAUAGAAUGACAAGAAUUACUUAAAGUAAAUCCUGAGGUUAUAUUUAAAAAAGACUUACUUUACAGCUGCUUCACGACACUGCUCUGCAACUUCAUCAAAGAUGCAUAUUGCAAUCCUUCUCUCUUCAGGUGUUUUAUCCUUGGCCUGUGUUUAGGACCCAAAAUGAAUAAUAUAAUUCAGAAGACAAACAAAUUAGCUCAAACAUAAUGGCUGACAAAAAAAUUAACAUUCUUCUUCCAGAGAGUGAAGAUUUCUAGGGAGUGAUCAAGCAAAUAUAAACAACUAAAAUCCAAAAGUUGGAACCAAAAGAAAGGCUGCACCCGUGAGACGUAACUUACCCACAUAGGCGUUAAAUACAAUGCUAGCUCAUCAAAGAAAGGCAAGAAAGAGGCUUUAAACGUUUUAAUCAAAGUUCCAAUGAUCUCUCCCACCUGAUACAAUUAAAAAAAAGUGUUAGAGAACCAGGACAAAGUCCCACACUAUAUAAACGAUGGCCAACAAAUUAAAAAAUCAACAAUAUUAUUGACGAGCUACCUAGGGAUUGUGUUAAAAAAACUCACUUGAUCAAAAACUUCUUCCUCUUGUUCAUUUUCCUCUUUAAUCAGCUCCUGUUCCUCAGCAUCAAAGUCUUCUGCUUUGGUCCUUUCCGCUCUCUCUCUUUUUCUACUGGAGCUGGCAGUGAUCACCUGCUUUAUCUCCUCCACAAUGGAUUUGACCUGGCUUUCAUCUAAAAGUGGUCCAGAUGUCUGAAAGCAAAGAUACAAGGCGCAUGAAUGGGGCCAUACUCAAGAAAUGAUGCACAAUAUAAAAAUGAAAACACCACAACAAUUUAUUUGUUUUGUGAACAAAGCAAAAAAACAAAUUUUUUGUUUUUUGAACAGAGCAAAGUACGAUUGAUUCAACAAAAAUUUACUCCCAACGCAGUUGGCUCAUUCGGUGUUUCCAUACAAACUGAAAUAAAGGAUUGGCCACUACAAAACAAUUAAUUAGUACUACACUGCAGUGACUGCCAGCAUUUCCAAGUUCAAGCCCAAAAUCAAGGCAGAUAUUUAAUUAUAAAAGUUCUUGCAAAUCAAACCAAUUUUUUUAUUCUGCAAGGAAAAGAAACUAAAAUAGAAGUGGCAAAGCAUGGAAUGUGACUAGUAUCCAGUAUCCAAUUAACAUUUCUAAUCAUAAGUGUAUUGACAACUUCCUUGCAGGGAAAAAUAUAGCAAUUCCAGCACUACUGAAUUGGUCGGUUGGUGCGGAGUAAGUGCAAAAAGUAAAAUAAACAGGGCCACAAUGGAAAAUUCAUACAAUUUCUUAAAGAAAAAUGACAAACCUGUAAGCAUUCAUUUAAUGCAUCCAAUAUAUUUGCACAGAUUUCAGUAUCAGGUUCCUGCACAUAAAUUGCAAUCUCAUAAUUCAGAGAAUAUUUAAAUCAUUACACCUAGAUCAAGGAGGCUUAAGUGAAAAACAAUGAACAACCUUAUGUAAUGCUUCCACAAGAGCUGGAACAAUGUAGUCAGACAAUUGCUUUAUAUAUGUUUCGUUACGACCUUGAGCUUGGCCUUUCUCUAUAGCUAACUUUGCAGAACGCAGUAGCUCCGGCAUUGCUAGGAAAAAAAGUAGAUAUCUCUUUAUUUAAAAAUGGAGUAAUCUCCAACAAAAUUUGUAGAGGAAGGAGAAAAUAAGAACAACAAGUAUUAACAAUUAGUACUACCUGAAACAGCUGCCUUCCUAACUUCUUCAUGGAAAUAAAAUUUAAGAAGUGGAACCAAAGUGGGGGCAACCUACAUAAAUAUGACUUUAAUAAGUAUUCAGCCAAAGUCGGACAAAAAAAAUAAUCGUGACACUAUCGAAUACCUGAUCAAUCCAGGGAAAGAAUCCUUCUUUCAGCUCAUCAGCAUAGCAACACAGCAUAUUGCAAGCUGUAGCUUUCUCCUCCAAGACACUAGUCUUGAUUCCAAUCCUUUUAUCCCCAAGAGUAAUUGUUUCCAUACUGAAACACAAAAGCAGCUUUUAGCAAGAGAAGUAACACAGAGCUACAUAACAGCACUAUUUCCAGAUCUUGAUAUCUUUUACACACUCACUUAUCAAAACUACACCUCACACACUCUAAAUCAGUACAUUGGUAACUUAACCAAAUAAUUAUCAAGUAUAGAAGCAUAUAAAAUUUUAGGUACAUUAUAUAAAAUUUUAAGUUGAUGUGGAUCUUAAAGCCAUUGUGGUUAUCCAUGCAGUGAAAGUUCAUAUGAAACCACACUAGAUUCAGGUACAUUAUAUAUCAAAUUUUAGGAAGGAUACCAAGAAAUAGGUAGGUAGUGAUGCAACAUUUGAGAUAUCGUACAUGCCUGUUGGUAUGGAACUUAAGCAAAAAAGGAAAUGAGAAUAAGUUUCAGACCUAUCAUCAUCAGAGUCAUCAAUAUCAUUGUCGUCAUCUGCAGAUGUGAUGGUUACAUCUGGCUUAAGUUGAGCAGACUGAAGCAAAGGAGGCAUUACAACACUCAUAUAUGGGAGGAAAUCUUGUCCUAAGCACUUGCAGAGUCUAGCCCAGGCCUACAACAUUGUAGAUAAAUUUUUAUUGCAAAUAAUAAGUCUUUCUAAAGUAGUUUUAGUGCAAUUAUAAGAUAGGGCAUACUUGUAACAUGUAACUUGUAGUUGGAUCAUCCGUCUCCAUGUGAGAUCCUUGCAAAGCCAUCAGCACUUCCAUGACCUUUAGAGAAACAGUAACCAGCAAUCUGUGAUUAGAGAAAUUGGCAGCAGCAUUUUUCUAUUUGGUUUUUAGAUUAGCCAAAAUGCACAGGUUGAAAGACUCAAUUUUUAAAUUCCCAACUAUAAGCAGAAAAGAGCUGAAGCAUUUAACUUGAGCAUAGGAGAGUGUAGAAAAGGAAAAAUAAAGAAGUCAAUUUCUGAAUUUUGACAAAAUAAAAAAUUCUAUUUGGGGGAGUAAGGUAGGAAAUGGUUCAAAAUAGCAAAAUAUAAGUCUGCAUGAACAAGCACCUUAAAAAAUAACAUGAAACCAAUCAUUCAUCAAAUUGCCAUUCAUAUCCCAAGUCCAAUAAAGUAAACCUAGUUUCAUAUGUAUAAUGACUUACUUGCUUAGCGUCUUCCCUGAAUUUCUCUUUUCCAACUGCCAUUCCAACCAAACUAAUACACUCCAUCGAUUUGGCACGAAGCAUGCGAUUAGACUUAUCAGUGGCAUUCACCAAGAUAGCUUUCAGGUAAGGCAUAACUGCAUCAUAAUAUUUUUGAAAAUGCUCCUACGCAAUUACCACCAAAGUUAAUCAUCCAUAAAAAAUAACAAAACUUCACCUAUAAUAUUGCAUUAUAUAGUACAAUACCUGAGAUGAAUCAGCAACGGAUGCCAAAGCAGUCAAGGCACCCUCUUGCACCAUUUGUUUUCCGUUCUGCAUGAGAUGUGAUAAAUCAGGCACAAGUAAAAAAAUAUACUAGUUCAAAAGCAUGAAAUUAAGUAAGGUUUUACAUCAUGAAUUUGGUGUUUGUAUAUAUAAUAUAUAUACACAUAAUCUUGUGAAGCAUUACCUGCAGAAGUACAAGCAAUUUGCUCACUACUCCAUCCAAAUACGGUGUUAAAAUAUCCGGAGUGCAAUUCUCACUGAAAUUCAGCACAGCCGAAGCAGCAUGUGCCUGCAGGUAACAAAUUACAUAAAAGGAAGCAAUAAAUAGAUAAUCUUGCAUGUGUAAUUACAUGAACUCGAUAAUGAGCUGAAUAAAGCACAUUCCACAAUGAUCACUUUUCUCCAAAUUCAGAAAAUAAAGAACCUCAUAUGGAGGAUGGCAUGCAACUAUAGACACCGAUGGUAGCUCACAAGUCACAACAAAAGCCCAACGAUUAGUUUUCUACUGUACUUUUCAAAAAAGUUCAUACUUAAAUUCGACUAGAAACAUACAGUCAAGCAGGUAUGACUUUUGAGUGGACUCAUUCAAACAUCCCAUCAACCAGAGACAAAAAGUGAACUAAAUAAAUUAGGGUUCUCCUGAAGUCAAGGACAUAAGAUGAACUAGCAACUUAAAACAUUGAUUUAAGAACACACACUAGAAUGCUCUACAGUGCACAACUUGUAAAGAAUCCUUAAGAUGAGAAAGUGUCAGUCGAAAUUAGUAUCAUGGUCACCCUCUAAUACAUUAAAAAACUGACCGGCAUUGCAAGAUACAAAUCCAUCCCAUUCAAAUAAUGAAACUGAAUAUCACGUCAAUCGCUUAGAAACAGGACCAGAUGCCACGAUCAGGUACUAACCUGAACACGAGGGUUCUGAAAAUCAUCCAUAGCUCCAGCCAAUGCUGGGAGCACACUUUGGUGAUAUUGAACUUGCAGAUCUGGGCCCAAAUCAGUAGACAACUGCCCAAUUGCAUUAAUCGCUGCCCACCUUACACGAGGAUGUGGAUCUUGAAAAGAGUUCAAGACCAUUGCUACCACUUGCUCCAAAUUUUUAAUCAUUACCUGCAAAAAAAAAAUGAAAGGAACAGAUUAACGGUCAUCAUUAAUAAUAAGGUAAAUGGAAAUUCAUUUAACUAGAAAGCUGCAAAAAAAGUACUUUAUAGCUGUACUAUUCACUUAUUUGUGGAUACAGAAGUGCCCCCUCAGAAACUGCAUAGUAGGAUUAUACAAUCGCUUAUGUGAAACAUCUUACAUCAGUGUGUUAUAUCUGGUAUGAAAGCUUUUCAUUUAUUUUGUGCAAGUGUGAAUGUGACAAUCAAACCGUACAAACAUUGAAUAAUUUCAAACGAAUGUUACUCAUCACAUCUAAGAUGUUAGAUAUUCGAGUUCACAUAAUAGCACAUUCAACACAUGUCAAAAACCUAGGCUCUUUUAUUACCAAAACUCAACUCAAUUACUCCAACAGAAAGGGCAUGUUUUUUUUUUAAUACAUACAAUAUUAUCUACACUAAGGGGUGGGGAAUUACACUAUGUGGUUAAAGGCGGAACCAUGCAAAAUUGGAAAGGCAACAAUUCCAAGCAUAAUAUCACUAACUAAUGACAAUUAGUUAACCUGGAUAUACAAUUUCACAAACAAUGCACAACAAUUAAGGUAAAAAUCGAUACCUUAGCACAACCCUCAGCAAUCUGAGCAAGGGCAAUCAAUGCAGCAUGGUGCUUCUGCCACUCAGGGGCAACCAAAUAUGCAGGCAAUUGCUCAGAAGCUACUGGAACUAUGGUAUUCCCACCAAGGGAAAUCGAAAGCCGAUCCAAACACUCUUGACCAACACUGUAAUUAGUGGUCUCACCGGCAUCCUCAUCUUCACUCUCUGCCGCAUGCCAUGCCGGUUCGUCCUCAAUAUCCAGAAGCAUUUUCAUUAAAAUGGCAAACAAUCGGCUUAUAAACUGCGGCAACUUCCUCAUCAUGCCAGGAGCACGCUCUCUGGCCUCAGCCAGAGUGAUGACGAACUCAAUGGCCAAGUGCCUUGUUGAUUCUUCCAAGGAAUCGGCCUCAGCAAUCUGUAACAUUGCGCCAACGACUUCCACAAUCUGCCGCCUUAGGAACCUCGGCUCAGUCCCAGCCAAUUCAAUCAACAAUUCAAGAGCGUCCUGCGCGGUGGCUUCGUUCCCGUUGUUCAGAGCCUCCAUCAACGUCUUCAUCAUCGCCGGCAACAGGUCCUGAAACCUAUCCCUAUCCGCAGAGCUGGUCAAACACUGAAUGAAAUUGAUGACGGCGUUCAAAGCCGCGAUCUUCACGUCGGGGCUCGGCGAAUUCCCCAGGCUAUGCCAAGAACACGGCGUGCAAUUCUUUUAUGUGCGGCACCAUGAUGUCGCCGAUGUACUGCGAUAACUGAGCGAAUAUCAAGAACGCCGCUUCUUGAAGCUUUGGCGAAUCAGACGAGACGCACUGGAACAUAAACGGCAGCAGCUCCGGCCAUCCGUUAUCGGGUAAAAUCCCAGAGGCGAGCUCGGAAAUCGUAUCGCAGAGCUUCUUGGAGAUGGAUUUCGUGCCCUCCUGCUGAAUACACGUCAGCAGAAUCGUCUUCAGCGUUGAUUGGGUCGUCGGAUUCAAUCGGGGCCAGAGAUACGAGUCGUUGCGGGUGAGCUGCUUGCGGGAGAGAAAUCGCGGACAUGGCGCGGGCCUCGGCGGCGGGGGAGAACUGGAUGAGGUGGGCGAGCUUGAGGGAGAGGGAGUCGGGAUCGGUCUGCUUGCAGAGGUUGAAGAGGAGCUCCGCCUGGGAGCGCUGAUCGUUGGCGGAAGACAUGAGGUGGGAGAUCAGGGUUUGGAAAGGGGCCGGGUCGGGACCGAGAAUCGUCGCCAGUUGGGCUUGCUGUAACUGAGUCGACUCGGCCAUCGCAACCAGCUGCGGUUGUUUAGGGUUUUUGCCUGCCUUGGCUGUAGAUUGGUGUCAGUGAUGAGCCCGCGAAGAGAAGAUGUCUUUUUUCUCUCUCCUCACUUUCGCUCUCUAGACUUUUGAAUCAAACCAAAAGUGGGGAAUUUUGGGGAGUUUUGGAGUGCGGAAGGAGGGUGCUUGCGGGGGAGUUAAAGUAGGAGCGGGAGCAGAGGAGUGGGGCUCGGUACAUAAAAAGGAAUGAAAUGCAUAUGGAUGGUUAGCUGGGCGUGGGUCACUCAUCAAUCAUGAUUUAUGACUAUAUUUUUCGUACCAAAUAUAUUUUUGGAGGGAAGGGACAUGGGACUCAUUUUUUUCUUCAAUGUGGUAUAAAAUCAUAUCUUUGAUUUUUUUUUUUUUUAUCAAAAGAGUAAUAUUAGGAACACUAAAUUUUUAAGAGAGUUUUAACGAAACAAUUUUUGUACUAUUUACUUUUAACGAAAAACCACAUUUUUUUCUGAUAUUAUUUACUACACCUUUAUUUAUCAUUUUUUAUUUAAAAUAAUUUUUUUUGGACUUUUUGAUAGUUUUUCUAAUUUUUAAAUCAAAUAAUAUGAUUGUUGAUAAUUAAAUUAUUAAUUAAGUAUUGAUUAAUCUGAUUAUUUUUCAUUAAUAACACAUAAUUUAAUUUUGUAAAUUUAAUUUAAAAUUUUGUUCUAUUUAAUAUAAUUUAUCUCGACAAUAGUUGGACCAAUUAGUUUAUAAAGCAAAGCCCAACUUUUUAACAAAGUCACUUUAUAUAUUAUUUUUUUCUUUAUUUAUAAAUAAAAAUUAUUUUCUUUUUAAUUUACUUAAUUCAAUGGUUAUGAAUGUACUCCAACUAGUGUCUCGUAAUGAAGACCAUUUUAAUGUUUGUUGUUGUUGUUGUUUAAUGAGCUUAAAAGUAUUUGGGGGCUCAAAAUUAAUUGAUUUAAUUUCAAUCUAAUUGGACCAACGAUCUAGUUAUUGUUUCUUACACUUAUAAAUAUUGAACAAAGAUUUUUUAAAUUUAUGUUUAUGCUUUGCCAACUCCUUAUUUUGGUUUUUUAUGUUCCAAAUUCAUUAAUUAAAGUUCUCCUCCUUCAUCUUUUAUAUUUAUGCAACUAAUUCAAGAGCAAGGACAACAUUGAUUACUAAAAUAAUAUAUGAAGGACGGGAUUGAUGAAGUUGAAAUAAAGGUGGGCUUGAAAAACGAAAAGAAAAUUAAAACAUAACCAUUCACUGAUUCGAAAAUUGAAAAAAACCGAACCAAAACAAAGAAACUGGGUUGGACUGAACUGAAAGUUAUUGGUUUCGUUUCGACUUUAGAAGUUUAGAAACCGAACUUAAUUAGAUCUAAAUUAAUAUUUUAUAUAUUGAUUUAUCAUGGGUAUUUAUUUUCCAAACCCAAUAUUAAUUUCAACACAAGUCUGCACAAGCCCAACUUGAGGUGCAAAAAGUCUAAAUGUCUUAUUCAUAGGGAAACCCUAGCCUAUUAUAUUCUUUAUUUUAUCUCUUUGAUGUCGCUUUCCUUCUAUCUCAUCUUAUUUCUCUUUUUUCUCUACAACUCUCUCUCAAUGGACUAAGGGGCGUCUCCUUCCUCCCAUGAUCUUAAUUCCAAGGGCUCUGAUUUUGCUUUGAAUGAAUGGUGGGAUUUUGAAAAAUUACAGGAAGCAAUGCCCAUAGAAAUUCUUUGUAACCCAGAUGGGCGACUAGUUCUUGUGCAGGUCUCUCUCUGCAACUUUUCUUUCAACCCCUCUUAUUUAGAUUCAUGUUUUCUUCUCUUGUUCACACUAGGGCUGGGCACGGGCCGGGUCGAGCUAAAAUUUGGAGGCACCUGGCAUUACCCUUUUAAAAAUGUAAUGGGACGGGUUGGGCCGGGUAAAGGUAUUUUGAGUUUAGGAAUCAGAUCUAACCCGGCCCGUGGUUCGAGACUGGUCCAACUACAUUUUUUUUUCUUUUCGGAUUUGGGCAUACUGCCACCAACCCGCGACCCCAGUUUUCCAUCGCAAAGUCCACUAUGUAAAGGCAUCGCCGUCGUUUGCUUGCCACAUCUCAACGAUCAACAAACCACAUAUUUCCAAAACAUGGGUUCAUCUUCUACUUUAUCUCUCUAUAAAUGCAAGUAAAUUAUUUAACUCCCAUCUAAUUUGAAUUGCAACUGCAACCCUUCUAAAAAAUUGGUGAUUUGGGUUAUGCAUGGGAUCAAAGACCAUGCUUCUCAUAAAUAAUCCAAUGUUUUUCAAGCAUUUCUCACGCCCCAACCUAAAUCCCCAAAUAUAACAAAUUAAUAAAAACAAAAUCUUCAAAUAAAAUUUCGAAUUCAUCAAAAAAUAAAACUGAAUCCCUAAUUAAGCUAAAUCCCCAACAUUUUUAUGAAUUUUUCAAGCAAAUUAACUGAAUCCCUAAUUCCUAAAUCCCCAAAUUCAAAAUCAGUAUAAAAUUGAAAUUAGAUGCCGAGAAGAAAAGAAGUAGGAGCCUGGGACAACGUAAACUUCCUUAUGGAUCCAAGACCUCUACCUCGCCAUUACAAAUUACACAAAAUCAAAACAAAAUCAGAAACCCACAAAAUUAGAAACCCUAAAUCAAUCGAAAAGCUUAUGCAAAAACCCUAAAUUCCUAAAUCAGAAACCCUAAUUCAUAAAUUACCUACGGAUGCCACGAUGGAGAGUCAGGACAGGAUGCCAUGAUGGUGAUGGUGGCUGGCUGCUGUGAUGUCGACACAAUCGAGGUCAACUUAGUCACUACAGGUGGGGGGGAAGAACGAGCAAGUGUGGAGAGUCGAUGUACGAAAAUAGGAGCCUAGGCUCGAGAUUGAGGUCUGAGACGAGAGAAGAAAGGAGAUUCAUGGAGGUAGGAGACUCGGAGUGGUGUCGUCAGAGACUUAGAGUCUUGGAGUCAGGAUAGAGAUAGAGAGGGUGAGUGCCCCGAACCGCACGGAAUCGCCUCGACUCGAGGAGGAAACUCGAAAUGGUGUCGUCAGAGACUUAGAGUCUUAGAGUCGGGAUAGAGAUAGAGUGGGUGAGUGCCCCCGAACCGCAUGGAAUCGCCUUGACUCGUGGGUUUAUGACUCGUUUGCCCACCCCUAGUUCGCACCAUUCCUGAGUAUACGUUUGUGGGUGGUUGUUCCUUUGGGAAAUUAUAUUGUACCCAUAUGGGGAUUUGUUUGAUUAUACCCCAUAGAUUUAGUUUUGGGUUUUGGCAAAAAUUUGAAUCAAAUGAUACAAAACCUACCCCCUAGUAUAUACUUGCAGUUUAAUCAAUUUUAAAUACGAAAGGUAAUCACCCUCUAGGGAGUUUGAAUAUGAUGUUGACAUGAUCAUUAUGCAUCAAAGUGUGUAUUAUGUGAUAUAACAUAUUUACUAUAAAUAGAACUUUGUUGAUUAUAUAGUUUAGCUUGACUAUGUUUAUCGUACAAUUUGAGUGUAAUAGUUUUUGAACAACCUCUUUUUUGUUAAUGCUGAUUACAAUUGAUGCCCCAUUGUCAAACAUAAAAAAUGGAAAAUACUAUGAAGAUCAUGUUUUUUCAGAUAAUAUUUUGUAGACCAUAUGAUUAGGUGGUGAUGAUUGGAUACACUCAUUAAUGAUUUGAACAAGGCUUAUUUCUAGCUACACCAUUUAUAACUCGAUUUUGAUUUUAUUUUACCAUCUGAAACUCAAAAGUUAUCUUUAUAAAUUUUGUUUGUACCAUAUUUAGGGCCUCCGUAUUUAGACCUCGUAUAAAUACUCGGGAGACUCAAAUGUAAUUAUGUAAUAAAUGAAGGGGCAAAUAUGUAAAAAUGGGAUGAGCCCUUAGUCUAUAAAAGGGUCUCCUCACCCUCACAAUAAGGGGAGCUUUCAUCCUUACAAACAAAGAGCUCUCUCAAGCUCUCUCUCCCUCACAAUCCUCUCACAAACAGAAAAAUACAAUAUAAGUGUAGACGUAGCCCAAACAUUAGGAUGAACUACGAUACAUCUUGUGCAUCAACAUUUGGCGCCGUCUGUGGGAAACGAUACGAAAAGUUGUGUCGGUUCUAUUUCAUUUUUUCACCUCCACCGUGAAUUUGCAAGAAAAACCCAAAUUAAACAGAAAUCUCUGCUUCUUGGUACAUCAUUUUAUCUGUUUCCAUUAUAAAUCUCUGCGAUUUUUCAUUAAACACCAUUUUUCCAGAUUUGCAAAAUACUCUGUUUCUUAUUCAAAAGAAAAAUGAUGGAUCCUGACGUUGGUGGCGGUUCUGGCAUGGGAGACGGUGGUGGGAGACUUUCCUUGCCAUUUUUGUCUCUGUCUGCCAUAGCGAAGCUAACCCGAGCCCGUCGCUCGCCGUCAGGCUCCGCAUCCGGCUCAUCCUCCCACUCCCGUUCACGUUCCCGCUCAUUCUCCAGCUCCGACUCCCACUUCAGCUCGCUUUCUCGCUCCAGGUCCUUCACCUCUUCAUUCUUUCCGUCUCGGAGUGGCAGCUCUCGUAGCUGUAGCCCCCCUGCCUCCACCCAAAAAACCCAGGUGCUAAAUUUGAUUCGUGCACUGACUUCAUCAUCAACUUUGGUGUUUUUCCUACUUUUCAUCUACUUUUACUGCAAGAAAAUUGCAAAGAGUGAGCAAAAGGAUGUGGAAAAAAAAAUUAGAGCAGAAUCAAGAGGAAAUUGUGGAGGCAAAGGAGCUGGUGACUUUUCAAGAUGGGGAGGACUUAACAAUCUGUGACAUUUUGGAUGCUCCGGGAGAAAUGAUCGGAAAAUUGAACUACAGACGCUGUUUAAGGCGCUGUUGCAGAGCAGUAACUCAGUGAAGUUGCUGAGGUUUUUUAAGCCUGUUUGCACUGCAAAAGUUCAAGAUUUUGGUGAAGUUGUUCGGCUUUUGGGGUGCAUAAGGCAUCAUAAUUUGGUGCCUAUUUUGGGAUUUUAUGCAUGGCCGAAAGGUGAGAAGCUUUUGAUUCAUCCAAUCCAUAAAUCCCUAAAUAUUAUAUCUCAAAAUCUCUUAUUUUGAUUUCGACACUCUUACUGUUAUUCUGAUUCUUGAUGUCUUUCGGGUUUCUAAGCGUUAAUCGCAUCUUUCAUCCUCUCAAUUUUCACCUCGACCAAGAGUGCUAGGGUUUUGGUAUUCUGGGUGAUUUUCUGUGAUGGACGAGAGUAUUGUCGAUGAUCUUAUAUGGAAGCUUGUGGCAGCGAAGAAUGGCCGGACCACCAAACAGGUGUAACUCACGAAGGCUGAAAUACGGCAGCUUUGCUCCGCCUCCAAGGAAAUCUUUCUCAAUUAGCCGAAUCUUUUGGAGCUUGAAGCUUCAAUAAAGAUCUGUGAUUUAAGUCUCCAAGUCCAGAGCCUGAGCUUCGGAAUCAACAUUAGACAUCAGCAUAAACAACUUCAGUCCAACUUUAAUCUUCCCCCUGACCAACAACAACCAGCAACCAAAACAAAAAAAACAAAAACAAAAACAAAAGGCGAACAGGCGUCAUAUAAAGUGGUUUGGGUUUGACAGAGAAUCAGUGUAGGAAAAGCUGAGGUGGACAGUAAGGGAACGAGUUCAUUGAGCUAUGCUGUGAUGACUUCAUGAGCCUUUUUCAAAAAAUGGGAGUGGCUCGACGAACUCAAAGAUGCUCUGUAUGCUACAGACGACCUGUUGGAUGGGAUCAAGACUGAAGCUCUGUGGCGAAAGCUCGAAGGCGAUGAAUCCGAAAGCAGCAGCAACAACAAAAGUGCAGAGGAAAGGCAAAAGCAAUCAAGUGAGCUACAACACAAAAGCAAAAGAAAGAGGCGCAGUGGGAAACAAAGGCAGAAAACAUAAAGAAAAGAAAGUAAAAGUAAAGAAAAAAAAAAAGCAAAGCAGAAAAACAAAAGCAAAAGCAGAAAGCAAAAGAAGAUAAAAAAACAGACAUAAUUGUGGUGGUGAUGACAUUAUGGGCGUGACCCAUUGAGCAGAGGGUCAGAUUUAUUUUUGAAUGAUGUGAUUUAUUUUUCUUAUUUUUCGGAGACAUCUGUAUAACCCCAUCAGAGGGUAAUAAAAAAAAAACGACAAGCCUAAAAUAAUGGGCUGGAAUGUUAUGUGGAGGGCGAAUGCCCAUAUGCCCAAAAGAGCUAGGCCCUAUGACUCUAAAUUUAUUCAGCACCUUGUCGUUAUUAUCACAAACCAGGUGAUGAAAAGUACACCGGUACUCCAAAAUUAUUCAGCACCCUACAAUUAUUAUCACCAACUAGGUGAUCAAAAGUACGUCCAGUAUUCCAAAAUUAUACAUGAACAUCACUCAUGUCAAUCAUACAUAAACAUUCAUGAUGAUCACUCAUGUCAAUCAUACAUAAACAUUCAUGAACAUCAUUCAUGUCAACAUUCAUGAGCAUCACUCAUGUCAACAUUCAUGAGCAUCACUCAUGUCAACAUUCAUGAGCAUCACUUAUGUCAAUCAGCUUCAAAAGCUUCAUUUAUAGAGCUCCAGCUUCGAAAGCUUCAUUUACGAAGCUUCGACUUCAAAGCUUCAUUUACAAAAGCUCUAGCUUCAAAGCUUCACAUGCAAAGCUUCACCUACAAAGCUUCAAUGCAGGGUAUACAAAUACCGCCUCCAAACAACUGCUACUUCGGCCUAUACAUGGAUUAAAUUUGAAGUGUCCAGCCAACAGACUUUAUUGACUGCAGACUUGGGGGACUACACUAUGUACCAUAUAUUGGGCCUCCAUAACUGGGCCUCAUGAAAAAUACUUGGGGGACUUAGCCCAUUACUUAUGUACUAAGGAACGAACUCUUAUUCUAUAAAAGGGACUCCCUCACUUUCAUUAGAGAACACCCAUUAUUCAUGUAUUGAGGAGCGAACCCUUAUUCUAUAAAAAGGACUCCCUCACUUUCAUUAGAGAGCACUCAUUAUUCAUGUAUUAAGGAGCGAACCCUUAUUCUAUAAAAAAAACUCCCUCACCAUCAUUAGAGAGCAUCGCCGCUAGCUGAGCAACCACCUCACUGCGAGCAUCACUCCUAACCCAUCACUUAUGUAUUGAGGAGCGAGCCCUUAUUCUAUAAAAGGGACUCCCUCACCAUCAUUAGAGAGCAUCAACUUUAGCCCAGCAUUCAUGUAUUGAAGAGUUAACCCUUAUUCUAUAAAAGGGACUCCCUCACCUUCAACAUCAUAAGCCGAGCCAACAAAGGCAACAUAAACCACAACCAGAGCAGCCUCGCAACAUGUGCUACUUUUAGUUGAGCAUCAUUUCAGAUUGGGCACCACCUUAUAUUGAGUAUUAAAUUAUAGACGACAUCUAGUUACUUUGGCCCACACAUGGACUGAUUUCAAGUCUUCAGCCAAAAGACUCUCUUGACUGAACACUUGGGGACUACUGUUUGUAUCAUACUUAGGGCCUCCGUAUUUAGAUCAAGUAUAAAUACUCGGGGGACUCAAAUGUAAUUAUGUAAUAAAUGAAGGGGCAAAUAUGUAAAAAAGGGAGGAGCCCUUAGUUUAUAAAAAUGCCUCUUCACCCUCACAAUAAGGAGAGUUCUCAUCCUCACAAACAGAGAGCUCUCUCAAGCUCUAUCUCCCUCACAAUCCUCUCACAAACAGAGAAAUACAAUAUUAGUGUGGACGUAGCCCAAACAUUGGGGUGAACCACAAUACAUCUUGUGUUCUUUACAUUUCUCGCAGAUUUACGGUCGAAUUUACGUUGUUCCAAGACCUCCGGGUUUGUGCAUCAACAAAUUUCAAACUCGCUUUACAUUGCCUUAGGUCUGUUAAUUUUGUUAUAUGAGUUUGAUUUGGGAGCAUCAGGCUAAUCAAUUUCUUUUUUAUUAUUUUCAUCUCUUCAAUUCUUUUAAACUUAAUUUUUUUUUUAUUGUUGAAUGUUAACACAUAGAAAAGAUUUAUAAUUAAAUUCACUAAGAAGGUUGGGGAAAAAUGGGUUAGCCUCAUAAUAGGCGAGCCAUAAUAAUAUGAUCCAAGUUCAAAUUUGACGAUAAUCAAACAUAAGACAUUUUAUUUACAAAUGAUACGAAAUACAACUAGACCAUAAUCCUAAAUCACAGUUAAAAAUAAAUUUUUAAACAAAGAGUCUGACUAUCAACAACACAUCAUAUAAUCUACAAAUUGGACGGUCUCUUGCCAGACGAGGGAGCCCCACUCAUCUACUCCCAAUCCUACUUUUAACGCACCGUACCCUCUCCGCAGUCGACACCCCAAAAAACCCUAAAUUCGAAAAAGAAGUGUGAGAAAGAGUGAGAGGAGAGAGAGAGAUAGAGAGAUAGAGAGAUAGAGAGAUAGCCCGCCACCUUCCUCAUCAUCCACAGCCGAAGUCUCAAAAACCCUACCUGCAACUCUCGAGUUCGCUGCAGCAAUGGCCGAGUCGACUCAGCUACAGCAAGCUCAACUGGCGACGAUUCUCGGUCCCGACCCGGCUCCUUUCCAAACCCUAAUCUCCCACCUCAUGUCCUCCGCCAAUGAGCAGCGCUCCCAGGCCGAGCUCCUCUUCAAUCUCUGCAAGCAGACCGAUCCUGACUCCCUCUGCCUCAAACUCGCUCACCUCCUCCAGUUCUCUCCCGCCGCCGAGGCCCGAGCAAUGUCUGCCAUUCUCCUCCGCAAGCAGCUCACUCGCGACGACUCGUACCUCUGGCCCCGAUUGAAUCCGACGACCCAAUCCUCGCUGAAAACGAUUCUCCUGACCUGUAUUCAGCAGGCGGACAACAAAUCUAUCUCCAAGAAGCUCUGCGAUACAAUUUCCGAGCUCGCCUCCGGAAUCUUGCCCGAUAACGGGUGGCCGGAGCUCUUGCCGUUCAUGUUCCAAUGCGUCUCGUCCGAUUCGCCCAAGCUUCAGGAAUCGGCGUUUUUGAUAUUUGCUCAGUUAUCGCAGUACAUCGGCGACACCAUGGUGCCGCACAUAAAGGAGUUGCACGCCGUGUUCUUGCAUAGCCUGGGGAACUCGCCGAACCCCGACGUUAAAAUCGCAGCUUUGAACGCCGUCAUCAAUUUCAUCCAGUGUUUGACAAGCUCUGCCGAAAGGGAUAGGUUUCAGGACCUGUUGCCGGCGAUGAUGAAGACGUUGAUGGAGUCUUUGAACAACGGGAAUGAGGCCACAGCACAGGACGCUCUUGAAUUGUUGAUUGAAUUGGCAGGGACCGAGCCCAGGUUCCUCAGGCGGCAGAUUGUGGAGGUUGUCGGGGCAAUGUUACAGAUUGCCGAGGCUGACACCUUGGAAGAAGCUACCCGGCACUUGGCAAUUGAGUUCGUAAUCACCCUUGCUGAGGCCAGGGAACGUGCUCCAGGGAUGAUGAGAAAGUUGCCACAGUUUAUAAGCCGAUUGUUUGCCAUUUUGAUGAGGAUGCUUCUGGAUAUUGAGGACGAACCCUCAUGGCAUACAGCCGAGAGUGAAGAUGAGGAUGCGGGUGAGACUGGUAAUUACAGUGUUGGGCAGGAGUGUUUGGAUAGGCUUGCCAUAUCCCUGGGUGGGAAUACCAUUGUUCCCGUGGCAUCCGAGCAGUUGCCUGCUUAUUUGGCUGCCCCUGAAUGGCAGAAGCACCAUGCUGCAUUGAUUGCUCUCGCUCAAAUUGCAGAGGGUUGUGGCAAGGUAUUAAUUGUUAUUCAUUAUUCAUGAGUAGUAUUUCCAGGUUAACUAAAUGUUGUUGGUUAGUUACACUAUUAUAGGAUAUUUUGUUGUCCAACCACUUCAGAUGUUUUUCUGUUGAAGUGGUAGAAUCUGUGAAAAGUACACCUUGAUUGUCGAUGGUUAUUGUUACAUUCACACUUGACACAUCUAAACGAAAUUUUUUAACACAACAACCACAAAGCCUUAUCCCACUAAGUGGGGUUGGCUGUAUGGAUCCUAGAAUGCCACUGAGCUCAGUUUUACGCCGAGUUUUCCAUUAGUGCCGAGUCUUCAUUUACCUUAUUGUUAAUCUGGUGUUUGGUGUUUCAGGUAAUGACAAAAAAUUUGGAGCAAGUGGUGGCAAUGGUCUUGAACUCAUUUCAAGAUCCACAUCCUCGUGUAAGGUGGGCAGCAAUUAAUGCAAUUGGGCAGCUGUCUACAGAUUUGGGUCCAGAUCUGCAAGUUCAAUAUCACCAAAGGGUACUCCCGGCAUUGGCUGCAGCUAUGGAUGAUUAUCAGAAUCCCCGCGUUCAGGUUAGUUGCUGAUUGUGUUUUUGGGUUCUCUUUUUGAUUAAUUGAAUUGGUGAAGGAUUUGGUUUUUGCCAUGCUAGUGUCAUCUUUAACCUACUAUAACUAACACUAUUUACCAAAAAAAGGUAUGGUUCAUGUUGACCUUGUCACCAUAAGAAAUAUUGAGAGACAGUUUAUCUUCUUAAUGCUUUACGAGUUGUGCACUGUAGAGCAUUAUGGUAUGUAUAAAGUUGCUUAAAUCAAUAAUCUAAUUAGAUAAUUCAUCUGAUUGACGUUUACUUGAGGAGUCAUUUAUGCUGGAAGUAAAAAAAAAUUAGGCUUUAGUUUUGUGAGCACUACUUAUCACGGUAGGAAACAAUUUGUUAUGUGCUUUAGUUUUGUGAGUUUGAGUUGCUUUAUGUAUUGAAUUUGUAAUAUGCGGUGAUUGCUCUGGAUGAUAAUAUGACAUGCCCUUUUUAUUAGCUCAUUAUCUGGACCAUGUUAUUGCAUGUGCUUCAUUAUCUAUUCAUUUGCUUCCUCUUUGUAAUUUGAUAUCUGCAGGCACAUGCUGCUUCAGCGUUGCUCAACUUCAGUGAGAAUUGUACUCCAGAUAUUUUGACACCUUAUUUGGAUGGGAUAGUGAGUAAACUGCUUGUACUUUUACAGGUAUGUGCUUCUAAAGAAAAUAACAUAUUCGUCUAAUAAAAACACUUGCAUAAUAAUAAUCUUGUUGAACUAGUAUUAGUUUACGUGCUUCUAAAUAUUUAUGUCUCAUGCAGAAUGGGAAACAAAUGGUGCAAGAGGGAGCCCUUACUGCUUUGGCAUCUGUUGCAGAUUCAUCUCAGGUAUUGUUUCUAUGUAAUGUAUUACCUCUUGUUUAAUGUUUUUUAAUAGAUGAUUAAGUUUGAUGGUAAUGGGAUUUGUAGGAGCAUUUCCAAAAAUACUAUGAUGCAGUUAUACCUUACCUGAAAGCUAUCUUGGUGAAUGCAACUGAUAAGUCUAACCGCAUGCUUCGUGCCAAAUCCAUGGAGUGCAUUAGCUUGGUUGGAAUGGCUGUUGGAAAGGAUAAGUUUAGGGAUGAUGCGAAGCAGGUAAGACAUUAUAUCUUUGUAUCCAUUUUUCACUGUAUCAGAGCAUCCUUGUUUUUGAGUUUGUAUUGAAAUAAUUAUCUUGCAUUCCACUGGUUAUGGAAUGGGUGGAAAAGUCUGGAUGCUUUGAAGCUUUGUUUUUUUUUAAUUUAUUUCGUAACCUCCCCCUCACGUCCCAAUAGAAAUUUGAUUUCAUUGGAAUUUUAACUUUUCCUUUUUCUUGUGCACUCUACGGUUUUAUAUUUUUAAGCUCGUUUAUGUUUCUUGGAUGGGAAUGAUAAAUUGAAUCUUCAAGCUGUUAAAGUUCUGCUACCAUUUUACUUAAUCUAAGAUAAGAAACCUGUUUGGAAUAUGCUGACAAUUUCUUGUGUUGUGUGUUUGAACUUUUAACUUAGCUAAUUAUAUAGACACAUAAACUGAUCGUACCAUUAUUCUUGAAGGUCAUGGAAGUGCUGAUGGCUUUACAAGGAUCUGGAAUGGAGGCAGAUGAUCCAACGACAAGUUACAUGCUACAGGUAUGUUCUUAUUUCUUAAAUUGCACAAACAUUACUAUACUUUCAACCUAUUAUUUUCAAUAAGAAUUGAUCUACAAUGGUGUAGGCAUGGGCAAGACUCUGCAAGUGCUUAGGACAAGAUUUCCUCCCCUACAUGAGUGUUGUAAUGCCUCCUUUGCUUCACUCUGCUCAACUUAAGCCAGAUGUAACCAUUACAUCUGCAGAUGACAAUAGUGAUAUUGAUGAUUCUGAUGAUGAAAGGUAGAAUAUUUUUCAAUUUUUUUAAUGUAUGUGAAUGUGAUAUUAUUAGCUAUUUCUUGCUAUCCUUCCUAAAUGUUGUUAUAAAUGCAUCUGGAUUUAUUGUUGGUUCAUAUUCACUUUUACCACGUUCCACCAUUAUCUACAUGCCGCAAAAUGAAUAAACAUAAUGGCUUUGACAUCCAUAAAUGAUGUUUCUCUUCGUGAACCUUUGGAUGAUUAUCUGUGUAAUGUACCAAUUUAGCAUUUUAAAGUUUGCAAGGUGUAGUUAGUGUAAUUGAAUGCAGAAGAUAUUUACAUGUCGCGGUAGUUAUUAUGCUGCUCUUUAGUAGCUGUUUCUCUAAAUGUCACUUUUCCGUUGCAGUAUUGAAACAAUUACUCUUGGGGAUAAGAGGAUUGGAAUCAAGACUAGUGUCCUGGAGGAAAAAGCUACUGCUUGCAAUAUGCUCUGUUGCUAUGCUGACGAGUUGAAAGAAGGAUUCUUUCCUUGGAUUGAUCAGGUCUUUCAUAGUGUAUCAUAAUUAUUUUUCUUACCCGGCUUCCUAUGAAUGGUACUUAAAAAUGUAAUGUUUGUGCAGGUUGCCCCAACUUUGGUUCCACUUCUUAAAUUUUAUUUUCACGAUGAAGUUAGGAAGGCAGCUGUUUCAGGUAUUUUUUAUUUUUGAUAUUAAAUGUUUUUAUUUGGGGUUUCCCCUUCUGAUAAAGAUGUAGUUGGAGGUUUGAUAAGGAAAGAUCUAUUUUGUCUGUAGCGAUGCCGGAGCUGCUGCUUUCUGCAAAAUUAGCCAUAGAGAAGGGGCAAGCUCAAGGUCGUAAUGAAACCUAUAUAAAGCAAUUGUCUGACUACAUUGUUCCAGCUCUGGUGGAAGCAUUACACAAGGUUGUUUAUUAUUUGUCAAUUAAGCCUCCUCGAUCAGGGUGUAAUGAUAUGAUGUUUUUCUGAAGUAUGAGAGUGCAAUUUUUGUGCAGGAACCUGAUACAGAAAUAUGUGCAAAUAUUUUGGAUGCACUAAAUGAAUGUUUACAGGUAUGCCAUAUUUUGAAGAAAUUUAUUAAAUUUCCUUCGAGACCUGGUUUAACUUGUGGUACUUAUUCUGCACAAGUUCAGCUCUGUGGUGAUGGAAUUGCUAAACCCGAUUUGGGUGCCUUGCGCGGCCCACCAAAGUGCUUUACGCUUCUGACCUGGGAUCGAGCCUGCCUCCUUAGAGUGCGCGGUGUCUCUCCCAUUGGAAUGGUUGGUAAGCUAGAGCUUAUGCUUUGGUACCGUCCAGCAAGAGUCUCCCAAUCGGGUGAGCUUGACUGGUCUCUCGGAGAGGUACCCAAUCCUCGGAAGAUCCGGGAUGAAAUGUUGCCUCAUAUCUUGCUGGGCACCAGUAGUCUACGUAUCUUGAUUGCAAUUUGAUACUGGAUACUAUUGGAUACUCGAGUUACCCUGUUUUUCUGCUUUUUAUUUCAACGUUUUGCAAAAGAAAAAACUACGGUAAUUAUAAGAAUAAUAGUUUAUCAUUAUAUCUUAAUUAGUAUUAAACUUUGAAUUGAAGACAGUUACUGCAUACUAAUUUUUAUGUAGUUGCUACUCUACUGUCUAAAAAAGGGUUCUAUUUGAGUUUAUUCAUACUUUGCUUAGUUCGAAAUUCAAUAACUUUAUUUUGGCAUUUCCAUCUUUAUCAUUGCUUGAAUAAGACAACAUUCAUGCAUUCUUUGCAUCUUUUUUUUUCAGAUAUCUGGACCGCUUUUAGAUGAAAACCAGGUCAGAUCCAUUGUGGAGGAGAUAAAGCAGGUGAUCACUGCCAGUUCAAGUAGAAAAAGAGAGAGAGCAGAAAGGACCAAAGCAGAAGACUUUGACGAUGAGGAAAAAGAGCUAAUUAAAGAGGAAAAUGAACAAGAGGAAGAAGUUUUUGAUCAAGUAAGUUUUCUCAAAUACAAUCCUUAAGUAGCCCAUCAAUACUAUUGCUGAUGUUUUCAUGAUUUUCUUGAACACUUUUUUUCUUAUUCCAGGUGGGGGAAAUCUUAGGAACUCUGAUUAAAACAUUUAAAGCCUCUUUCUUACCUUUCUUUGAUGAGCUAUCAUCGUAUCUAACACCAAUGUGGGUGAGUUUCGUCUCAAGGGAGCUUCCCACUUUACAAUUCCAACUUAUUUGUUUAUAUUUGCUUAGUAUCAUUCCCUCUGAUUGUCAUUUUGAGGAACCAGAAUGUUCAUUUGAAAAUCUUAUUACUUAUGUUCUGUUGUGCCAAUCUUUAUUUUCGAGUUAGUUUCUUUGUUUAAAUUAUAAUAGUGGGUCCAAACCAACAGGCCAAGGAUAAAACACCUGAAGAGAGAAGGAUCGCAAUAUGCAUCUUUGAUGAUGUUGCGGAGCAGUGCCGUGAAGCAGCUUUAAAGUAUGUUUGUUCUAUUAGAAAUGUUUGGGCUGAACUAAGUCAUAUUAUUGUGAACUCAUCUUUUGUUCUGAUGUUGUUGGAUCAGAUAUUAUGACACAUUUCUUCCUUUUCUAUUGGAGGCCUGCAAUGACGAUAACCCUGAUGUUCGACAGGUCUGAUCUCACCAAUCUAUUUUAGUAUGUACAAGGGUACUUUUUUCCGUAAGUUUUAUGUGAUUCUUUUUGUUUUUGUUUCCUUUUCAGGCAGCUCUAUAUGGACUUGGUGUCUGUUCAGAGUUUGGCGGAAUAGUAAUUAAACCUCUUGUUGGCGGUAAGUCUGCUUGUAUGUCUUACAUAGUUGGAAUAUUUCUGAUUGCUUAUUGUAACACUUUCGGAUGCCUUUAUCCAGAGGCUCUUUCAAGGCUAAAUGCUGUGAUUCAGCAUCCUAAUGCCCUGCAAGCUGAAAAUGUGAUGGCAUAUGAUAAUGCUGUUUCUGCUUUAGGAAAAAUAUGUCAAUUUCAUCGUGACAGUAUUGAUGCAGCUCAGGUACUUUAUUUUUGUUGUGACAUGUGAAAUUCAUUUGUUUUGUUGCCACUGUAUGCAGUGUGUGCACUAGACAGUGUUUUCUGAUUUUUUUUAGCACAACACUACUGUUUUGUUGUAACUUUUAUUUCAAGAUUUAUUGACAUAUUUCUUUUAUUGGCUGCAAAUUUUUUAUUUCUUCGCUUUAUGGUUUGUCAACUUUCUGUCAUUUGGCAGGUAAUUCCUGCAUGGUUGAACUGUUUACCAAUUAAAGGUGACUUGAUUGAAGCCAAAGUUGUUCAUGACCAACUUUGUUCUAUGGUGGAAAGGUAGAGCUUCAUCUGUCUUUUACUUUGUGCCUAAUCCUGUUACUUUUCGCCUUUUCAUGCAAUUAACGUUUAGAACACCAUGACCGAUGAAAUUUAUAGAGGUGCACCUUUGUAAUCCAUCUGCAGGUCUGACAGAGAACUUUUGGGUCUCAACAAUCAGUGUCUUCCUAAAAUUGUUGCCGUGUUUGCUGAGGUUUGUGAUCCAUAAAAUGAUUUAGCACUUUUAUACCAAGUAUUUUAUACGCACUUAGAAAAUCAUGAUAUGUGAUAUUCUCUUUUCCUCAAUAACACAUCUCAUUAACUAAGAAAAGUACAAGUUCAAUUGCCUAAUUUGCUUUGUUGUACCGGUCUUGCUGAUAGCUGUAAACUUUUUUCACGAUGAUAUUGCCCAUUGCCCUUGCUGAUUUUGUUUGUAAUACAUAUUCAAGAGUGCGAGAAUAUUUACUUUGAAGGGUAUGAUUGUUCUCUCGUAGGUUCUAUGCGCGGGUAAGGAUUUAGCAACAGAACAAACUGUAAGCAGAAUGAUUAAUCUAUUAAAGCAGCUUCAGCAGACUUUGCCGCCAGCAACAUUGGCCUCAACGUGGUCCUCCUUGCAACCUCAGCAACAGCUUGCACUGCAAUCUAUCCUCUCCUCAUAAGUAUGGUGGCUUGGAUUGUGCAUAUUUCUGCUUUCGGAUACACAGAUCUGUCUUGUGUGGUAAUUUGUGUCACCAAUUCUUUUCCUUGAGAUGGUUCCCGGCAGUUAGUUUUGCCAAGUGUGGGUGUCAUCGUUGCGAUUUGAUCGUCUACUCCUUUUGGUAAAGACGGGGUAUAUGCAAGUGUCAAUUGUGAGGGCUCUUUUUGUGGGUGGCUGAGGUUCGUGAGGGUUGUUGGUCGACAAAUUUGUGUACCAGUUUUGGUCUCGUUUGCAUGUUUGAUGUAUUCUAUGUCUACGUUUUAUAUUGUGAGAGUCUGUUGCUAGUGGUUGAUUCUUUCAUUCUGUUUGAAAUUUUGAUCCCAAAAGGCAAUAAAUUGGCUUUAUGGUUUUUACGACUGUAGAUGCUCAUGUGUUGUGUUGGAUUGAGCUUCGGCAACUCUCACAUUUUUCGUCUUUUCAUUACUUUCACGCGUAAUCGCUUCAAGCAACGGUGGAAAGAGUGUUUGGGCCGUUUCUGUUCAAAUUCGUACAAAUAAAUGUCCAGGAGUAUUGGGUUAUAAUUUAAGGCCUACAUUCAAUGUCAUUACUUCAAAAUUGGGAUCACGAUCAAAGUUAGACUAGACUUGGAGCUCGUUUAGAUAUACUUUUAAAAUAAUUGAAAGUGUUUUUGGUAAAAAUGUUUUUGGAACCAAUCUUUAGUAAAAAUGAAAGUAAAUCCUGGAAAAGCAUUUAAAAGUGUUUCCUAGAAGAAGCACAUAACUGGUGUUUCUUGCAAAAACCACUUAAAGUGCUUUUGGAACCUAAAAAUAUUUUCUCUAAAAAUGUUUUCAUCCAUUUUAAAAGCACAUCAAAAUAAGUUAUUGGUUAACUGAACAUUAUGAAGGAAGUUAGGUCCCUUCGUAUACCGAACAAUUUGUAAACCUAUAAAUUUGAAGUGCGUAAAGAUGAGUAAACCUUGAAAGAUUUGUGGCAGUUGGACGAAAAUGCAAGUUGGAUUAGGAUGGAAGAAUAAUUUUCUUUUGAGAACGACAAUAAGGCCAGCAAUGCAAGUUGGAAGAGUGCAUUGGUUUUGUUUGGAAUGUUGUAAAGCUUAAGAAAAAAGUUAUAUAGAACGUCAAUAAGGUCAGCAAUGUUUUAUAACAAAAAAUGUUGGUAGGUCAAAAAAUAACACAUGCACAAAAUUAUUAUGACGAUAUGAGAAUGUUUUGAUGGAUAUGUGGCCACACAAGAAAAUAUAAGAUUGAAACAACUUAGCGGAGAAACUUCAUUGUUAUUGUUGUUGUUUUGGGUGGGAAUAGUCAUCUGCGGGUAUAAACAGAAGGUCCCAAGAAAACGAGUGCGCUUGGGCCUUAAGCAGAAUCAGCACGGCAGCCGUGACUUUUGCAGUCUCGACAACCGUCUCACCAAAUUCACCGCCGCCGUGGUUGCUUGUCAGAGCAUCUAAAGCGUCCAAAGCCAAAGCCAAACCAAAACCCGCCCCUUCUCUCUCACUCUCUCACUCUUCUCACUGGUUAUGUGAGGCAAGUUAAUAAUCUCAAACUUGCCUUUGGUUUUGAUUCUGUUGUGUCUGCAGUCACUUUAGUAAUCGCACACUCCGUCAUCGAAUUACAAGUUUCAGACAGCUCAGAAGAUCACUCGUUAUUGACAUUUUGAAUGCACUCAAGCUGUUUGUGAAAAGUUGUGAGUGGCAGGUGGGUUGGACCGAUGGGGGCUUUCGAGUUUCGAGAUCAUUUUUCGACGAAUUAUGGUGCUGAGGCGUAGUGGGAGGCACUGAGGACAAGGGAGAAGAUGCUUAAUUGGUUAUGUAGGCGUUGCUUUUGCACGGCUGCUCCACGGCCAUGGCUAUUUGUAGGUUUGGGCAAUCCCGGCGAUAAGUACAAAGGAACUAGACACAAUGUACUAUACAAUAUCAUGCAUUCUAGAGACCCUGAUUUGAUAAUGUGUUGUAUUUCUUGUUUUUUGUUUUAAUAACAAGUUUCAGAUUACUUUCCUUUGGUUUGAAGCAGACGGGGUUUGAGAUGAUUGAUGCUUUCGCUAAUUCACAAGGCAUUGCAAUGAACACGGUCCAUUGCAAAGCUAUCUUUGGGCAAGGCAAGUGAAUCUUUGCAUAUGUUACUUUGUCGUCAUUUUUUAUGUUUGUUUGUGAAGUUCAUGGAAGUUUGGUAUUGUAGGUUUCGUGGGUGGAGUUCCGGUUUUUCUUGCAAAGCCUCAAACUUAUAUGAAUUUGAGUGGUGAAUCUGUAAGUGGCUGAUAUACUUCCUUUUCACAAUCUGAUGGAAUUAUGAUAUUCUACUUCUAUUUGCAAAAAGGUUAUUCAUUGAUCUAGCCUACUGAAAUGAUAUUUGUUCUGUGCAUUUCAUUCCUUCUAGCACACUUCCAAACCCAUUUGCAAUUCCUUCGUGAUUUGAACUGCUUCACUUUUGGCUUAGAGCUAUUAAUCCUACUGCUUAUGUAACUAAUGUUAGUAAAAGAGAUAUCAGUGAAUGGUUUAACUCGUGUUUCUAUUUGUUAAACAGACGGGGCCUCUUGCUGCUUAUUAUAAGCUACCUCUCAAUCGUGUGCUAGUGGUAAUUUCUUCUAAUUUUAAGCUUUUUUGUACUUAUAGCAUCUGUACAUAUCUUUAUAGUAUUCCUUUUAUUCUUGGCUGCAGUUUCAUGACGACAUGACCUUACCAUGCGGGGUACUUCGUCUUCACCCAAAUGGAGGUCACUUAUGCCACAAUGGGUAUGAUCAAACUUAUUACUUUCGGGUUUUAAGCAUAUAUGCUUCUAUAUGAUAUUAUGAUUAAGCAAUGAUGAAAAAUGUCUUGCCCAAAUGUUAGAACCCGCCUGGACAUUUAUGUUUACCAUGGUUGUAGUUACAUAGCCUGAAUUGCUGAGUUCACAAUAAUUGGUGAGCUAAUUGUAUAGUAGCUGCAUAUUAGGAUGGCUCUUUGGUAUUAGUAGACCAUCACUACUACCAUGAAGAGUAAAGACCAUUAUUAUGUGGUGUUACCAGAAUUCUUCUGGUCAAGCUUCCCUUUUUCGGGCUCAUCAACCAUUAAGCACUCAUAUAAUUACUGAAAAUGUAUUAACUUUCCUCUAUCUCUUGAAAGGCCUUUCAAUUUUGCCAUCUCCCGCUUUCAAACUUAGGGAAAAUAUGUGGAAUCCGGUACUUAUCACUAAUUUUUUUUUUGUUAUUCAGGCUGAAGAGUGUGAUCUAUCACUUUCGAGGGAACAGAGAAUUUCCUCGACUAAGAAUCGGUGAGUUUGAAUGUCCAAAUUUCAUAGUUCUGUUACUGUUAUUAUCACUUCCAAGUGCUAGAAAGUAUGUUGAAUUUCUUGUAAGGUAUCGGAAGGCCUCCUGGUCAAAUGGAUCCGAAAGCAUUCUUGCUGCAAAAAUUUAAUGCCACAGCUCAAGGACGAGUAAGUAUAUUUUGGUUGUGUAUUUGUCUCAAACAACAUUUCUUAACACAUCCAUAUUCUUAGUUUGUUUCUCCUAUUGCAUUACAACAAUUACCAGAUACUUAGAAUUUAUAAAAAGUAUAUUUUGAAGGAUUAUACUACCGUUUGUUUGCUUGUUAUUUACUGAUUCAACUGUGGAUAAGACGUUAAUUAAGGAGGUAGUCCUAGCUGUUUAGAAAACUAUAUGAAAUCUGAUCUUUGUAAGAUCCAUUCAUUCCAAAUGGAUUGCAUUCAUUUUAAAUUUGGCCAAGUAUUAUCGAAUCCUGCAUUUUACGUAAUUGGACUUGUUUUCUGCUUAACAAUUUGAUGUCUAAUCUUUAUCUGGUUUAUGUUAUCAUUCCUUAUAUCCUAAUGUAAGUCUGGUAAUUACUUGGAGGGAUAAUGAUGAUGUGCCUGUUUGAUCUAGAUUGAUGCUGCUUUGCAAGAGGGAGUUAAUAUAUUGAAGGUCGUGCUUUCUAAAGGCUUUGCAGAAAGUGCAAGACGCUUCAACUCAGAGCAGAAAUACAAGCAUCUAAGAGUAGAAACCUUGCCAACAUGAAUUUACACAGUGGCAUCUGUAAAUGAGUAAAUGGGUUUUUGUUUUUUGGGAUAACACUUGGGUUGUGAUUGUCAGAAUAUAUGGAAACUCGACCGGUUGUUGAAUCUAAAAUCAAGAGGACGUACGGGUGUUGCAUUGUUGACAAUUCAUGUCAUCGAGUAGGGUUCUAACAAUCACGGCUAAAGGAUUAUCCUUUGUUUUGAGAUCAUCUUUUGUGCUAUAAAUGUGACCCGUCACCCAUCAGCUUUAAAUUUCUUCAAUGAAGGUAGAGCGAUAAACUUGACCCAUCAUUUCUCAAAGUUUUGCCGGGGAGUAGGAAGUCGGAAGUCUCAAUGUCUCAUGACUAGGGGUUGGGAUUAGACUUAUUAACAGAUCAGGUUUAUCGGGUUUGGGUUGGGUUCAAUCUGACCCGUUAAGUUAACGGGUUAUCCGAUCGAUCCGUUAGCUUAACGGGUCACUUAUUUCACCCGUUAACAAUUUUUUUUUUUUUUUUUUGCAUAGAGUUUAUUUUUUGUUGUUAAGAUUUUACUGAAAUUACUAAAACAUCUUCAACUAAAGGAUGCUAACGAGUUUAACGGGUUGACCCAAAAUGACCCGUUAUUUAAUAGGUUGUUAACGGGUUCAUCCGUUAGCGAUCCGACUCGUUAAUCAUCUAUCCAAAUACUAAUAUUAACAUGUAGGAUCAGGUCGGGUUUAAAAUGUCAGGUGUAGUUGGGAUCCGGUGGGCACCCGGUGCAUGAUUUUAUCAUAAAUGUGUGACUUCAGGUCAACAAGCUCUCUUCAUGGUCGUGGAGAGUUUUAUUUUUGCUUUGCAUAAAGGUUACUUUCAGGAUUCGAAUUCGUGAUCUUUCGAAGAACAACAAUUUCGUAAGACUCGUCUUUCGGUCAAACUCGUUGAAUAAAGCGGAAGACUGGGGGAGUGGCUGCCGCUGGUUGUAGUUUUAUUUGUAAGUUUGUCUGAAAAAUAAUAUAGAAAAGAAAAGAAAAUAAUGGCUGAGUGCUCUGCGGGUCCCGUCUCCGGCAUCCGUGCUGUCAAUUUUGCUGCACUUAAUGAUUCAACUUCCCCAGUCCCACGCGCAUACGAGUAAAGGUUACACCGAUACUCUCCCAUACGCAAAGCGUAAUUGAAAGGAAUAUGAAAAAAAAAGGUUAAAACAGAGUAGAGGUUGUAGGUUUGUAACUCUGUAGUUAAGAUGAUUAAUUCAUGCACUUGAGUUAUAUUGGAGGUUAAAAACUAUAGAAUUAUAUACACAUCGUCUAAUAUUUUAGUGGAUAUGGUGUUUCAGAGCAGUUCCACCAGAACACCAUUAGGCCGGCACCCAGUCAAAAAAAGGGGCCGGGACUCAGUCAAUCCACUCCAACCCGUUCAAUUGCCUGGCACCCAGCCCAAGCUGGUCUUAGACCAGCCUAGAAUUGACAGAGCUAGGGAUUGGGCUAUUAGCGUGCGUUUUUUGGGAAUGGCGCUAAGGAAACGCAAGACGACUGAGCAAGAAGAAAAGCAGCUGGUGGCGCUGGCGAAAUCAAGCUAGUGACCCGUUGCCUGACGCCCUCAUCUUCGCCUUCCUCCUCCUCCUCACCUACUAAAUCUUCAUCGGCACCGUCGACAUCUUCCUCCCGCUCCUCCCCUCAUCGCCGCCUCCGGUUGUCCGGUCCCUCUGCGCCACCACCUCCCCGCCUCUCAAGGUCUACAUGUACGAUCUCCCACGUCGCUUCAACGUCGGAAUUAUAAACUGCCGGAGUGAGCUGGAAGAGAGAGAGAGAACCGGUUGGGGAUGUAGAGGGGAGAGUAUAGAGGGUAAUGGAACCUGAAAGCCACUUACCUUUCGAAGGAAAGAGAGCGUAGAUUUGAGUCCAUGAGGAGUGAAGGACGACAGAGCGAGAGAGACGAGGCGGUGAGAGGGAUGUGAGAAACCAGAGAGAGAGAGAAGCAUGAUAGAUUGACUAGGCUAUUUUUUGUUAGGGAUGAAAAUGCUUUGGUCUAUUACUGUUCACUUGAGUGGAUAAAUGCGCUGGAUGUUGGCGCAAGGUCUUUAGGGUGGACUUGCUCUCAAUGCGUCUCAGAUUUGAAACUCUAUUUUUUUUUUAAAUUAUUGCAAUAUUUUCAAACCCUUCCACUCCUCUUAAUAAUAAUAAAUUAAAAAAUGCAGGAUUAUAAAAUAAAUUAAUAAAAAUCAAUGACUAAAAGUCGUCAUAUAAAUGCUUAAAAGCUACUAAUAACUAAGAGAUAUACAUCAAGUGUAUCUAAUUAAUAUAGAUGUACAUAGCCACAAUGGGAGAACUCCAUACUGAAAUUGUAAGUAAAAACAUUGUGAGUGCACUAAAUUGAUGCAAUUUUUUUUAUAAGGCAUGUCGGAUCCGUAGAGUCAUUCAAUGAGAAAUUGUCACGUUGACACGAGUAAGACGGAAUUAACCAGCUGCCUCUAAAUUCCAGUAGAGAAAAUAGCACUGGUAAAGCAAGUGGUGAUAAAGCAAUAGAUAGGCGCGUGAGAGUAUAUUCAGCUGCCCAUCACAAUAUUAUUACAACAAAUAUCCAGAGCUGUGUCUCGGCUCCCCAUCUCUUAUCUCUCGAUCUCAUCUCCCAUCCUCCUCAAUACCAAAGUACAAAACUAUAUCUACUUAAACACAAACAAAAAAAGAAAGAAAAACAAGAUCAGGUUGUCAAGAUAUCAAAAUCUCCAUUUGUCUUCGCACUCGAUCCACUCCUACUCAGAAGAAGAAGGAAAACAACACUGAAAAAGCUUUACAAUGAGGAACCCGUCGUCUUCGUCGAAAGCAACAGCAGCAGCAAGUGCUACGAUGACAACAGCAUCGCCGUCGUCGAGCAAGGCGGGGAUUGCCGGAGGGAGUAAGACGCCGUGUUGCGUAAAGGUGGGUUUGAAGAGGGGGCCGUGGACUCCCGAAGAGGACGAGCUGCUAGCCAAUUACAUCAAGAAAGAAGGUGAAGGACGGUGGCGGACCCUCCCCAAGCAGGCUGGGUUGCUCCGCUGCGGAAAAAGCUGUCGCCUCCGCUGGAUGAACUACCUCCGCCCUUCCGUUAAGCGCGGCCAGAUCGCCCCCGAUGAAGAAGAUCUCAUUCUCCGCCUCCAUCGCCUCCUCGGCAAUCGGUAAAGCUAUAUACAUACAUACAUACAUUUAUACAUACACAUUAUCAAUUUUCCUCGACAACAUUAUCUUAUCCAUAUGUUCACUCUACAAAUUUAUCAUCAUUUCAUUAAAUUUUUAGGGUUAGGGUUUCACUGUUCAUAUCUAUUAUUUUGAAUUAGGGUUUAAUUAAUAUUUUGGAUGUGUUUGUCUGUAGGUGGUCUUUGAUAGCUGGGAGGAUUCCAGGUCGUACGGACAAUGAGAUAAAGAACUACUGGAACACACACCUGAGCAAGAAGCUGAUAAGCCAAGGCAUAGAUCCCAGAACCCACAAGCCUCUCAAUCCAGAUCAUCACUCUGCUGCUGCCGAUGCUGAUGUGGGCAACACAAAUAAAUCAGCUGCUGCUGCUGCUUCUUCCAAAGCCAAUAACCGAU